GAAGAUCAAAUGGUGCAUGUCCUUGGAAAGGUUGCCGGAUGUGCCCUUGUCCACCAAGUUGGAGACAAAUUGGACACCGCCAAAACCUGCAGAAGACAUCAUUCAGCCGGCGAAGCGAUUGCGACUUUCGUUGGAAUAGCAUGACAGGCAGGCAAUUAUAGCCUUGUUGAAAUUGUCAGGUUCCUUUUGAUUACGAUGAAGGAAACAGAAGUUUUCAUAUCGGUUAUUUUGCUAACCUGGUUUGGAUAAAGGCUAAGAAAGAAAUGGCCGCGAGUAUUCAGAGUUUUGAAGACCUGCAUGCGGAAUAAAAACCAAAUUUAUGGCCUUGCCUGUGGAAGAAAGCCCAAUUUGCAACCCUCAUUCACCACCGACUUGAACUAGUCCAGGUGUCCUCAUGUCACUUCUUGAGCCAUAUAUCGUAUUUCUUGAUGUUGUUAAGAUGAUGUUUGCUUUCUCAAAUUGAAUUCUCGUGAUGCAUGAAGUUGUUAUGCUUUAUUCAUUUUAAUUAUCUCUAAUGUAUGCAUUAUUAUGCAUGACUAGGCUUAACAAAUAUUCAUUACAAAUAUCUAUGAUAAUUGGUUGCAUUAGGCAUGGCGGCACAUCUGACUCGGUUUGUUUCACGGGAAAAGCAACAUUUAUGAAAAUAUUUUCCAAAAAGCUAUUUUUCAGGAAAAUGUAAUUAAUUUUUUGGUGUUUAGCUCAAACCUGAAAAUAAAAUAGAAAAUAUUUUUCGUUAUUUGGUAAGGAAAAUAUUUUUCUCCAUACACUUUUUUUCAAUAAUUUUUUUAUUAUUUUAUUUUUUAAAUCGAUUUUUCAAUGUUUUUUAUUUUUUUUAAAUAUCGAUUUUUAAUUUUUUCUUUUUUGUUUAUCUUCUUCUUUGGCUAGAGCUUGAGCUCGCUAGCCUCAAACUUCGCUAGAUUGGUGAGUGCAAAGUGGUGAACUAGAGCUCGCUAGAGGUCGGCCAACCUCUAGCUCACCGCUCGCCACUUGCGAGGGUGAGCCUUUAGCUCGUCAACCUUAGGCCUCACCAGAGGUUCACACUUGCUGCUCUAAGCGAGAGCCUCUAGUUUGCCAAUUUGGCGAGGCCCGAGGCCAACGUUAGCGAGCCUUGAGCUUGCUCAUUGGCCAUAGUCGUGGUUGGCAACUGGCCAAGAAGAAGGUGGAAAAAAAUAAAAGAAAAUAAAUGGAAAAAGAGAAAGAGAAAAAAAUAUUAUUAAAAAUUGUGCACUGAACGAUGGGCUAUGUACUGCAAGGACCAAUCAACAGUUAAAAAUACCUACGCUAAAAUCUUCUCUUUUUUUUUUUUUUAGUGCUAACAUGGUUCACAAAUUUUGUGUUUAUAUGUGGUUCAAUGGGCAAAUAAAUCAACUCGAGAUAGACAAAAAAAAAAAACUAAAUAAAAACCUUUGCACCUAAAUCCUUAAGCAUUUGACUUGUAAUAGAAGAGGCGCGAGUCUAUUGUGAAUUGAUUAAUGAACCAGUGCUCGUGAAACAUCACUUAAUUAAGAGGUUCCAUUUGGCCUUACCUGCUCUAUUUUUUUCCUUUAUUUCUUGCCCCCUUCUAUUUUGUCUUUUUUCUUUUUCUUUUUUCGAAAAAAAAUGGAUUGUCAAAAUUAUACCCCCGCGCCUCUUCGUCAAUAAUGCACAUUACAUGCUUACCAUAAUAUAUAUAUAUAUAUAUAUAUAUAUAUAUAUAUAUAAUGUAGCAUACUUGACACCCACAUGAACUACUCGGCUCUGUUUGUCUUGCAAAAGAUGAAUGAUUUGGAAAAUAUUUUCUUAAAAAUGAUUGAUUGUAUGGGUUGAAAUAAGUAGUCAAUGAAAAAUACUUUCAUUAUCAAUAACAAUUUAUGUCUAAAAUUUUCUUAGACGAUUAAAUUAUUUUUUGCUUGUAUAUUUUUGCAAGCAAUUAUUUUUAUGAAUUUUUUUUCAAAUUAUUCAUGUUUCGAGAGAUAAAUGCACCCUAAGUAUCCUCAUGUCAAUUCUUGAGCCAUAUACUAUAUUACUUGAUGAUGUUAACGUGAUGUUUUCUUUUCCAAAUUGAAUUCUUGGGCUGCAUGAAGUUAUUAUGUUUUAUUCAUUUUAAUUAUCUCUUAAGUAUGAUUUUAUUAUUUAUGAUAAGGCUUAACAAAUAUUCAUUGCUAAUAGCUAUGAUAUGGGUUGCAUUAGGCAUGACGGCAUCUCAUAGCAUUUGUGGUUUAGCCAAUGAAAGACUAAAUUAUUCCAACUUGUCAUCCAUCACACAUUUGCUGAAACAACAAUGGAUACUUUUGCAAUUACCAAAUCUGCUUAUGAAAUUGUGAUUCCAGAUGGCCAAUGAGUUGGAUCAGCUAUCAAGGACUUGUUUUACAUUUAAUGUUCAAAACAACACAUAUUGAUGAUUUACAUUGAAAUAGUAAUGUAAUUACCCGGAAUUGAUCAAGCUGGGAUGACGUGUUUACUAUCAGAGCAAACAUUGUUUGCUUGAGUCUGCUCAUGAUUAAAGAAAAUAGUAAAUCAUCGAUGUGAAAUCAAUCAGAUUCUGAAAAGGUCAAACUCAAGAAAAGGAAUUGCUUGCCCUAAUCCAAACAUAUUUGCCGUUCCAGCUGAUGGCGAACUAGAUUUAGGUGUGCCAGGCCACAAGGCCGAUGACCACCUAUAUGCAUGAUUGCCCUGUCGAAUCCCAAUAUAUUGGAGAGGUAAAAUUAGUUUGUUGCGCAAAAACAUAUUCAAAAUGUUACAUGACCAGCGCCCCAAAAAACAAAAGCUUUUGCAAAGAGUACUGUGAAAUGGGGAGAUGUCUCAAUAGUUACAAGUUUAGUCCGUGGACAGAUCUCUGGGAGUAUGACUUUAAACUCCAAGUGCGCAUGCUUUUUGUUAUACUCUCGUCCGGCUGUUUCGUCUCCUAGUCUACAUAAGCAUGUUUGACCUUGUUUAGCAUGCUCUGUUGUCUAAGACGCCAUAUUAUGCGUAACUGCAAUCAAUAUAUUGCUCCUAGGACAUCUUGUAUGGGAUCAUCUGCAAGGUGUAGAAGCUAAGUUAAUAAAAUCAAGCUACUCGAAAGUCUAGCAAUAGAGUCCGGAAGCCCCCUGUACAUUUGAUUGUUUUGGCUGAAAUAAUCACAUAAUUGCUGGUAUGUGUUGGGGAGUGUUGUUGAUUGAUAACUCUAUAAAAAUAGAGUUAUUUUACCUAUUUUAGGCAACAAUUAAUGCAUUAUCUAUGAGAAAAUAUUUGGAUUUCCUUCUGAUUAUUUGAAUUUUCGUUGUUUAUGCAGAAUAAUGAGAUAUGGAGAAGAUAAGGAAAAGAAUGGCAAUUAUCAGGAAUUCAAAUAAAAGCAGCAGUGGAAGAUAGAUAUCAAAUCAGGAAAUUCUUGAUUUUGUUCCCUAAUGUUAUCUGCAAGCGUUGGAAGAUAGAUAUCUUGGAUAUAUCCUAUAAAUAGAGACAGAGAGAGCAGCUAGGGUUUUUUGGAGAGAGGAGGGGUUAGAUCGUUUUCCAUUGUUAGAUCGUUUUUCAUUGUUCUGAGAGUUUUUCAAGUAUUUUGAAGAGAAGACAAAAGUGGUGACAGAAUUCUUGUCCUUUGAUUCAAGAUGCUAGGUUUGAUCUAUAUUUUUAUUUUUAUUUCUUAUUCUACUAUGUUCUAAUUUUCUUUUGUUAGGGCUACGAUGUAGCCUAACCAUGAUGAUAUGAAUUUCAUGAUUUUUAUGUUUUACAACUGAUUUCAUUCAUAUGAGUUAUAUAUUAUUACGUUUAAUGCUUUUGAGUGACUGGCCACCACUUGAAUGAUCUGAAGUGCAUGUUUAAGACUGAGAGGUGAUAAUAUGUAAUUGCUCAUUAUAAUAAAUAACCAUGAAUUAAACGUGGAUAGAAAUAUACCGCGUUAUUUGUGUAGCUUUCGGUGAUAAGGUGAUCUAAAAGACUCAUUGUAAACCGGGAAUAUUCAUAGUUCUUAAUGCAUUCAUGUUUAUUUUAAUUCACAUAGAGAUAUAGUGGAUUAAUAAGCUUAGUAGGUUUGCUAUACCUAGAGAUAGGAUAGUAAAUAGAUUAGGAAAUUCCGCUAUUACAUGUUUGAUAUCGUUCUUGUAUUCACAACAAUCUGAAAUUCAUAUCUAGUGGUUAUGGUGAAAUUGGAUGCUCUAACAUAUUUAUCUGAUUGAUUUUACUGCAUUUAGUCUUCAAGUUUUGUUUUUAAUUUAUUCUAAAUUAUAUUUUGAUUUGUUAUAUAAAUUUUAUAAUUAAUCUAUUUUAGUAUUUAAUUAGUUUAUUAAUCAUCGAUCUCCAUGGGACGAUACUUUUUCUCAUCAUUAUAUUACUUGUUCGAUAUGUGCACUUGCGUUUAGAAUUUUACGAACAAGUUUUUGGCGCCGUUGCCGGGGAUCGUUUGUUUAAUACUAAUUAAUAUUGAUACCAGAUAAUUCUAAAUUUAAUCUAGCUUUCGUUUUGUUUUUAUUUUUCAGGGUGUACAUUGGUUUAUGACACGUAGCCAACAAGGGGAACUUGUUGAGCUUGAUCCAGAAAUCGAGCGUACAUUCAAAAGGCGACUAAGAGAACAGAAAAAUCACGCUAAGAUGGCAGACGGUGAGAAUGAAAAUCCACGUAGACUUUUAAGAGAUUAUGCUGCGCCAACAGUUCAAGGCACCACAUCAAGUAUCAGAAGACCUGCAAUUCAAGCAAACAACUUUGAGAUUAAGCCGUCACUUAUUCAAAUGCUUCAACAAUCAGUGCAAUUCAGUGGGCUACCAAGCGAUGAUCCAAAUGCUCACAUCGAUGCUUUUCUUGAAAUCUGUGACACCAUUAAAUAUAAUGGAGUUACAGAUGAUGCUAUUAGAUUGAGAUUAUUUCCAUUCUCUCUUAGAGAUAAAGCUAAGAAUUGGCUUUCUUCUCUUCCUGCAGGAUCAAUUACUACAUGGAAUGAUAUGGCUCAGAAAUUUCUUGGUAAGUUCUUUCCACCUGCAAAGUUUGCGAAGAUGCGUAACGAUAUUACUAAUUUUAUGCAGAUGGAUAAUGAAUCAUUAUAUGAAGCAUGGGAAAGAUUCGAAGAAUUUCUUAGGAGAUGCCCACAUCACGGACUACCCGUAUAGAUGCAGGUACAAACUUUUUAUAAUGGCUCUACUGCAAAUCUUCGUUCUAUGAUUGAUGCAGCUGCAGGGGGACUUUAAAUAAUAAAACACCAGAAGAAGCCUACAAUUUAUUAGAAGAGAUGGCGUCCAAUAGUUAUCAGUGACCUACUGAGAGAUUACUAAUGCGAAAAGUUAGCGGAGUUCAUGAAGUUGAUGCUUUUGCUACAAUUGCUGCACAAUUUGAAACACUCAACAAAAAGCUAGAUAAUAUGAGUGUUUCAGCCAUGAAAAUUCACAAUUGACAUGUGAUUUUUGUGGUGGAGGACAUGUUAGCACAAAGUGUCAGGUAGGUAAUACUUUCAAACAACCUAGUGAAAAUUCUAACUUUGUUGGGAAUUUUAACAGGUCGCAGAAUAAUCCUUACUCCAACACAUACAAUCCGGGAUGGCGCAAUCAUCCAAAUUUUUCAUGGAACAAUCAGAAUGUGACGAGACCACCAGGAUUCAAACAAUCAGAAGAGACAAAGUCAAAUUUGGAAGACAUAGUCACCAAACUUGCUAACACAACUCAUAACUUCAUCAAAAGCACGGAUGUGAGAUUUCAAAACCAAGAGGCUUCAAUCAGAAAUCUGGAGAUGCAAGUGGGUCAGUUAGCAAGCAUGAUGUCAGGACGACAAUAGGGUUCUUUGCCGAGCAACACAGAGAAAAAUCCAAUUGAAAACAUAAAGGCUAUUACCCUGAGAAGUGGUAAACAAGUGGGAGAAGAAGAGAUUGUCAAAGACAAAGAAGAGGUAAUCAAUAAACAAUCGAAGGAGACAAGCAAGAGUAAACUUUUUCCAGAUAAUCCCAAGCCAUAUGUGCCGCCAAUUCCAUUCCCUCAACGACUCCAGCAGCACAAAAUGGAUAAGCAAUUUUCUAAAUUUCUUGAAGUAUUUAAAAAAUUGCACAUUAACAUUCCUUUUGCAGAUGCCUUAGCGCAAAUGCCUAGUUAUGCAAAAUUUUUGAAGGAGAUUUUAGCAAACAAAAGGAAACUGGAGGAUUAUGAGACUAUGAAGUUAAACGAGGAGUGUUCAGCUAUCCUACAAAACAAAUUGCCUCCGAAAUUAAAAGAUCCAGGAAGUUUUACUAUUCCUUGCACUAUUGGGGACUCUUACUUUGAAAAAGCAUUAUGUGAUUUAGGUGCAAGUAUUAAUCUGAUGCCUUAUUCUGUUUUCAAGAAAUUAGGCUUGGGCGAGGUAAAAGCAACCACAGUGUCACUUCAACUGGCUGAUCGAUCAAUUAAAUAUCCGAGAGGUAUUGUGAAAGAUGUUUUGGUAAAAGUUGACAAAUUUAUCUUUCCUGCAGAUUUCAUAGUUCUUGACAUGGAGGAAGAUUUUGAGGUACCACUUAUCUUAGGUCGACCUUUUCUAGCAACAGGAAGAGCUUUUAUUGAUAUACAACAGGGGAAGUUGAUCCUUAGAGUUCAAGAUGAUCUUGUUUCAUUUAAUGUUUUUAAAGCAAUGAAAUAUCCAUCUGAUGAUAAUUCUUGUUUUAGAGUUGAGACAGUUGACAAGUUGGUGAAUAAGGUUUUUCAAGAAAAUAUUUUUGAAGAUCCACUUGAAGCAUGUUUGAUUCAACUAAGAGACAAAGAUAUUCAGAAUGAGGAGAUAAAGGAGUACGCAAAUUUCAUGGAGGCAAUUCCACCAUAUUCAAGGCAAAAAGCAAUUAAAUUUGAAGAGUUGGGACAACACAUUACAAAACCUAAACCAUCAAUUGAAGAGCCUCCAAUUCUUGAACUCAAACCCUUACCUUCUCAUUUGAAAUAUGCUUAUUUAGAUGGAGUUUCUUCUUUACCGGUAAUUAUAUCUUCUUUUUUGACAGAUUUGAUGGAGGAGAAAUUGCUCAGAGUAUUAAGAGAGCAUAAAUGUGCAAUUGGAUGGAAAAUAGCUGAUAUCAAUGGAAUUAGUCCUUCAAUUUGCAUGCACAAAAUUUUGAUGGAAGAGUAAUAUAAACCCACUAUCCAACCUCAGAGGCGUUUGAACCCGAAGAUGCAAGAAGUAGUGAAAGCUGAGGUAAUUAAGCUACUUGAUGCAGGUAUCAUCUAUCCUAUCUCUGAUAGUUCUUGGGUAAGUCCUGUACAAGUUGUGCCAAAGAAAGGUGGUAUGACUGUUCAGAAAAACGACAACAAUGAAUUGAUUCCAACUAGAACAGUUACUGGGUGGCGUGUGUGUAUGGAUUACAGAAAAUUAAAUGAUGCCACUAGAAAAGAUCACUUUCAUUUACCAUUUAUUGAUCAGAUGUUAGAAAGACUUGCAGGGCAUGAAUUUUAUUGCUUUUUGGAUGGAUAUUCGGGGUAUAAUCAGAUUCCUAUUGUACCAGAAGAUCAAGAGAAAACUACUUUCACUUGUCCCUAUGGUGCUUUUGCUUUUAGAAGAAUGCCCUUUGGUCUUUGUAAUGCACCAGCUACUUUUCAAAGAUGCAUGAUGGUUAUUUUCUCUGAUAUUGUUGAAAAAUAUAUUGAGAUUUUCAUGGAUGAUUUUUCCGUUUUUGGCCUAUCAUUUGAUUCUUGUUUAAAUAAUUUGGCUUUGGUCUUACAAAGAUGUGAGGAGACUAACCUUGUUUUGAAUUGGGAGAAGUGUCACUUUAUGGUGCAGGAAGAAAUAGUGCUUGGGCAUAAAAUUUCUUGAAACGGAAUAGAAGUCGAUCGAGCCAAAGUGGAGGUCAUUGCAAAAUUACCUCCGCCAACAUCUGUGAAACUUGUCAGAGGAUUUUUGGGGCAUGCAGGAUUUUACAGGAGAUUUAUAAAAGAUUUUUCAAAAAUUGCUAAACCUCUUUCUAAUCUUUUGGAAAAAGAUUCUCCUUUUAAUUUUUCCGUUGAAUGCAUGCAGGCUUUUAACACUUUAAAGAAGAAGUUAAUAUCAGCACCAAUUAUGACAGCACCAAAUUGGGAUUUACCUUUUGAGCUGAUGUGUGAUGCUAGCGAUUCUGCAGUAGGAGCUGUUUUGGGACAAAGGAAGAAUAAAAAUUUUCGAACCAUAUACUAUGCCAGUCGAACCUUGUCAGGUGCACAAUUGAAUUAUUCAACAACAGAAAAGGAACUUUUGGCGGUAGUAUUUGCUUUUGAUAAAUUUCGUUCUUAUUUAAUUGGCUCAAAAGUUAUAGUUUAUUCUGACCACUCUGCUCUUAAGUAUCUGCUUGAAAAGAAAGAAUCAAAACCCAGGUUGAUCAGGUGGAUUCUAUUGCUACAAGAAUUUGAUUUGGAAAUCAAAGAUAAGAAGGGGAUUGGAAAUCUAAUUGCAGAUCACUUAUCAAGAAUUCCAAAUUCAAAGGAAGAGGUAAGACCAAUUUUGGAAGAGUUUCCUGAUGAGAACAUUUUUUCCAUUAAGUCAAUUCCUUGGUAUGCUGACUUUGUAAAUUAUUUGGUAAGUAAUGUUCUUCCUCCUGAAUUAUCAUAUCAACGGAAGAAAAAAUUCUUUUCUGAUGUUAAAAAUUAUUUUUGGGAAGAACCUUUCUUGUUUAAAGUAUGUGCAGAUCAGGUCAUAAGGAGAUGUGUUCCAGAUGAAGAGAAGGCAAACAUUCUACAUCAUUGUCAUGAUGGAGAGACAGGUGGCCAUUUUGGUGCCACAAAAACUGCAGCUAAGAUUUUACAAUCUGGAUUUUAUUGGCCUACACUUUUUAAAGAUGCAUACUCCCAUGUAGCUUCAUGUGAUAGGUGUCAAAGAACUGGAAAUAUUUCAAGAAAAAAUGAGAUUCUUUUAAACAACAUUAUUGUGUGUGAAUUAUUUGAUGUUUGGGGUAUUGAUUUCAUGGGACCCUUUACACCUUCUUAUGGAAAUUUAUACAUUUUAGUGGCUGUGGAGUAUGUGUCUAAGUGGGUAGAAGCUGUAGCAUUACCAACAAAUAAUGCUAAAGUUGUGGUGAAAUUUUUGAAGAAAAAUAUUUUUACCCGAUUCGGCACUCCGAAGGCAAUCAUAAGUGAUAGGGGGACACAUUUUUACAACAAGCAAUUUGAAGUACUUUUGAGUAAGUAUGAAGUCAUACAUAAGGUUGCAACCCCUUAUCAUCCUCAGACUAGUGGUCAAGUAGAGAUUUCAAAUAGAGAAAUCAAGAGAAUUUUAGAAAAAACAGUGAAUGCCUCUAGGAAAGAUUGGUCAAUAAAACUUGAUGAUGCACUUUGAGCCUAUAGGACAGCGUUCAAAACUCCAAUUGGGAUGUCUCCUUUUAGGCUAGUGUUUGGAAAGGCUUGUCACUUACCAGUGGAAUUAGAGCAUAAAGCAUAUUGGGCAUUGAAAUUUCUGAAUUUUGAUAUACAGUCUGCAGGUGAAGAAAGAUUAUUGCAACUAAAUGAAUUAGAGGAAUUUCGCAAUAAGGCCUAUGAAAAUUCUAAGUUGUACAAGGAGCAUACAAAAAGAUGGCAUGACAAGCACAUAUUCAGAAGAGAGUUUAAAAUUGGUCAAAAAGUCUUACUUUAUAACUCUCGUCUUAAACUUUUUCCAAGAAAGUUGCGAUCUAGAUGGUCUAGUCCUUUUACAGUUACACAGGUAUUCCCAUAUGGAACAGUUGAAGUUGCGCACGACACUGAUGGCACAUUCAAAGUGAAUGGUCAACGUUUGAAGCCCUACUUUGAAGGUGGUUACAACAAGCAGAAGACCACCAUUGAACUUCAUCCUCCAGAAUAGCGACAUCUGAGAUAGUUUAGCUGAAAACUAUAAAGCAAGCGCUUCUUGGGAGGCAACCCAAGCAUUUUAAUUAUGUUUUUAUUUAUUUUUAAGUUUAUGUUUUGCAAAAAAAAAAAAAAAGAUUAACUUUUCUCUAUUUUAUCCAGGUUAAUUUUAAGGGAGCACCUUUCAAGAGUUUAAUCAUCAAGGUCAUCUAUGGACUUAUCCUACAACUAGGGGAGUUUUCUUCUUCCUAUUUCUAUUUUUUUGCAUUGAGGACACUGCUUCAUUCAAGUUUGGGGGGGCGCCAAAUUUUUUGGAUAAUUUUUUUUCGUGAUUGCAUUCUUGGUUGUGAAUUUUUGCGAUUCUUAGGAAAAUUUAAAUUUUAUUUAAACUUGCAAUUGAUGUGUGAGUUAAUCUUAAUUCUGAUUAUGUUGAUCCACUUAUUGAGCACUAAAAGUCCUUACAUUUUGAAUUAUGUGUAAAUCUAGAGAACAUUCAUGUGAAAUAUGUGAUUUUCUUAAAUUUCAUCCAAAUCUUAGAAUUUGUUUGAAUUUCUCUUGAGGCGAAAUCCUAAGCUAAAUCUAAUUGAGAAAAUGAUAUAGGCAGUUUUUGGAUCGAUUGAGCCUUUCAAGCCAACCUUAUUCAUUUAUCCCUAGUCACCCCGUUGAGCCUUAAUUAUUACCCAAUUUUUCAGUGGCACCCAUAUAUUUUUAGCCUAGCCAUGAUCAAAUUAUAUCUUUAUCCCAUGCCCCAUGAACACAUUGAUUUUCUUUUGGGAUAAAAAAAAAUUAUUUGAGCUUGAUAGAAAUUUGGGAGGAAUGAUGGAGUAAAAAGAAGAAAAAAAAAAGUGAUUACAGUGGUUGUUUGGGGUGUAUUGUCAAAAAAAAAAAUGCUUUUAUGGUUCCCUAUCCAACUUUCAAUUGAGUGAGCCUUUUGGAUAUUCAAUGGGUUGGAAAUUUUUAUGUUAUAUUUGGAGGGACUUUGGGAGAAACUCCACCAUAAAGCAAUUCAAAAAGAAAAAAAAAAGAGAGAAAAGGAAAGAAAAAAAAAAGAAUGAUGAUAUAUGGCGGCAGAAAAAUUAUCUUGAAUGAGUGAAACUGGACAGUGACAUUGGCUCUAAUUAGAUCCUCGAAAUCAACGUGUUGAUGGGUGAUUUGAGCUUAAAAUUCCCGUUAUCUCACCUUUAGCCCAGCCUUACAUUACAACCCGAGAAAAGUCCUAUUGAUUUUUGAUUGGAUAAUUAACUUACAUUAGUGGAGAGAGGAAUGAAAAGCAAACCUAUGAGAUUUGGUUAUAAUUAUUGAGAAUUUUUAAGAGAUUGCAUGUUAAUGUGAGUUUAUUUGGAUUGCAUAUAAUUCGAAAAAGAUGAAGACUUUCACACACACACUUGGAUCAUAUAGUUAGAAUUGGUCUUAACUUAUAAAUUGAUUUCAAUGUUUGGAUGAAAUUUAUGUUUUUCUUUGAAUUGUGAAUUUGAGCAAUUAUGGAAAGAUGUCAUGGAGAAGGUUGUUAGGUUGAGUAUAUGUUAUGUUUUGAUUUUGCUCGAGGACUAGCAAAAUGUUAAGUUUGGGGGUUUGAUAACUCUAUAAAAAUAGAGUUAUUUUACCUAUUUUAGGCAACAAUUAAUGCAUUAUCUAUGAGAAAAUAUUUGGAUUUCCUUCUGAUGAUUUGAAUUUUCCUUGUUUAUGCAGAAUAAUAAGAUAUGGAGAAGAUAAGGAAAAGAAUGGUAAUUAUCAGGAAUUCAAAUAAAAGCAGCAGUGGAAGAUAGAUAUCAAAUCAGGAAAUUCUUGAUUUUGUUCCCUAAUGUUAUCUGCAAACGUUGGAAGAUAGAUAUCUUGGAUAUAUCCUAUAAAUAGAGACAGAGAGACCAGCUAGGGUUUUUUAGAGAGAGGAGGGGUUAGAUCGUUUUCCAUUGUUAGAUCGUUUUUCAAUGUUCUGAGAGUUUUUCAAGUAUUUUGAAGAGACGACAAAAGUGGUGACAGAAUUCUUGUCCUUUGAUUCAAGAUGCUGGGUUUGAUCUAUAUUUUUACUUUUAUUUCUUAUUCUACUAUGUUCUAAUUUUCUUUUGUUAGGGCUACGAUGUAGCCUAACCAUAAUGAUAUGAAUUUCAUGAUUUUUAUGUUUUACAAUUGAUUUCAUUCAUGUGAGUUAUAUAUUAUUACGUUUAAUGCUUUUGAGUGACUGGCCACCACUUGAAUGAUCUGAAGUGUAUGUUUGAGACUGAGAGGUGAUAAUAUGCAAUUGCUCAUUAUAAUAUAUAACCAUGAAUUAAACGUGGAUAGAAAUAUACCGCGUUAUUUGUGUAGCUUUCGGUGAUAAGGUGAUCCAAAAGACUCAUUGUCAACCGGGAAUAUUCAUAGUUCUUAAUGCACUCAUGUUUAUUUUAAUUCACAUAGAGAUAUAGUGGAUUAAUAAGCUUAGUAGGUUUGCUAUACCUAGAGAUAGGAUAGUAAAUAAAUUAGGAAAUUCCGCUACCACAUGUUUGAUAUCGUUCUUGUAUUCACAACAAUCUGAAAUUCAUAUCUAGUGGUUAUGGUGAAAUUGGAUGCUCUAACAUAUUUAUCUGAUUGAUUUUACUGCAUUUAGUCUUCAAGUUUUGUUUUUAAUUUAUUCUAAAUUAUAUUUUGAUUUGUUAGAUAAAUUUUAGAAUUAAUCUAUUUUAGUAUUUAAUUAGUUUAUUAAUCAUCGAUCUCCGUGGGACGAUACUUUUUCUCAUCAUUAUAUUACUUGUUCGAUACGUGCACUUGCGUUUAGAAUUUUACGAACAUUGAUUCUCUUCUCAUGAUCAUGAGGUCGUUUAUGGUCAUAGAUGAGAUAGCUAGUAUAAGCACCUAGAGGGGGGGUGAAUAGGUGUAUAAUAAUUUCUCAUGAUAAGUGAGCAAUACGAGAUAAACAAUAGAAAUGAAGUUCUCCUUUGGUUAACAAAACGAAUUAUGAUCCAAGUAAAGCAGAGAGUAGGGAAGAGAAAAUUAAACACAAGGUUUAUAGUGGUUUGGCUUAUUCCAAGCCUACGUCCACUCUUCCGCACUGACAGCCCACCAGCUGGAUUUCACUAUGAACAAAAGAGUUGUUACAGUAAAGUUCUCCCUUGAUUCCACAUUGUAGAUACUCUACCAUACUUCCUCAAGGUUUCUUAGAAUAUAGACUCUCUUUUGCAUACAAGAUUUCGCUCAGCAAAUGAAUUAACUAAGAACAAGGAGCUUCAGACUUUGGAAUUCUUCUAUCGUGCACACACUCGAACAACUGGAAUGUCUUCCUUAUAUACUCAUUUAUGCCAUCAUACCCGUUGGCACUUACUAAAGGAAUUCCUCCAAUCUACCCGUUGGACGGAAUCAAUUAGGAAGAUCAGUCGAGCUAUUAAAGGAACAUGUCGAUAGCCCAUCAAUCAUGUUCGCCUAUACAAUUAGGAUCUCGGUUUCCAUAAGUAGAACCUUCCAAGUAUACUUCGCCAAUUGUCGGAUCCUUAACCUUCGAAUCAAUCAUGAUCAAAUAAACGAUUCCAUUAUGUUAUAUCCAGCCUAGAGAUCUUCUCCAGUCGAUAAGGUCACAUCCUUAAUGAAACGCCCAGUUCUGGAUAGCCCUUCUUCAACGGAUUAGAAACUGUCAAUGAGAAUAGAUUUUGAGUCUUGAGUCUAGCAGUCCAGAGGUCUUCAGACUUUAAAUAGUAGAGUCUGCAAAUCUUCAGACUAGACUGAUGGAAACGUUUUGUCAGCUUCAAAAUACUUCACGAAGAUUUCUCCAACAAUCUCCCCCUUUUUGAUGGUGACAAAACUUUUCUGCAGAUUUGGAUAACUUUAACCUGCAAAAUAUUACUCAAACAAAUAUGGAUAUCUUAUAAAGAUAAAUGGCUUAAUGAUAACACUAGAAUCUGCAACCACAGAAAAUAGGUUAGUCUUUCAUGUGAGUAAAGCCAUUCAUAAGAUAUCAAAAGUACUUAAUAUAAGCAGUCAAAUCCAAAUCCCAAAUUCAGUCCACAUCCAGAGACAAAAGUCAAGUCAAACAUCGAAACAAUCCAAAAGUUCAAAAAGUUUUAAGGUUCAAAGUUUUCAAAUCUUACAUCUCUCCCCCUUUUUGUUAGCAUAAAAAAAGGUUGAGAUGGAAAUAGAAUAGAGUCAAGAUUGCUUGGGAACACGAACAAGCUGGAAAUCUCCCAUUGACUGGACAAUGCCUUCUAGCUUUUUCAAUUCCUCUUUCAGUUGAGCUACAUCUUCACCCUUAGCAUUUGCUUGAAUCUGAAGAGCAAGGGCUUGGAUCUGAUCAUUCAAAGAAACUGAAGAAGCUUGACCUGCAUUUUGCAAAUUCUGAACUUCGCAUCUCAGAGCAUAUAUCUGACCCCGCAUUUCCAAGAGAACAUCAAGAAUUCUGCGAAAAUCUGCUAAAUUAUCAGUCUGCGUACUGGCUUCUGCACGAUCAGAUGGAGUAAAGGCAGACGAUGACAAAUCAGCAUAGUCACGCAGAUUGGGCGAUGAAACAUCAUGUCCCUCCUCAAAAAAUUGAGAGGCAUAAAUGUCCUCUGGAUCUGCUGGAGAGCGACUGACUCCCUCACUAGUAGCAGGAUAUGAGGACAUUCCUCUUUUCUCAUGGUCUCCCCCUGUUUCCAUGCCUCCAGGUGGAGAAGAGUGUUCCUCAUGUUCUCCUUCCUCUUGAUCUUUUUUCUCUUCUUCUUCUUUUUCAAUUCUUUCCUCCUCAGCAUCUCUUUCUUCUUCUUCUCUCUCCUCUGUUUCUUUCUCUUCUACUUCCAAAUCUUCUCUUUCUUCAAUCCUCUGUUCUGAGUCUUUCUCUUGUCGUUCCUUUGAUUUUGGAAUAGAACGGCUCAGGUUCUUUAAUGCCAUUGCAGAAAUGGUGAUGUCUUCCUCAUCAUCUUCAUCCUCAACAAUGAGAGCUCUUCUUUUCUUGGAUGGAGCAACCAUGGGCUCCUUCUCUUUUCUUUUUGCUGCCGAAGAGAUUUGAUGAGUUUUGACAGGGGUUUUUUCCUUGAAUUUCUCCAACGCCUUGCUGAGUUCCUUCAGACGCAUUUUAGUCACCAUUUUCAGUCCCACCACCAUUUGAUCACAAGAUCGAACAUAGAGAAUUCGUGGAGGCUGAACAUUCAAAUAUCUGAAUAACUUUGUCACAAGACCUGGAUAAGGAAGUUGACCUUUGUCCUUCACCACUGCUCUAUACAUGUGGAACAUAAUAGUGUGAGGAAGAGAAAAAAUUUUCCCAACAAUGAUGGCAUACAUAUGUUUUGCCUCUGAGUUUGAAACAUCAGUCUUUGAAGUAGAUUUUGGUCUGAGGCAAUUAAUGACAAUCUUGUGAAGCAGAAUGUUAAAUGUGCUCAUCCUCAAGUAGGAAAUCUUUUCCUCUGUCCUUCUAUCCUUAACAAGUUCCAACGUAGCACGAGCAAUAGAGACAUUGAUAGGUUGAUAUCUCCCUCUCUCAACCCCAAUGACAUCAGCCAACAUAUCUACAUCCACCACAUAGUCCUGAUCUCAGACACUAAAAGAGAAUCUAUUCGCAUCCAAGAAACUGAGAUUCAAAUAGAAAUAUGCAGUGAGUUCAGCAUAGGCUUCUGUAGAGUCAAAACAGAACUGUUCAAGUUGAAGAAGACUAAAUUUUUCCGUUAAAUUAACAUUCACGGCAUCAAGGAAAUCAAAAUCCACACUUCUAGGGUUUAUCACCCCACACUUCAACAACUUAGAGUAUAAAAGCUUUUGUUCCUCCGAUCGAAACAAGUCGGUCCUUUUUUCCCGAAUUUUUGCCGCAACACCCAUUCUCGGUUGAAACUGACUAUACAAUUUAUCAUCAUCAUUCCCAUCUGGCUGAUUCAGCCCUCCAACAUGCGGAUCACUUGGGAUAUUAGCAAGGAUUUCUUCUACCAACCCCGCAGGGGCAAUUCCCAAACGCUCCAUAUUUCGUAAAAAGAUGUACUCAUUUCCAUACCCUUUGUCCUUAAGAAACUCAUCGAUGUAGUUCAAUGGAGUACCGGUCCUCUUUAAAGCACGAUAAAGCUUAUAAAUAAAAGAGGGCUUUUGAAUUCUUACAAGAUCUGCGCCUUCGAUGAUUUCUUCAUUUUCUCAAUGAGCAAUAUCCUAUGGACUAGAUGGAGGAGAAUGACGCUGCUGAGAAUGUUGUGGGCUUUGCUGCUGACUAGGAGACUCUUCUUCCUCGGUGAGAUCAAAAUGCGUAGGCCCCUCAUGCAUUUGCGGUCCCCUACUUGCAAUCCUCGAAGACUUCCUUUGAGACGACAUCUUUCACAGUCUUUGAAAGAUUCCAAACUUGACUUUCCCAAGAAAGAUGACAACUUUUUCGAAGAUUAAACAAGAGAAGAAGACAGGAAUGGAAGAUCAGUGCUCUCUUAGGGUUUUUGAGAGUAAAGCGAAGAAGAAACAACACUGUAUAAAACAGUCGAAGAGAGGCAUACGGAACAUCAUAAAAGAAGGUAAAAAGAUGCUUUUUUAAAACAUAACUGCCUUUUUCGAAAAAAUAGAUAAUAGUCAUUUAAAAAAUAACUCCUUUUUCGAAAAGGAAACGUUGCAAUAAUCACGUCAAUUAAAAAUAGCAAUAAUCAAACACGGUUAAUGAUCGUACCUUUUCAAGAUGAUAUUUGAGAGAUAAAAUAAAAUAACUUACGAAAAAAAAACUUGAUCGUCUGAGACUGAGUAUCUUUAGACUUUUAGUCCUGAGUCUGAAUUUCCUCAGACUUUAAGAUUUUGAGUCUGGAACGAAUAGCUUCAAAUUGAUUUUUCUCCAAAUGCUUUGUGAUUAUAUCCGCCAGUUGGUUCUUUGAGUCAACAAACUAAAUAGAAACUUCUCCAUUUUGAACAUGAUCUCUAAUGAAGUGAUGUCGAAUCUCUAUAUGCUUUGCUCUUGAGUGAAGAAUUGGAUUCUUAGUGAGAUUGAUUGCGCUAGUGUUGUCACAUUUAAUCUCUGUGUAUGAAUCUUCAAUUCCAAAGUCUCUUAGUUGUUGCUUUAUCCACAGAAUUUGUGAACAACAACUUCCAAGAGCUACAUACUCUGCUUCUGCUGUAGAGAGAGCUACUGUAUUUUGCUUCCUUGAAAACCAAAACACUGUCCUACUUCCAAGAAGUUGACAAGUACCUAAGGUGCUCUUUCUAUCAACUCUGCAUUCGGCUAGGUCUGCGUCUGAGUAUCCAAGAAGAGUAAAGUCUCCCUUUUUAGGAUACUAAAUACCAAAGUUUGAAGUUGAAGUAAUGUAUUUGAUAAUACGCUUUGCAGCACUUAAAUGAGAUUCUUUAGGGUCUGCUUCAAAUCUGGUACAAAUGCAAACACUAAACAAAAUGUCAGGUCUAGAAGCAGUAAGAUAAAAAAGUGAGCCAAUGAUACUCCUGUAUAGCUUCUGAUCGACUUUCUUUCCUCCUUCAUCUUUGUCUAUCUUCAAGGAACUUGACAUUGGUAUAUCAGCCUUUUUGCAAUUAUCCAGUCCAAACUUUUUGACAAGAUCAUUAGCAUAUUUUUCUUGAUGAAUAAAAGUUCAUUCCUUCAGUUGUUUCACUUGAAGCUCGAGAAAGAAUGUUAACUCACCCAUCAUGCUCAUUUCAAAUUCAUCCUGCAUAGUCGUAGAGAAUUUCUUGCACAGACUUUCAUUAGGGGAUCCAAAAAUAAUAUCAUCAACAUAUAUUUGAACAAGUACAAAACUUUUUCUUUCUCUUUUAAUAAAUAGAGUGGUGUCUACUUUACCUUUUAUAAAGCCAUUUUGAAUUAAAAACUUACUCAGCCUGUCGUACCAAGCUCGAGGUGCUUGCUUUAGACCAUAUAAAGCCUUUUUGAGUCUGAAUACCGAGUCUGGUUUCUUUGGGUCUUCAAACCCAGGUGGUUGUUCCACAUAGACUUCCUCAUUGAUAAAUCCAUUUAGGAAAGCACUUUUGACGUCCAUUUGAAAUAACUUGAAAUUCUUAUAGCAAGCAAAAGCAAGUAAUAAUCUAAUUGCUUCUAACCUCGCUACUGGUGCGUAAGUCUCGUCAUAGUCUAUCCCUUCUUCUUGCGUAUAUCCCUUGGCCACGAGUCUUGUUUUGUUUCUUACGACCUUUCCUUUCUCGUCCAUCUUAUUCCUGAAAACCCAUUUAGCUCUAAUAAUAGAUUUACCUUUUGGUUUGUAAGUCAACUCCCAAACACCAUUAAUGCUGAAUUGCCUGAGUUCUUCUUGCAUGGCUUCAAUCCAGCUUUCAUUAGAUAAAGCUUCUUCUAUACUUUUGGGUUCUUUUCAAAAAUAAGAGCUACAGCACUAGACGCUUCUCGCCUUUUGGAUCUUGUGUGAAUUCUUUCAUUAAUGUCGCCAAUAAUAAGAUCUUUGGGAUGACUGGACUUAUGCUUCCAGUUGCUGGUUAAUUUGUCAGGUUGAUGAUCACUUCCUUCAUUUGAAUCUUUAACAAUCAUUUGUUGCUGGUCUUUCGAAGUUUGAGCUGCUUCCUGAGAUUUAGACUUUGUAGAGUCUGGAGCAGGUUCAGGUUCUUCAAGAUGAGUCUGAAUAUAUUCAUUUUGCAUAGAAUCUUGGAAUUUGAUAUUCAUUGAUUCCUCCACAGAUUGAGUCUUCAUGUUGUAGACUCUAUACGCUUUGCUUGUGGUUGAAUAUCCAAGGAAGAUGCCUUCGUCUGAUUUUUCUUCAAACUUGCCAACUCGAUCAUUUGCAUUUUUCAAUAUAAAGCAUUUACAUCCAAACACAUGAAAAUAUGAAACAAUAGGCUUCUUUUAUUUGAAUAAUUCAUAGGGGGUUUUUUCUAGAAUAGGCCUUAGAAAAACUCUAUUAAUGAUAUAACAUGCUGUAGAAACUGCUUCAGCCCAAAAACGUGAAGACAUGUUGCUUUCUAUUAAAAGAGUUCUAGCCAUUUCUUGAAGUGACCUAUUCUUUCUUUCCACAACUCCGUUUUGUUCUGGAGUAUAUAGAGAGGAGAAUAAAUGCUGAAAACCAGAUUCAUCACAAAAUUUAGUAAAAUCUUGAUUUUCAAAUUCACCUCCAUGGUCUGUUCUUAUACUUGAAAUAACAUACCCUUUUUCGUUUUGAACCAUUUUAGCAAAUUUUUCAAAGUAAGAGAAAGUUUCAGGCUUACUUGCUAGGAAAUAUACCCAAGUAAAUCGUGAGUAGUCAUCCACAAUUACUAGGCAAUAUUUAUUUCCUCCAAUGCUCUGAGUUCUGGUUGGUCCAAAGAGAUCCAUAUGCAGAAGCUACAGUACACGAUUAGUGAAAACUUGAUUUAUUGGUUCAAAGGAAUUUCUUACCUGUUUUCCUAAUAUGCAUGGUGUCGCGACCAAUUUUUUCGGGGUUUAAACCACCUAGGGUUUGGCUAAUGGAUUGUUAAGCCUAGACUUAACUCGGGCUCUCCCAAGCCCAUACCAAUUCGCGACUUAGGUUCAAGUUUAUAACAUGCAAAUGAUUUUUCAAUUAGGAGUCGCCACUAAUCUAUUUUUGGUGGGUCGAUUAGAAACCCAAGUAAAGUAACGGGAGAUUCACUUUACUCCUACGAACCAGAGACUAUGGGUACGGGGACUUGGUUACACUAGAUUCCUCUAAUGCCCUUUCGGUACCUUUCUUUUUAUUUUGAAAAAUGUUUGGCAAGCAGUUUUGAUUGAUUUUAAAUUUAUUUCCCUAACAUGUGAGGCGAUCAUGCGAGUGCGCAAACCACCAAUUUAACACUCAGAUAAAGCAGUGAAUAAAUUAUAGGAUUUACCUCGAAGCAACGAAAGCAUCUGCGUUGUUAGAUCAAAAUUCACAUAAGCAAUCCUAGAUAUGAUUUCUAAUUAACACGCAAUCACUCAAUUUUUGCUUUCGUUUUAAUGAGAAUCAUGCAAUGCAAUACACUAAUCUAACAUGCAAUGAUAUGGCAUAGCAAUAUGACCUAAACUAACAUAAGUAAAAAAAUGAUUUUUUGUGUUUUCUUAGUGAACAUGCAAUAAUUAAAUAUGCAAUCUAAAUUAACCAAAUGACCUAACUCUAAUGACGAGGAAAUUCUAAUUAAAUGAACCUAGCAAUUACUAAAUGACGUGCAUUUCAUGAACCCAAUUCUAUAUGACGUGCACGUGAUUUUUUAUUUUCUUAAUAAGCAUGCAAUCUAUCCUGAUAUGCAAUGACGUGCAAAGAAUGCCCUAAUUCUAAUUUUUCUUUUUCUCUUAUGAAAUUCAAAAUUAAAAUGGCCAAAUAAUUAAACCUGCAAUUCAAAUUUAAAACUAACAUCCUAGAUGAAUGCAAUCUAAUUCAAAGAUAUCAUCUAACCUAGAUAUCAUCUAAACAUGCAUUUUAAAAAAACUAACUAACCUAUCAUGCAAUCAAUCCUAAUCUACAUGGGAUGGGAAUGCAAUUUUUUUGUAUUUUCGGGAUAAAUAGAACAACUAUGAGAUAGACAUCAAACCAACCAUGAUCGUCAAGAAUAUUAUCCAUCACUCAAUUUGAAAUUCAAAUUUGAUUAUCUCGCUAAUAAAAUCGAUAAAUUGAUCUUAAGCCUUAAAGAUCAAGAUAUCAGUUUUACUCCCGCGUGAAUAAUUAUUCCAUCUAAAGCCUUAUAGAUAGAAUAAAAAUUCGUGCGGUUGCGAAUUGGAUGCUACAUUAGGGAAUUUCAAUGAUGUAUUGGAAAAAAAAAUCAAACAAAGAGAUAAAAUAUCAAAACCUCAAACAAGAUAAACAAAUCUACCUAAUAAGUUAAAUCUACCUAAAAGAUAAACCUAUCAAAUAAAGUAAAAUAGAUCUAUACCUAAAUUUGAAUUUUUCCAAAAAACCAAUCGGUAGAACGGACCAACGAUGGGCAUGGCACGGCACGGCUCAGCUUUAGGGCAACGGUUGUGGCAAUAUCUCGGCUUGGCUUGGCACAAUUUGUGACGAUUUCGAUGGGCUAAUGUUCGGGACAUCAAUGUGGCGUCGAGUUAAACAUGGAACAGCAACGUUGACGCAACAAAAUCAGCAAGCUUCACCGAUAUUGGGUUGGGUUGUGAUGGACACAAUUCAAGCCUGAGGAACUCACGGACACGCCUACACCGAUACUGCUCAAUCCACUUUGAAGCACACCUCGACACCUGGACGUGGGCAGCAAUUGGGAUAGCAAACAGUCAACGUUUGAAGAUCCAAAUAUUUGCUGGAGAAGUUGAGGAAUUUGCUGUGAUGCUCAUCCCUCCUUGACGCGCCCUUGGACUAACGUGGCAGAACAAUGGGAACAGCAAAUUAGUUGACGUUGGGCGCCCUUCACAGACAAAACACCGCACCGAGAAGGAGCUGCAGGCACACGUGGAGAUCACCGAUGUCGAUGGAGCCUCCUUUGAACUUCCGAAGGUAAAAGGCACCGAGAAGGAGCUGCAGGCACGCGUGGGGAUCACUGAUGUCAAUUGAUCACCGAAAAUCAAAGGGCAGCACACGUUCGCCAACGAUUCUCCCUCACGAUCCGUCCCUCUCUCUCGAUUCUCAACUUUUCGUCCUCAAUUGUCCGGCCCCUUUACUCGACGGAAAGGACUCCUUUUAUAGGCCAAAAAAUUGUAUCUUCGUGGUAUAUUUCAUUUCUAAUUUUGCCUGUGCACGAUACUAUUGAAUAUAUCAUUCUAUCCCGCGCAAUAUUUUCAAAUAUUUCAUUCGAAAAUUUCCUUUCUGUCAAAAAUACAUCACUCGGUGUAUAUUGCCUAAAUAUAUGAAAAUCCCAACGAAAUAUGUGAAGAAUUUUGCACUCGCCGACGGUCCAAUAAAAUAAAUAAAAAUGUUCCUAAACUAUAUGCCAUGUUAUUAUUUUUUAUUUUUAUUUUAGUAAAAAUUAACCCAAAGAUUGUGCAAAAAUUUAGGUGUCAACAGCUGCCCCUCUUUGAAGGUGAGCUCGCAGAGGUUGCCUUCAAAGAUAAAUUGAGACCUAAAUUUUGGUCAUGCACAUGCAAUGAAUGAUUUUUUGUUGGAACAUGAAUUCCAUUUUUAAUGCAAUUUAUAUGAUGCAUGGAAAUGCAAAUGAUAGAUGAACCUACCUGAAAUAACUUACCUUCGAGGAGGAUAGAGUAAUCCGAGGUAGUGGGUGUUACCGGUCCAGGACACGUACCAUUCUACGGUCGCUUAGGGUGCGCAUGGAUUUGUUUCUGUUCUUUUUUUGUUCCUGGGAACAGAAACAAAAAAAAGUGUUUCUGUUCCGGGGAACAGUUUUUGAACAAAAGAACACGUUUGGUAACGUUUGGUCGGGGAAUAAAAAAUGAACAGAAACAUGUUUGGUAAAUUUUAUUAUUUUUUUGUUUCUUUUAAUUUUUUAAACAUUUUUUUUAUUUUUUAUUUUUCCUUUCUUUUUAUUUUUUCUUUUCUUCGGCCGGUCCCCGGCCUCCGGCGACCGGCCGACGGGGCCGGCAGCCUCGCCCAGCCACGGCGAGGCUCGCCGGAUCUGGGCGAGCUCGAGCUCGCCCAGCCAUGGCGAGGCUCGGCCUCGCCGGAUCUGGGCGAGGCCAAGCCUCGACGGCCGGUCGCCGGCGACCGGCCAAAAUGAAAUAGAAGAAAAAAAAGAAGAAAAGAAGAAGAGAAGAGUGAUUUUUGUUCUUUUGUUCCUUCCGAGAAGUGUUUCUUUCAAGAGAAACAACUUUUUUUUGUUUCUUUUUUCUGUUUCUAUUUCGUUCCAGAAACAAAAAAACAAAAAAAGAACAGAAACGCAACCAAACGCGUUUCUGUUCUUUUUUUGUUCCCGGGAACACUUUCCGUACAGAAGUGUUCCGGAAACACUUUUUUGGAGUGUUUCCAUGCACCCCCUUAGAAUAGUGAAGAUGCUGCUUUCCUAGGACCCAUACCAUUCUACGGUCGCCUAGUAUAGCAGAAAUGAGCUGCUUUCUCGAGACCCGUACCAUUCUACGGUUGCCCAAUACGGCAUAAAGGUUUUGUAAGGAACUGCUUUCCCAGGACCCGUACCAUUCUACGGUCGCCCAGUACAGUAGAAAGGUUUCAUCUAGGACCCGUACCAUUCUACGGUUGCCUGAAUAAGGAAUAGGUGUUGUCAAGGACCCGUACCAUUCUACGGUCGCCUGAAUGAGGAAAUUGCUUUUCCAGGACUCGUACCAUUCUACGGUCGCCUGUUAGAGCAAUAAAUGUUGUCUAGGACCCGUACCAUUCUACGGUUGCCUAGACUGAGGUUUUGCUUGGCCAGGACCCGAACCAUUCUUCGGUCGCCUUAAUCAGAUUGAAUCUGGAGAGAAAUCUUUGGGGGACAACUCAAUCGAGUGUCGGUAUGCUUAAAAGGGAAUACCUGUGCAAUGACAAAUAUUCCAGGUAUGGAUAGAGAUAUACUUACCUGGUAACAUCUCCGAUCUUCGGGGAUACAUCUCCUGCAAAACAUGGUCGUAGGAGAGACAACAUGCAUUGUUAAUCAUAAACAUGCAUCAAUUUAAUGGAGAUUCAUGAUGAUUUCCAUUAAUCUUGCAUCGCCUAAUUUCUAUUCUAAACACAUGAGUGUCAUGAAUGUGUCAAAUGAGGGAUCCUUUGGUCUGAAAGGACUUUUUCUCUCAUCCUCAUUAAAAUGGCAAUUUCAUCCUGACCUUUGAUGCAGGAUUUUGUCAAUUACUCUAUCUCACCAUCGUCAUGCCAAACAAGGGUCUGAGCAAUCUCGCAAGUGGUACGAUCUCACCAAUCUGAGAGGUCUUUAAAAGGGACCGUAAUGUGGGCUUAGUCAAUGGCUUAACAAAGGGGACUCUUUUGAGUCGAGGUUAUUUGAAAAAUGACAUUUCGUAACUGUCUUGGGAUUUUCAAGUCAAGAAAUAUAUGAAAUGAGGCAGUAAUUAUCUUACUCGCACUUCUUCAAGCGAUGCUUUCAAGCAUAUGAACUCUUACGUUAAUUCAAGUGCCCUAAUCUGAAGAGACUUUGUAAGGGACGUAACGUAGGCUUGGUUCAUGGGUUGUGAAAUGAAAGGAUCAUUAGGCUCAAAAAGUGUUUAAAGGGUCAAAGUUGGUGAUCAUCUUGACAUUUCCACCACUUUCCUUCUCCAUUGUCAGAGAUUUUUUUUUUUUUUUGCGCAUCGAUUGCAACAGCAUUUGAGUUUUUUUUCUUUUUUCUUUUGGGCAUCGGCCUUGCUUUUACCAGGCACACUGCUUUUUUCAUGCCCCAUUUUUGCAUUUUUUUUUAACAAAAUCUCCAUUUUUGUCGGUAUUCUAGUUCAUGCUACUUGAGUGUUUUUGUCUUGCCCCAGUGUGGGGGAUGAUCAUCAACUGGGUUUAAUAUGAAAUGAAUUCAUAGGCUCAAGUGGGCUAUGCAAUGGAUAAAAGUGUGUAGGAUAGAGAAAUGACUGCUCUUCAUCAUCCUAAGGCACUUUAAACUAUCAUAUGAGUUACAACGCGAAAGCAAUACUCGAAGAUUGAUGCAAGUGUGAGUAAGAAAAUUCCUAUCAUUCAUUUCAAACUCGGUCCCAAUGUGAGAUGAUCCUUGACAGGGAUGAUUUAAAAACUCUUUAUGUGUGUGGGCUCGAAGGGCUAAACAAUGGGUAUACCUGUAGUGUUUCGGGUAGAAGAAGAAAUUGCCUCUCGUCACCUUGGUUAGUGUACCCUUCGCGAGAUCACCCUUUUCGUUGCGGGCAUGGAAUUUCUUCAUACAACUUACCGAUGAUUAGUGUAUGGGAUAGUGUAUGGAACAAGGCUUGCCUUUCAUCAUUCCCAGGUAUCUCAUUCGACACACACAAUUCAUCAAGGAAGAAAAAUGCAAGAUUUAUGACAAAUUUGAACAAUUCAGCUCAUUGAGGCAUUUUAUUAGUCACAAAAAUACUUGCAGACAUGACAUGGCAAAUUCUAUCAUGGAUAAUAUUUCUUGACAACAUCAGCAUUAAUUGGGGUGGAAAACUCACGACCACCCAUCUCUGCUUGGAUCAAAGCACUUCCAGGAAGUACCUUCUUCACCACGUAUGGGUGGCUGCAGUUUGGAGCAAACUUGCCCCCAGAAUCUGGAAUUGGAUUGGAUCCUCUUCAUACCUUUGCAUGCUAUAAGACUGUCUCUGAAACAUAAUGUAGAUGGGUCAAAUAGACAAACGGGGUAAAUCAUUUUUUUUUUGAAAGAAUUUUUUUUUAAAAGCAAUUGGAAGAGUAUUUUUUUGAAGCAUUUUGACACGAGAAAGCACGAUGAAGCCCAGGCCUCAAAAUUUCUCCAUGGAUGAUAUUUUCUUUUUAUUGUUGGCUGGAUAUCAUCACCAGGCUGGUUUGGUAUACCUCAUCAUGCCCUCAAAAUAAAACUUGCAAUUUUAUUGAUAUUCAUCAAUCAAUUACAUUUAUUGAAUGGAAAUGCGAUUUUCAAGCCCUAAAAAGAAAGCGAAGAGAAAGAAAUAAAAAAACAAGCCCUAGAGAGUGAUAAAAAUUCCCGCGCAGGGGAAUGUGGGAAAGCAGGAAACGAGUUACUCUUGUGGGCUAGAGCCCAUCUUCUCCGGAGGUCCUUCAUCAAUGGUCCCUAUGAAGACGUCAUCGAAGAGACUAGUGAUCCCUUCCAAUGCAUCAUCGGGGUUCUCUGUUUCCGAGGGUGUUGGAUCAUCCAUGCCACCCCAUCCAUCUGGGACAAUGCUGCAGGGAUCAAUGUAGAAACUAGGAGGAGCCGUAUACUUCACCAGAUAGUCGAAUUUUCCGCUCGGCUGCCCUAGGGUGUCUAUUAUUUCUGCUUCAUCCUGCAUCAUUACCGGGGGGCUAGGGAAUGUCUCACGAAUGUUCGGGGGUGAUGGGUUUUGCCUUCCUCGCUCGUGGUCAGGUGACGGGUUCCGCCUUUCAUGUCUUCGUCCUCCAGAACUUUCCCCACCUCUUCCAUGGUACCCUAAUCUAGCAACACGAGACCUCUGAGGGGCUUCAUUGGGACUUCGAAUGCCCUGACCAUUUCUUUCAAGGCCACUACUAGGAACAAAACCAUUCCCAACCAUCAUCCUUCCCAUUAUGAGAGUAGCAUUUGAAACUUCAGGAGUGGGUGGUGAGUCUCGAGGUGCAUGUAUGGUGGACACCAACUCCAAUGAGUGGUAACUCGAUUCGACUUCAACGUCUGGAUCCAGAAUAGCAUUGACCGUACCCUCAUGCUCUGGUAGUGGAUUCUUCUGGACGUUCAGCCGAGCAGUUUGAAAUGAGAAGGCCUUCGUGUCCAAGAGGUCUUGGAUCUUAUGCUUGAGAGUGAAACAUUCAUCAGUUGAAUGCCCCAAUUCGCCGCUAUGGUAAUCACACUUCUUCAUUGGGUCGUAGCCUCAGAUGCUUUCACGAUUAGGACGCUUCGGCUCAUUAGUAAGCAAACCUUUCUUUCUUAGGAUUGCCAACACUUGGGAUGGAGAUCCGGGGAGAGGGGUAAACUGUCUUCUUGCUUGGGCAGCUUGUUGCCUUUGAUUCAUCUGGAUAGUCGGGGCACGAUUGGUACUUUCUUGGCUAUAAGCCAUAUUCACAUCUUCAGCAGGCUCUUUAUCCUUCUUGGCAAAGAAUCUUCUACUCGAUGGCUCAGUAAACCAUCCUUCCCUUAUCCCCAUCUCGAUUUGUUCCCCCACAGAAAUAAGCUGAUUGAAGCUUUCAACGUACAUGCUGGCCAUCCGGAUACGGAACUCAGAUGGGAGAGUUUUGAUAAAUAACUUCAUCAGCUCCUUGUCAGUAGGCUCGGGGGUGAUUUGAGUUGCCAGAUUUCGCCAUCUCACGGCAUACUCUUUGAACAACUCGCUCUUCUUCUUCUCCAUCAUCUCAAGAUCCUCUCGGGAAGGUGCAAUAUCCAUGUUGAAUUUGUAUUGCUUGAGAAAUGCAUCAGCCACUUCAUUCCAAGUGUUGAGAAGGUUCACAUUCUUCAUGACAUACCAAUUCAGUGCAGGCCCAGUCAAACUUGCAUGGAAUGAUUGGAUCAUGAGAGGCUCGUUCUUGACAUUUGGGCCAUGCGCACGUGGUACAUCUGCAAAUGAGCUUUUGGGCAGGAAGUACCAUCGUAUUUCUCAAAAUCCGGCAUUUUGAAUUUCUUUGGCAUCUUGACUUUCUCGUACACGGACAAGUCGAACAGGAGUGAACUCUGUGACUCCUGCAAUUGUUUCAACUUUUCUUCUAAUUUCACAAAGCGUUCAUCCUACUCCGUCUUAGGGAUGUUGACAAGCUUAGCAUUUUCCACAUUGAUCUGGAAUGGAUCAUCUUCCAGCCCUGGCAUGUCAUCCUCACCUAUUAGGGCCUUGUUUGCCGGCUUCGGGACUACUAUCUCAGGGAGAGUAGGUGCAGGAGCCAGAUUCACUUGGAGGGAUUGAAGUUGAGCUGUUAUAAGCUCCAUAGAGGCAGCUAACUGUUGGAGUUGGCCUUCCACGGAGGACAUGCGAUCGCGCAUCUCGCUUUGGUUGGCCAUUCUUGCUCUUAAUCGCAUGAUAAUAGGCGAGCGUGGAGAAUCCGUUAUCACCUAAAUCAAAUGGAUGAAAAUGCAUAAGUAUGAGGUGCAAAUAGCGAAUCAAUCCAUGACAAUGAUCUAUCAACUUUUUUUCUUUUUUUUCUUUUUUAUGAAAAGUUCUUACAAGAAGAGAAUUUCCUAAAGAGAGCUAGAAAAGUGGAUACCUUAGCAAGAUCAAAUUUUCUAGACAUGAAUUGAAAACAAAUUCUCCAAAGUUUUUUAAUUUUCCAAAUGAUUUAUUGCAUGGCAAUUUCCUCAUUUCAUCUCUAAUUGACAAAGAAGUUAAAUUAAUGAUUGACCUAAAUUGUCAUGGACCGACCAAAAACAUUACAAAAUAAAUUGCAUGGUAUAAGGAUAGAAGACUUACUUCACCAAGGUAAAACAACGGCAAUCACAUAGACAAGCGCAUGAAGUGUGAGGUUCGAUUUCUAACUAGGAAGGCUAAACAAGGUGGAGUUAAAAGGGUGGGAUGACUUAGUUGCAGCCUCGCAUACUAAGUCAAGUCCUCCUAACUCCGGCUCAGUCAAGAAUGAUACCCCAAUGCGACGUAGCCUCGCGGGCAAAGGCAAACAUUCUUGACACCAAGAAAAACAUUCGGGAUUGAGUUGGGCAACCUCUACUACACAGCCUCGCGGUCGAAGUCAUAUCCAACUCAAUACCAUCCUAUAUAUCCUAGUGCAGCCUAGGUCCGGCCACAGGUUGUGUGUGCAAUAGUGUAGUGCUAAAAUGCAAAGCAUGCACUACAGUUUAUAUCAAGCAGCACUUCAAUAACUUGAAUUUAAAACAUUCAUCUCCAACUCCAACCUACAAGACAAUAGUUAGCAAAGACUACUCCUCUUAUACCUCACAAUCUGCAAAAACAUUUAACACCUUAAAUGUUAGGGACGUACCUGGAAUCCUCGCUGCCAAACAAAAAUAUUUUUUUUUCCAAAAAGAAGAAAAUUGGCCUAAGUCCACUAAAUGUUUUAACACAAGUCCCCAGCGGAGUCGCCAAGCUGUCGCGACCAAUUUUUUCGGGGUUUAAACCACCUAGGGUUUGGCUAAUGGAUUGUUAAGCCUAAACUUAACUCGGGCUCUCCCAAGCCCAUACCAAUUCGCGACUUAGGUUCAAGUUUAUAACAUGCAAAUGAUUUUUCAAUUAGGAGUCGCCACUAAUCUAUUUUUGGUGGGUCGAUUAGAAACCCAAGUAAAGUAACGGGAGAUUCACUUUACUCCUACGAACCAGAGACUAUGGGUACGGGGACUUGGUUACACUAGAUUCCUCUAAUGCCCUUUCGUUACCUUUCUUUUUAUUUUGAAAAAUGUUUGGCAAGCAGUUUUGAUUGAUUUUAAAUUUAUUUCCCUAACAUGUGAGGCGAUCAUGCGAGUGCGCAAACCACCAAUUUAACACUCAGAUAAAGCAGUGAAUAAAUUAUAGGAUUUACCUCGAAGCAACGAAAGCAUCUGCGUUGUUAGAUCAAAAUUCACAUAAGCAAUCCUAGAUAUGAUUUCUAAUUAACACGCAAUCACUCAAUUUUUGCUUUCGUUUUAAUGAGAAUCAUGCAAUGCAAUACACUAAUCUAACAUGCAAUGAUAUGGCAUAGCAAUAUGACCUAAACUAUAUGACAUAAGUAAAAAAAAUGAUUUUUUGUGUUUUCUUAGUGAACAUGCAAUAAUUAAAUAUGCAAUCUAAAUUAACCAAAUGACCUAACUCUAAUGACGAUGAAAUUCUAAUUAAAUGAACCUAGCAAUUACUAAAUGACGUGCAUUUCAUGAACCCAAUUCUAUAUGACGUGCACGUGAUUUUUUAUUUUCUUAAUAAGCAUGCAAUCUAUCCUGAUAUGCAAUGACGUGCAAAGAAUGCCCUAAUUCUAAUUUUUCUUUUUCUCUUAUGAAAUUCAAAAUUAAAAUGGCCAAAUAAUUAAACCUGCAAUUCAAAUUUAAAACUAACAUCCUAGAUGAAUGCAAUCUAAUUCAAAGAUAUCAUCUAACCUAGAUAUCAUCUAAACAUGCAUUUUAAAAAAAACUAACUAACCUAUCAUGCAAUCAAUCCUAAUCUACAUGGGAUGGGAAUGCAAUUUUUUUUGUAUUUUCGGGAUAAAUAGAACAACUAUGAGAUAAACAUCAAACCAACCAUGAUCGUCAAGAAUAUUAUCCAUCACUCAAUUUGAAAUUCAAAUUUGAUUAUCUCGCUAAUAAAAUCGAUAAAUUGAUCUUAAGCCUUAAAGAUCAAGAUAUCAGUUUUACUCCCGCGUGAAUAAUUAUUCCAUCUAAAGCCUUAUAGAUAGAAUAAAAAUUCGUGCGGUUGCGAAUUGGAUGCUACAUUAGGGAAUUUCAAUGAUGUAUUGGAAAAAAAAAUCAAACAAAGAGAUAAAAUAUCAAAACCUCAAACAAGAUAAACAAAUCUACCUAAUAAGUUAAAUCUACCUAAAAGAUAAACCUAUCAAAUAAAGUAAAAUAGAUCUAUACCUAAAUUUGAAUUUUUCCAAAAAACCAAUCGGUAGAACGGACCAACGAUGGGCACGGCACGGCACGGCUCAGCUUUAGGGCAACGGUUGUGGCAAUAUCUCGGCUUGGCUUGGCACAAUUUGUGACGAUUUCGAUGGGCUAAUGUUCGGGACAUCAAUGUGGCGUCGAGUUAAACAUGGAACAGCAACGUUGACGCAACAAAAUCAGCAAGCUUCACCGAUAUUGGGUUGGGUUGUGAUGGACACAAUUCAAGCCUGAGGAACUCACGGACACGCCUACACCGAUACUGCUCAAUCCACUUUGAAGCACACCUCGACACCUGGACGUGGGCAGCAAUUGGGAUAGCAAACAGUCAACGUUUGAAGAUCCAAAUAUUUGCUGGAGAAGUUGAGGAAUUUGCUGUGAUGCUCAGCCCUCCUUGACGCGCCCUUGGACUAACGUGGCAGAACAAUGGGAACAUCAAAUUAGUUGACGUUGGGCGCCCUUCACAGACAAAACACCGCACCGAGAAGGAGCUGCAGGCACACGUGGAGAUCACCGAUGUCGAUGGAGCCUCCUUUGAACUUCCGAAGGUAAAAGGCACCGAGAAGGAGCUGCAGGCACGCGUGGGGAUCACUGAUGUCAAUUGAUCACCGAAAAUCAAAGGGCAGCACACGUUCGCCAACGAUUCUCCCUCACGAUCCGUCCCUCUCUCUCGAUUCUCAACUUUUCGUCCUCAAUUGUCUGGCCUUUUUACUCGACGGAAAGGACUCCUUUUAUAGGCCAAAAAAUUGUAUCUUCGUGGUAUAUUUCAUUUCUAAUUUUGCCUGUGCACGAUACUAUUGAAUAUAUCAUUCUAUCCCGCGCAAUAUUUUCAAAUAUUUCAUUCGAAAAGUUCCUUUCUGUCAAAAAUACAUCACUCGGUGUAUAUUGCCUAAAUAUAUGAAAAUCCCAACGAAAUAUGUGAAGAAUUUUGCACUCGCCGACGGUCCAAUAAAAUGAAUAAAAAUGUUCCUAAACUAUAUGCCAUGUUAUUAUUUUUUAUUUUUAUUUUAGUAAAAAUUAACCCAAAGAUUGUGCAAAAAUUUAGGUGUCAACACAUGGUAUACAUAAAUCAGACUUUUGGUAUGAUAGAUUGGGUAAACCACGAACAAGCUUCUUUGCUGAAAUUUUGGCUAUCUGCUUCAUAUUUAUGUGCCCAAGCUUUCUGUGCCAUAAGUUCGCUUCUUCUUGAAUUGAGAUUAGACAUUGCAAUUCAUCUGGUUUCACAUCCAAGAGGUAGAUAUUUCCAUGUCUUCGACCUAUGAAUGACUGAGUAGAAUCUUUACUUGUUCCUGAACAUAUUCCUUCUUGAAAAUUGAUUUUGAAACCAGUAUCACACAGCUGACUGAUACUGAGUAGAUUGUAGUUGAGUCCUUCCACUAAAGAAACAUUGCUUAUUGUGAGGUUUCCAAUCUUUACAGUUCCAAAUCCCACAAUUUUUCCUUUGCCGUUUCCUCCAAAAGAGACUUUUCCACCAUUUACUUGAACGAGCUUUAUGAAGCAAUUUGAAUCUCCCGUCAUGUGUCUUGAGCAUCCACUAUCCAGAUACCAUUUUACCUUUUUCUUGAUAGUGACCUGCAUUUAAAAAAGAAACUCAAACUUUCUUUGGUACCCAUAUUUUCUUGGGUCCAUUGUUGUUAGUAUGAUAUGCGGUUUUUGCCCAUACUUUCUUAACAGGUUUCCAAACCAUAGAACAUUAUUUUUCAAAAUGAUCUGCACUAUUGCACUUUGAACAUCUAAGAGCAUUGCGACCUAUUGGUUUUACAAAGAUCUUUUUAAAAUGAUUUUCGUAAGCAUCUCUUGUGGGUCUUUGCUUAAUUUUUUCCUUCACUUUAGGAAAAUCAAUUAAAGGAAUGGUUUCCACAGUCAUUCCCAAACUAGAUUUAUUGAAAUAAGGUCUUUGAACGGAAAGAAUUUUUUCCAGUUUCUCAGAUCCUAUAGAAAAUCUUUUAGAAAUAUUUGAGAUAUCAUUUUUCAAGAAUGCAUUUUCUUUUAAAAGAUUAUCUUCACUUUCUUUAAUAGAAGAAACAUUCAUGUCUAAACAUUUCACAUUUUCUUUCAAAACAUUUUCCUGUUGUUUUAGUGCAGAAUUUUCUCUUUUGAGUUCGGAAAUCCUUUUAAGAGAACUCUUAAGACUAAAACACAACUCAUCAAUGUAUUUAGAAACUUUAAUAGGGAUUUUGAAGUUACUCACCUCAAAUUCACUGUCUGAAUCUGAGUCUGUCUCGGAGUUUGAAUUUGAAUCCGAUUGUGCCAUCAGACAUAUAUUGGCAUAAUCAUCAUCACUUUCUUCACACUCUGUAUCACUCUAGGUUUCUGCUUUAAGAGCCUUUCAAUACUUUUCAGCUUUUCCUUUCUUCUUCCUUAGAAGAGGACAGUUGGGUCUGAUGUGUCCCUUUUCUUACAUUCAAAGAAGACUACAUCUUUGUUUGAUUCAUCAUCCUCAACAGACUUAAUCUGUUGCUUUUGAAAACUCUGUUUCUUUGGAUUGAAUCUUCUUCCUUUUCUGUUCAGCUUUCUGAAUCUUCUUAUCAUGAGAGCAAGCUCUUCAUCAUCCAUAUCGUCUUCAAAAUCUGUAACAUCAGAAUCAUCAUUGGAUUUUAAUGCAACGGAUUUCUUACCUUUAGGAUCUUCAUCUUCAUUGAUUCGCUCCACUUCAUAAGACUGAAGAGUCCCAACCAACUCAUCGACAGAUAGUGGCAUAAUUCUUUGUGUCUCUCUUAUUGAGGUCUUUAUGUGAUUCCAAUCCUUGGAGAGUCCACGUAGUAGCUUGUUUACCUUCAUGGGAUCAGAAAUUGGUUGACCUUAAUUUUCAAGACCAUUCACGAUUUCUGUAAAAUGACUAAACAUGUCAGUUAUCGAUUAUCCUGAUUUCAUUUUGAAGGCUUCAUAUUGACCGAGGAGAAUGUUGAUUAUGGUCUCUUUCACUCGAUCGGUUCCUUCAUAUGUAAUAUGUAAUCUAUCAUAGACUUCUUUCGCUGUAACACAAGAAGAUAUUCUGUUAUAUUCAGUAGGUGACAAAGCACAAUAUAAAUAAUAAAUUGCUUUUGCAUCAAGAGCUUGUCUCUUGGUUAUCUCUUCCUGAGUCAUUUCACUAAACUCAACGGUAUCUUUUCCUCUUUCUGAGACAGGUGCAGUUUUAGGAAUGAUUCAUUUGUCUACAACAUCCCAUUCCAGAGGAUCCUUUGAUCUUAGGAACGCCUUCAUCUUGUUUUUCCAUAUGUUGUAAUCCUUUCCAUCAAAGUAAGGCGGUCUGGUAUUGCUUUGCCCUUCUACCAGCCUUGGAGCUAAUAUACUAGCCAUGGAUCUUUAACUCUGAAGUAAAACACUUCAAACAAAGUGAGUACAUAGGCUCUGAUACCAAUUGAGAUAGCUAAUAUAAGCACCUAGAGGGGGGGUGAAUAGGUGUAUAAUAAUUUCUCGUGAUAAGUGAGCAAUACGAGAUAAACAAUAGAAAGGAAGUUCUCCUUUGGUUAACAAAACGAAUUAUGAUCAAAGUAAAGCAAAGAGUAGGGAAGAGAAAAUUGAACACAAGGUUUAUAGUGGUUUGGCUUAUUCCAAGCCUACGUCCAUUCUUCCGCACUGACAGCCUACCGACUGGAUUUCACUAUGAACAAAAGAGUUGUUACAGCAAGGUUCUCCCUUGAUUCCACAGUGUAGAUACUCUACCACACUUCCUCAAGGUUUCUCAGAAUAUAGACUCUCUUUUGCGUACAAGAUUUCGCUCAGCAAAUGAAUUGACUAAGAACAAGGAGCUUCAGACUUUGGAAUUCUUCUAUUGCGCACACACUCGAACAACUGGAACGUCUUCCUUAUAUACUCCUUUAUGCCAUCAUACCCGUUGGCACUUACCAAAGGAAUUCCUCCAAUCUACCCAUUGGACGGAAUCAAUUAGGAAGAUCAUUCAAGCUAUUAAAGGAACAUGUCGAUAGCCUAUCAAUCAUGUUCGCCCAUACAAUCAGGAUCUCGGUUUCCAUAAGUAGAACCUUCCAAGUAUACUUCGCCAAUCAUCGGAUCCUUAACCUUCGAAUCAAUCAUGAUCAAAUAAAGGAUUCCAUUAUGUCAUAUCUAGCCAAGAGAUCUUCUCCGGUCGAUAAGGUCACAUCCUUAAUGAAACACCCAGUUCUGGAUAGCCCUUAUUCAACGGAUUAGAAACUGUCAAUGAGAAUAGACUUUGAGUCUUGAGUUUGGCAGUCCGGAGGUCUUUAGACUUUAAAUAGUAGAGUCUGCAAAUCUUCAGACUAGACUGAUGGAAACGUUUUGUCAGCUUCAAAAUACUUCACGAAGAUUUCUCCAACAAUAGAUAACACUUAGGUAGCAAAAUUGUGCAAGAAACGAGUUUUGAGACAAUGCCAUGAAAGCUGACAAUUGUUUUCCUUUCCCUGGAUGUCCUAGAUGUUUUCUAAAGUAUCUUGUCAGAUUUCUGAUCUAGUAUGUUCCUUGCGGGCAAAAGUAUGGGUCUUGAUCCUACAGAAAUCGAUGUUCUAGUUGUUGGGGUCCUGUAGGAGUGACAACUUUACGCUUUACCUCUUUUAUCUCAGGUUUGCGAUCCAUUCUUCCUAAUAAGAACUUAUAUGUAUGACAGGGAUGUUGUUAGUGUAAAAUAUGGGUUUUGACCCAGUCAAAGAAAAAGAAAAAGGUAGAAGCUACAGCAAAGAGAGAGGAAUCGAGAGUUUUCGGGAGAGAGGGAAAAGAGAAGAGAAAGAGAGAGAGACGAAGAAAAUAAAGAAAGAAAACAAAAAGAAAAGGGAAGAGAUAAAAAGGAAGGAAAGCCCACGUUUGGGCACUAGAAAGAAAAGAAAGAAAAGAAGAAGAAGAAGAAUAAAAAGAAGAAGAAGAGAAAAGGGAAGAAAUGAAAAGGGUUUUGGCACGUGCACGCCAUGGAUGCCUUGCCAAGCCAACUCUACUCCAUAACGCAGCACCCGGUAAGAGAUUAGUCCCCCCGUUCAUCCAAUUGAAGUUAUUUAUGAGUUUAGGGCUCAAAUUCGGAAUUGUUGGAAAAUCAAGUGGCAAAGUCCGAUUUUGGAGUCGUUGAGCCGUGUACUUUUGUAGGAAUGAUACUUUAGGGUGUUGUGGAGCCGUGGGAUUUUACGGAUCGUGAUUUGAGCUUGUGCUUUGUCCGAAACAAAAUUUCAAAGUUUCCCCUGCGCAGUGAACAGUACGCGUCCAGCAGCUUUGGGCCUAUAUUUUGUCACCUUUUGGCUUGAUUUUGGGAUGGUGAAGUUGGGAUUCUUGUUAUAUGUGUCAAGGGCUCUCUAUUGACUAUAAAUUCGUUUGGAUCGGGGUUCGGAGGAGGAAGUUAAGGCGUGAUCAAGUUUUUUCGCUUAAACUCCUCGUUGUGAAUCGCUUAAACAAUCGCUUUGGUUAUGCGAUUUGUUAGCGCGUAAAAGUCUUUUUGUUAGAGUUAAGGCAUAAGUUAGUCAUUUUGUAGUUAAGAUAAGAGUUUUAUUAGACUUUAACAUUAUUCCUCGAUUAUUUGAUAGGGCUUUGAGUUCGACGAUAUGAGUAUCGUUCAUCGUUUGGUCAUAGACAACGAGGUGAGUGGUACUAUAUCUUCUUUGGUUUUGAAAAAUUCAUGUCUUGAAGUAUAUAUGUAUAUACAUUGAAUUGAGAAGAGCAUUUUUAUGCAUAAAAGCCAGAUCGAACAAUUGCUACUCUUUGGUUGAUUAUGAAUGUUUGAAAAGCGUGUUAUACAAAGUAAGUGGAGAAAUAUAUAUAUUGAUUUAUGGAAAGGUUUAUAAUGAUUUGAGAAAUUGAUAUGAAAUGGAUGAUGGGUUAUGCUGCAAAUGUUAUUUGUUUGGUUUAAGAUAUUGAUUUCUAAAUUUGAUUUCUAGUAUUGGAGGAUGGUUAUUUAUGCUCAAUAUGAUUGUGAACCCAGUGAGGGGUUUUUGGGAUAUGCAUACCAAGUUUAGGAUAUCCUUCUGGGCCCAGCCAUCGGCUUUGUAGGUGGAGACCUUGCCAAGGGGAGAAUCUUGGUCGCCUUGUCACCAGGUGUUGUGUCGUGACCAUGGUUAGUUAAUGAGUAAAAGAUUGAUCAAUGGAUAGACCCUUAAUAUGUGUUUUUGAUGGAGAUUAUUCAAUGGAUUUGACCAUUGAUACUUAACUUUUUAUGGCGAUUUAAAUGAGUUUUUCCAUAUUAGUAUAAAGCUCUGAUGAUAAGAAAUAACUAUUAUAUGAUUCAAUAUGUAUUUUAUAUAUUGAGUUGGCGUUAUGAAGUUUGAUAUUGUUUUGUAUGCAUGCAUAGUGGUUGUUCGAUCUGCUUAGAAGAUAUGUACUACUCACUGAGCUGUUGUUGCUCAUUCCACUCCUCCUUUAAUCUUUUCAGGUUCCUCGGUUAGCAGCGAAUAGAGCGAGUGCGCCGUCAGUGGAAAACUUUUUGGGGAGUUCUAUUUUUGGGUAUGGUCAAAGGAAAUGGUGUACAUAUUCCUUGCUAGUGGUUGGAUUGUUUGAGUUCUAAUUGUAUAUUUCUUUUUGGUGGAUUAUAGAAACUCUGAUGUUGCAACCAAUCUGUUGGUAUAUCUAAUAUGUAUAUAUGGUUUGAUAUAUAUAUAUAUAUAUAUAUAUAUAUAUAUAUAUAUAAGUUGAUAUCGAGUUGUUGGUUGUGUUUGAGACUGCGUCCUUCAUGUGGAAGGACGGCUGUGCCAUCCCCAUUCUUUGUGAUUUUGGGGUGUGACAGUUAGACAUUGCACUUUUCUAUAAUAUGAUAAAUGUCAGUUAGCAUUCGCAAUCUAGAGGUUAAACCACCUAGUUCUUUCACUCCUUAAGACAUUGAUCACCGGACAUCUCACAUCCAAAAUGGUGGGAAAGUAUUUGUUGAAGUAAAUAAGUUUCCGUUUUCUAUGGAUUUAGCUGUUAAUAUCACAUUUUGGUUAGUUUCUUCAGAUUUAGGUUUUCAGGUCGUAAAAUAAUGCUGUAGCUGUUCUACUGAUGUUAAUUUUGAAACAGGUUUUGUUAAGCUUCGCAAUACAAAGGCUGCCUGAGUAGUAUACUAUUACAAGCAACUCAUUUUCCACAUAUGACUGCAUGCUUAAUCAUGUUAGUCUCUGAAUUCUUCAGAUCCACAAGCCAUUUAGUUGAUGUACUAUGUUAAGAACUUUCUUAUGAGAAUGAUGAGAUUUUUGCAAGAAUCACAUCUUAGGUCCAUGGGGCAUAUGUCUUUUGCAAGUUAGCUUUAUAGCGUUGUCUAUGCACUAAAAUAAACCUAUGAGAGCUUGUAAUGAUUUAGGUCAAGGAAUUUAAUAUAUCAAGGGUUAAUACCCUGAAAAAUCCAUAACCAGUAUAUAUGUAAUAAAUUUACCAUAAAUUAAUUUUUUGAUCACGAAAAACCCCGAACUAAUACAAUUGUGACAAAUUUACCAAAUAACCACAAAAAAAUCCAAAACUGGUAUACUUGUGAUAAAUUUAUCCCAAACUAAUUUGCUCGACUGCCAAAAACCCCAAAUUAGUAUAUUUGUGAUAAAUAUAGCUUCUGUUAAAUUGGGUUAAUACCACAAAAAAAUCACGAAAAUGGUAUAAUUAUGACAAAUAAAGAGUAAAAUCCUAAACUGGCAUAUUAGUCAACUAUCAAGUGUCAUCUAACUCAGCAAUUUGAUAGUAAAAUUUAACGGAAACAAAGAGAUUGUAAAUUUGUCAUAAGAGUAUCGGUUUGGGAUAAAUUGUCAAAAGUGUACCAGUUUGGGGUUUUUGAUAAUCAAAAAAUUAGUUUGGAGUAAAUUUAUCACAGUUGUGCCAGCUUGUGAUUUUUUAGGAUAUUAACCCAUUUAUCAAUUGAAGCUUGGAAAAACUAUCAACUAUCACUACCCAAGAAAAAGUCCUACUGAAGAUCUUUCUUUGAAUUAAUAGGACAUCUUGCGUAGGAGAGUAUGUACAAGGUGAUUACUCUGUCUUGGGCUAUGGGCAGAAGCAAGCACUGUGGAAAAUAUCUUAGUUUUUGAUUAUCUUGUCUGGUCCUCAUUUAAGGAAAACUAACGAAGGUAACAGAAAGAAUGUAGAAACAGAUCACCGUACAUCUUUUGUUGCUACAGCUAAGAGAAUGACUUGCAUUUUGUUGAUAAGUGGAGUAGUCCAUGCAGCGACCUCAUUCUUAAAUCUGUCAGAUUUUCUUAAAAGUGAUUGUUGAUGCCUACUUGAAACUAAAUUUUUUCUGCAUCUAUUUCCACAGGGAAAUUAUGACAUGACGUUUUAGUCUUCACUUUCCUGCUUCCUUACCUUAUAUGGGGAAGCCAACUGAAUUAUGUACCUCUGUGCCUGCACAACUUUCAGGCUAAAGCUGGAGCUGGCUCUGCAUCUCUCUCCGUGGUCAGUCCUUUUUUUGGCCCUUGAGAUGUAGUGUGAUCUCUGUCAUGAACAGGAAAUCUGAUGGUUAUUCGCUAUGUGGACUGGACUCUUUUCAUAUGCUCAAAUAAUGUGAAAAUGAAUUAUGCAGGCAUAUGUUGCUAUGAAGUUUGCCGAUGCAUGCCUGCGUGGAUUGAGAGACGACGCUGGCAUCGUCAAAGUGUGCAUUUGCUGCUUCUCAGAUUUAGCCCUUAAAAAAACUUAUCGAGAUCCAAUCUCUUUACUUCUCUUGAAUACAAACUAAAAUGACCAAUGAUGUUCUUUAUUGUUGUCCCCGUUUUUCAAGGGAAAGAGCUUCCGUUCUCUGCAUCCAAAGUCACCUCGAUCGUACUAGGGCGAGGAGGUUCUUCCCUUUGGCCCACUGAAUUAGUACGAAAGGUCUGGAAUUUUAAUAAUCCUGACAUUUUUUUGGUCUACUUUGAUUACAUUAGAGAAAGAUGAAGUUUUCCAAUUUCGGCCUCUAUUUGUUAACCUGUAGAGAUGGCUUGGAAAAGGCAAAGAAAGAACCAAUGGCGAGCAUUCAGAAGGGCAUUUCAUUUAUCAAGAAGUGAGCAGAUUAAGGACGUGGCUUUUCCAAGGAAAAAGAUGUCCCCUGCAUAAUUUCCAGCCAUUUUCUACUCAAAAUUGGCACUUGAGAAUAAGUGGUUCAGACCUAAGAAGAUAUCCAAGUUUAUAUUGCAUACCUGGUGCAGAAAACAUAGAGGUUUUUCUUUUCUCGCAUGUAAUGUACUCGAAUGGUGGUCUGCGUAAUAACAUGGUGGAUGGAUGUUUGUUGAUCAUUGUCCUAUGUCCAUCUUUCUUUUGUUUCCAACUUUGAUAUUCACCCGUAAUGUCGCCUCCAGGUAGCACUAUCAGCUGUGCAAUGCUGCGGCAAGCAAACGGGUAGACAGAACACGUGACGGACAAACGAGCAAGAGAGCCCUCAUGGAGGCUCUUCUUCGGUGGUGGGCAGGAAGAGUUUGAGAAUUUUUCAAUUUGUAGAUGCCUCUUGGGAGGUUCGCCCUAAACACCGGCGGCAAUUCUCACACCAAGUUUUUACACCCACGAAGAGGACAACUCGCAUCCAUAACGAAUUGCUAAAAGAGGAAGCCUCUCUGGCCUUGUGAAAUCAGUUUCUUGAAUAAAUGAAAUCGGUGCCCUGGUGACACCGGUUUAACCGGUUCAAACAAAACCCUGAAAUGUCGUAGAAGUUGUAUUUUUUCUCACGCUCUCUCUUGUAUCACCUGAGUCCUUAUCUAGUCUCGUAUCUUUCUCAAUCUUGUGGAUUGCGGCCUUGCCUAUGACGGCCCACUUGGUGCUCUUUGGUUUCGUUUUUGAAUUCUUCGUCAAAUGGAUUUAUUUGAUUAAAUGACAGCAUACAUCCAAAAUAGUGGAAAAGAAGUUGUCAAGGAAAUUCAUUUCAAUCUUUUAUGGAUGUAGACGUCAAUCUUUUAAUCAUGUUAGAGUCUCCGAAUUCUUUUAAUUCACAAGCUAUCUCAAAGAUUUACUCUAUUGAAAAGUUUUUUUAAGUAAAGGAAGAGAUUUUCAUGAGAAUCGCAUCGUAGAUCUAUCACGACCUACCUUUCCUAUUCGAAGGGGAAAAGGCGUUAGGUUUAGGGGUAUUAUUUAAAAGGCGAGUCUACUGCCCUCUCCCAAGCCUAUUAUUAAGGUAUUCAAAUUGAUGCUAUAAGAAUUUUUUAUGAAGAGUCACUACUAACCUAUUGAGGUCGGUUGGAAAUCAAAUGAGGCACGAAAGUAUAUCUUACUUCUUAUGUAAUUAGAUAAUCUAGAUUAUACUAAUUAAUCAACUAGUGCCUUUGUACCUAAUCUAAUUCAUUUCAAUGCACUAGCAUGUGAAUUAAUUAUGCAUGUGCAAAAUCAUUAAAAUAACAAUCUACAAAAACAAAAAUUUAAUGCUAAGAAAUAAGAAAAAUGUCAUUUCUAACUAUGCUAAAGGGAAACCACAAUCUAAAUGUCAGAAGUAUGCAAUCAAUUGAUAAUCAAAAUGGAUUUGCGCAAAUAACGAUAUCUUUAAGAACAUUCAAACCCUAUAGUAAAGUCUUAAGAAUUUAUUUAAUUUUAAGCACAAAUUUUAUCAAAGAUUUAUGCAUAUUUUAAGAGAAAACUACUCAAGCUUUUUCAUACCUUUUAGAAAAAAUAUUUUUUAAAUUUUUUUAAUAAAAAUAUUUAAAAUUUUUUUAAUAAAAAUAUUUAAAAAAUUUUAAAUCCGAAAAUAUGGAUUCGGACUGGGCCCUAGGGCCCAUUUCGAACAUCGAUACAUAUAGUUUCGCGGGGCCGAGCUAUGGACAUCGAAAUUGGGCCAGUACAUCAGGCCCUCCUCCAAUGAACCAAACCCACUAAAAAAUUAGCCCAAUCCGAACUAUCUAAGCUAAGCCACGCGCAAGCUUUAUAAAACUAAAUCAAACCCAACGUCAACGCUCAAGCCCACUUAUGCCGAACCCAAUCUAAUGAGACUAAAUGGAACCCUAAGCUCCUUCAACUUGCCUAAGCCUACGGUCCACCAUAAUCUUAGUGAGUGCACACUGUCCAUAUUCUAACCUAAAACCCCCACUAAUCCCAUAAAGCCCACACUAAUAAUCCCUUUUCCCUUUACUUCCUUUUUUACCUUCCAUCACCAAGCCGCUACUGUUGUUCAUCAACCAUUCAAGAUUUCGCAAAAUUACGAUCGCAAGUGACUGGAGCAAACAGGGCAUUAAAAGGAACUCAAUAAACAAACCGGCGAGGACUCAUUCAGGAACCGUCACAAGGCCUUUGCUUCACUGACACACCCCAUUGUUUAACCACUAGCAUGCAUGCGGCUCAUAACAAGAAGAGGAGAAUGUGGGCAGAAACAUUCAGGCCAGCACGAAUCCGGCGAGGGAAUAAUCAACAUCAACAAAGGACGGCAUAAGCCAGCCCGUCGGAGGACCGACUUGGUCUCAUUUUAUAGUAACACUAACUGGGGCAUUUUCACAAACAGUUGACGUGUGCUACCGAAUCAUAAUGUUUCCGGCUCAACCGGGACUCGGAUGCGUGCUGGAGAUCCCGACGCACGAUGUAUGGGGACUAUGGAAACAAAAUGCAAGGGCAACGAGGCCCGGAGCUCGCACGAGCUGAACGGCCGCGAGCGCCGGCACAACGUCACCCAAAACGGGGCAAAACAGAGGACUUGCAGUAAAGAGAUAAACAGGGGCGGUCGCGGCAGGGCCCUACCCGGCUCGGCCGUAGCGAAUGGAGAUCGAGAUUGACAGAUUCGGCCACGCUCGAUCGUCUUGCAUGCCUCUGAGCCGAGAUCCUCAGGAAAUCUGUUGGAAGAUAUGCCGAAGAUAUGCACAGAUUGUGAUGGAUAUAUUCUCCAAAUUGUAAUUGAUUAUGUUUGUAUCAAUCUAGGAUUAGAUCUGAUAUACUUUCCUUUUAUUAAACAUCCUCUGUACAUUAUUUAAUCCUCUUUGUACAUUGGAACAAUCAAUGAAGUGCACAGAAUACAUUACUCUCUAUUCUCUCUAUUCUACUUGCUUUCACUCUGUUUUCUGACAUGGUAUCAGAGCCGUGUUCCUUCUUUUUCUGACUCCCGCACUUCUUGAUUGCCCUCCGGACGUUUCUUGUCUUUGUUGUUGUAGGAACACUAAACCUGCACAACAAGAUUAGCACUCCGGUGUAGGAAUCAGUAUUUAAGCACUUCAAAAUCAUAAAUAUUUCCUUACCGUUUUCUGCUUUCUUACCAACAUCAUGGUUAAGGAAGAUUCAUCGAUUUCUAAAGAAAAAAUCCCAGAAGAGUCGUCUGUGCAACAAGAACAGCCGAACCAGGGACAGCCCAUCGCAGGCCAAGCCACUUCGGGACAACCGAUCGCAGCUCAGCAUGCUUCAGGGCAAUCCAUCCAGUGGCUCCCUAUUCAGAUGCCACCCGGCCCAUGGAUCUACGGGCCCACCCAGCCAAAUCCAUGGUCGAUGGGUCAAGGCGUCGGAGAGCCGGUUCAGCCCGGUGGAGCCCCAUCAACCGCUUUCGGGGCAAGCCAAACCACUGGGCCAAACCCAACAAAUACAGAUUAUUUUCAACCGGGUAUUUCGGGUUCGAGGCCAAAUCCCUACCCGGUUUCUUGCCGUAUCCGUUCGUCGCCGCCAGUGGUCGACCGGAGCCUGGUGAUCCGCUCUACACGACGACGGGCGACGGACCGGAGCUACGGCUCAUCACGCAACAACUAUCAGGCCCCGACAACUACUCAAGCUGGUCGGUGGAGUUUCGGCGAGCCUUGGUCACGAAAGACAAAGAAGUUUUUAUUGAUGGUACUUUACCGGUCCCUUCGGAUGAACGUAUGGCGCGACUGUGGAGGAAGUGCAAUCAGUUAGUCCGAACAUGGAUCGGCAACUGCAUUACCUCCGAAGUCGCUGCCAGACUCCCACCGACGGAAGAUUCAAGAAAAAUGUGGGACAAUAUUAAGGAGAUGUAUGGAAAAUUAGAUAGGGUUAAGAUUUUUACCUUGACCCAACAACUCUCGGAUCUAAAACAGGGCAACAUGAGCAUCGCCGCAGUUUACAACAAGCUCUCUGCCUUAUGGAACGAAUUGGAGGUAGUCGAGGAGAAGUUAGAGGGCCCAGAUCUUACCUUACAGCAAUACCGCACCAUUCGAGAGAGGGAAAAAAUCACCAGAUUCUUGCUGAUCUUGAACGAAUCUUACCAGAGUUUCCGAUCUCAAAUCUUGGUGAUGGAACCCAUGCCGACUCUUGGCCGGAUCUAUCAGCUCGCCGUCCAAGAAGAAAGCCAGCGUUUUGUUGGCUCUGAUCUACAGAAAUCCGGCGACGAGAUGGCACUCGCAGCCCAUGAGAGUCACGGAGGAGCCAUGACCAAAGAAAACAAAGGAGGAUGGGCGCCGCAGAUCUGGUUUGCAGGAGCAAACCCUAAAUCUUUCAAGAAAGGAACGAACGGUCAGGAUCUAAUUGUCCGAUCCGACGGUUCACGUGGGCUCAAUCCUUUCGCUCGAUCGGAUGGCUCACGCGGAAUCUCUCCAGCAGGAUCGGACGGCUCACAGCGCUCCUUUUCCGCGCAUGGAUCCAACGGCCCAAAUGAGGCCGCGAUGGCUUCGACUUUUAAACCAUCCAACGGAUCAUAUUUUGCCACGUCAUCAAAGAACAAUGGGCAAAAUUUUAAAGGAAAAGGUAAGUUAUACUGCGAUUAUUGCAAACGUCCACAUCAUACCAUAGAUAAUUGCUGGAAAUUGCAUGGUAAACCUGGAGAAAAAGGAAAAAGGGAUUUUCCAACAGCUUUACAGGUGACAGGGCAGCAUACUGAUAGAUCAAAUCAGUCAAUUACUCAUGAUCAGUAUCAAGAGAUUAUGCAGGCUCUUAAGAAGUUGGAUGUUUUUUAGAGCACCGGGAGUUUUACAGGUACUUCUUAUUGUUUAUUGAAUUCAAUUUCAAGGACUGCUUGGAUAGUUGAUUCAGGUGCUAGUGACCACAUUAUCUGCAAUGAAAGGUUCUUUUCAAAAUCAAAGAAAUUAGAUUUUCCUAUCUCAGUCCAACUUCCAAAUGGGAAUGCUACCUAUGUCACGAUGAUUGGGACAGUAAUCCUUAGUCCUCUUAUCACACUUCAGAAUGUCUUUUAUGUUCCAGAAUUCCAUUUCAAUCUCAUAUCAGUUUCUCGAGCUUGUAAGGAAAACUCAUGUCGUGUCCUAUUCAAUCAUGAUCAUUGUCUGUUUCAGGCCCUUUCGACUGGCAAACUGAUGGGCUCGGGUAGAAUUUCGCAAGGGCUAUAUUUUUGGACAAGUUUCUCCAGUAAUUUCAGUUCAUCUUGUAUUGGAUUGAAUAAAAAAUCAUUGUGUAAUAUUACUACUAAUGAUAAGCUUUUCCUUGAUCAUCAACGACUGGGUCAUUCUGCUGCUUUUCCUUACCCUCAAUGUUCAAUUUGUCCUUUGGCAAAACAAGCUCGUAUGCCUUUUGACAAUAGCAAAUCUCGUGCAAAGGCCCCUUUUUCAUUAAUCCAUGCUGAUGUCUGGGGGCCCUAUCACACACCCAAUCGUGAUGGUUCUCGUUUCUUUUUAACACUUGUGGAUGAUUUUUCUCGUGCCACGUGGAUAUUUCUGAUGCAAUCAAAAGGCCAAGUUCUUUCUCACAUAAGAACUUUUUUCUCCCUCUCCAAAAAUCAAUUUGGAAAGUCAAUUCAACGUAUUCGUACUGACAAUGGAAGAGAAUUCUUCAAUAGUGAAUGUGCAUUCUUUUUUUCUUCAAACGGAAUUUUGCAUGAGAAUUCUUGCACAUAUACCCCAUAGCAAAAUGGUAUUGUCGAGCGUAAACACCGUCAUCUUUUAGAGGUAGCUCGUGCUCUUAAAUUCCAGGCUUCCAUUCCUGAGACGUUUUGGGGAGAUUGCGUGGUCACUGCAGCUUACUUGAUAAAUCAAAUGCCAAGUCGCAUUCUCAACAAGAAGACACCUUUCGAGAUGCUAUAUGGAAAGAAACCAGAACUUCAACACUUGAGAGUUUUUGGUUGUUUGUGUUAUGUGACUACAGUGGGGCCACGAGAUAAGUUGAGUCCACGAGCCAGGCAAUGCAUAUUUAUGGGAUAUCCGAGUCUCACAAAGGGAUAUCGGGUUUUUGAUAAGUCGACUGGGGAAUUCUUUGUUAGCAGGGAUGUUGUUUUCCAUGAGGCUAUUUUUCCUUUUGGUGACGAUUUAUCUUUACAUGAUGAGUCUGACAAGGGGGUGAAUAAUCAUCGUUUUUUAUCUGAAGAAGAUCUAUCUCCUGGACAAUCAUACAUCAUUGCACCUUCAUCACAUCUGCCACAAGGUAUAAUUUCCUCUCCAAUAGUAGCUGUGGAUACUUCAGCUACACUAAACGAGGAGGAGCAUAAUCCUUCAUCAACAACAGCAUCUCCAGUGUCAAAUGAAGAAACACAAGUGUCUUCGCAACCAACACCACAGAAUAAUCUGCCACGGCGUUCUGGACGUGCUACGCGUCCGCCCACAUGGACAAAGGACUAUGUUUGUGCAGCUUCAAGUUCUCAAGGUACUCGUUACCCUAUCUCCUCAUAUGUCUCUUUUCAUCAAUUAUCCUCGAAUCAUAUGUGCUGUGUUAGUCGUAUGUCUGAGGAAACAGAACCGUCAAAUUAUAGUGAGGCAGUAAAUGAUCUACGAUGGCAAAAAGCUAUGGAGACAGAAUUGCAUGCAUUAAUGGAAAAUCGUACAUGGGACAUUGUUCCUUUACCGUCUCAUCGAAAACCGAUUGGUUGCAAGUGGGUAUACAAGAUUAAAUAUAAAGCCGAUGGAUCUGUAGAAAGAUUUAAGGCACGGUUGGUAGCCAAAGGCUUCACUCAACGAGAAGGUUUCGAUUAUUAUGAAACGAAAGAUGUUACAGUUCGCACUUUCUUGGCAAUUGCUGCUUUUCGUGAUUGGUCAUUGCACCAAAUGGAUGUUCACAAUGCCUUCCUCCAUGGUGACUUAGAUGAGGAAAUUUAUAUGGACAUUCCACCGGGAUUACGGAGACAGGGGGAGUCUAAGGUAUGUCGUCUCCGCAAAUCCUUAUAUGGUCUCAAACAGGCUUCUAGACAGUGGUAUGCCAAGUUUACGGAUGCACUUAUGGGAGCAGGAUUCAAACAGUCCAGACAUGAUUACGCCUUAUUCACAUGGACAAAAGGUAUGUCAUCUAUCUAUUUGAUGAUAUAUGUUGAUGACAUACUUAUUAUGGGAAAUGAUAAAUCCGCUGUGACAAGUCUCAAGAAAUAUUUGCAUUCCGCUUUCCAUAUUAAAGAUUUGGGACCACCCAAAUACUUCCUUGGCAUUGAGAUAGCUCGUUCAAAACAAGGAAUCUCACUUAGUCAACGGAAAUUUGUGUUAGAAAUUAUAUCUGAAGCAGGUCUAUCAGGAUGUAAACCAGCAGUUAUUCCUAUUGAGCAGAAUGUCAAAUUGACUACUGCUGAUUAUGAUGUGAGUCUACAAUCUACUGAGGAUGAUUUAUUGCUCAAAGACCCAUUAAGCUAUCAGAGACUGGUUGGGAAAUUAUUUAUCUCACUAUGACUAGACCAGAUAUAUGUUAUGCGGUUCAAACGCUGAGUCAGUUCAUGCAUAGCCCCAAACAGUCUCAUAUGAAUGCCGCAUUAAAAGUUGUGAAAUAUUUGAAGAAAUGCCCAGGACUUGGGAUUCUUCUUUCUCGUGAUUGCAACAUGGAAAUGACGGCUUACUGUGAUGCUGAUUAUGCGACUUGUCCUAUGAGUCGAAGAUCUAUCACUGGUUUCUGCAUCAAACUUGGAGAAUCGUUACUUUCAUGGAAAACAAAGAAACAGUCUACUGUCUCUCUGUCAUCAGCUGAAGCUGAGUAUCGAUCCAUGGCCAAGACCGUAUGUGAGGUAGUUUGGUUACGAGGCUUACUUCUGGAUCUCGGAGUACAAGUCAAGGGAUCAACCUUACUGUUUUGUGAUAAUGAUUCUGCACUUAAACUCGCGGCAAAUCCAAUAGUACAUGAAAGAACAAAACACAUAGAAGUUGAUUGUCACUUUACUAGAGAGAAGAUUCAAGAAGGGAUAAUCAAAACAAGAGGAAUUGGGACUACCGAACAACUUGCAGAUAUAUUCACCAAGCCUUUAUGUCAACGGCAACAUGCAUAUCUCCUAAGCAAGCUAGGUGUCUUAGACAUAUACAAGCCACCAGCUUGAGGGGGAGUGUUGGAAGAUAUGCCGAAGAUAUGCACAGAUUGUGAUGGAUAUAUUCUCCAAAUUGUAAUUGAUUAUGUUUGUAUCAAUCUAGGAUUAGAUCUGAUAUACUUUCCUUUUAUUAAACAUCCUCUGUACAUUAUUUAAUCCUCUUUGUACAUUGGAACAAUCAAUGAAGUGCACAGAAUACAUUACUCUCUAUUCUCUCUAUUCUACUUGCUUUCACUCUGUUUUCUAACAAAAUUGACACAACCCAAAACAAAUAAAAAAGAAACACGCCGAGACCUACCGUGGGGGAGAGGCACGCGUCGGUGAGGGUCGGUGGCCGAGGUCAGAUGCAGCGGCUACCAGAGGAGGCCCUUCGCUUACGAGCUCACUCUUCGCUCUCUGCUUCUCGCUCUCUCUCACUCUCAAUCUCGGUCUCUCUCUCUCUCUUUCUCCGAACCUACUCCCCCCUCUCUCAUGCUCCCUCUCUCCCUUUUAAAAGCAACCAGCAAGCGUGCAUGGCUUCGGCCACUGCCAACUUGCCGGCCGGCCUGAUCACGACCCGCGGAUCACGGCUGCUUCUGCUUUCUGCUCGUAUACGUCUCUGUUUCUACAGAGAUGCGUGAGGAAGGAAGGAGGAAGAGAUUGGCGCGCGGGGCCGGCCGGGCCGGGCCGGGGAAAAGGGAAAUAGGCCGGCCGGCGGGAAAAUAAGAGCUAAAAGAAAAGAGGCUGGGCCGGCCUGAACCAGGCCUAAUUUUUCCAUUUUUUUUACUUUUUUUAAAUCCUUUUUUACAACCUUUUUUUUUUUAUAAAUAUCAAUAAAUUUUUAUGCAAGUAUUCCUCAUAUCUAUAUAACAUACUAUGCGAUUCCAGUGAUGAUAUUUUUUUAGAGACUAAAAAUUAACCCUUAAUUUUUUUAUGUAAUUAAAAAAUUAUUAGAAGGGUUGCUAAUAUUUAAAUGUCAAUAGGUGUCCCAAAACGAGCUCAAUGAGAACGUCAAUGAAAUUGAGCUGCAUGAGGUGUUGGUGCUAAAUUCGCUAAAUUAAGCCAAGGCAUUCACAUCGUUAAUGGAAACACAAAUUCAAGAUCGCGGCAACCUUGACCACAUCAAAAUCAGGACCGUUGCCAAUGCAACCAAGACGAGUAUGACCUGCUAGUUGCAAGAGGCCCGACUCAGGCUCAAGCAAGCCGACCUAAUCCAUGAGAUUAUUGCUAACAGAAGAUGUGAGAAGCCAUUAUGGGCCCGGUUUACAUUUUGAUCAAUGAGCAAAGAGCUUCUGGACUCGUAUCCGGAUCCAUGAGUAGUAAAAGAAACACAAAAGAUAUUGAAGGUUUUCUCACCAUAUGUAUAAUCCGUCUAUGAGAUUAUUGAUAACACAAGAAGUGAUAAUUUCAAGUUUUUUUACUUGAUUUAUUUUUCCUUUAUUUUUAGGAUAGCCAUGCUUUUUCUCCCAUUCCUAGUAAGAGGAAACUUUCUUUAGUUGAUCUUUUAAUUGGUGGGUUUACAAACAUCAACAUCACCCACAUUAUAUUUCGUUAAAUUUACUUGUGCACGACGUUUAUAACUUGUAAACCAAUCACAAGCAAUAGUCGGUGGAAUAAGAGUUUCUCUCCAUUUGCUAGCUUUUUUUAUCUAGAGUUAGAUCAUCGCUUGGGUUUAUGAAUAUUUCAUUUUUCAUUGUAAGAUCGGUUUUUCCCGCUAAAUCAUGAUACUUUUUUCUAGUUGCGCUUUGAUUUGUUUUCACAAAUUUGUUAUGUUCGACUAUUAACAAGGGUCCAUUUUAACUGUGUCAUGUAUGUAUGCAACCAAGCUGGGCCAAAUGAAUUUUGACACACUAUAUCAAUAUUUAACUAACUUGGAUGACAUUUGGCAUUUUGUGGCAGUGAGAGUUUUACUUUGGAUAUCUAUCACUAAAAAUUCCUUGAUUGCCAUACUAGAUGAAGUUCUUUAAGGGAAGUUGGUAUUUAUGAUUGUGGGCCUGUGGCUACUUCAAGGUGAUGAUGAGACACAUGAAGCAUGGGUCCAUGAAGAUGGCACGGUGCAUAAUGUGGACGUGUAGGUGCAUUUCCUUCCAAUGCAAUUUAGUCUUUCUCGCCGGACAUUUCUUGAAAUUAAAAAUAAUCCAUUUUCUCUAACCCACCCACCUCUUUUGGAGCUCGAGAACAUGGGGAAUCAAUAUUGAAGCCUUUAGAAAAUUCAAAAUCUUUGCUAGAGAUGCCAAACAUUUACAUAGAACAAGAAUGCAUAUUCAUUCUAUUUACUUGCCCCUACAAUUUCCUCUCAUUUUCAACUUAACAUCCAAGCAACUAUGAAGCCUCAAAAAGUUUCCACCCCAUUGCAAAAGUCCCAUCCUCUUCAUGUCUCUUUCCUCUCUUAUCUUUUACGUAUGCUUCACGCAUCAACUCGUAAUUGAGUUGAAUUGUGAGAGAAAAAAACAAAGUUGUGGAAAAACGCGAAAGUGAUAAAGUAAUGCGCGUCUGUCCUUCUGCUUUUUCAGUUUCCUUGCGUUUACAUGGGGAUUUCACAGGGAGUUGAGGGGAAGUUUCUUGUGUUCAUCACAUGGACAUGGCUUGUUGGCGUGAAAAUUUGUCCUCCCAACGAAUAUGCUAUUUUUGCUGCCAAUCUACAAGUUUAUUCUAACGCAUCUUUCUGCCCGGCCAUUUCCGAGUCCCUUCGGUACUGCCCUGUCUCAGCUUUUCCAACGCACCGCGACUAGAAAUCAACCGUUCCACGCGAAUUCCCUCCCUAAAAAAUCCCGAGAUGCAGUCAUCUGAUUCGACAGUCGGAAUCAGUUUCAUCAGAUGUUGGGACUGUGAAUGAAGGAAAGAGGUGCUGUCUGCUAGUGCUGUCCCAUUGCCAAAUCAAUGACAGCCCGAGAUAACCCGACCCAAAAGCUACGUUACAGAAAAGAAAUGAAAGACCCACGAUCACAUGCAUCGUGUCCUAUAGUCUGGUCGGACAAGGCAAAGGAUUCUUGCUUUUUUCUCAUCACAUAUCAGUAUCAAACAAAGAGACAACUCGCUUUUCACUAGACCCAGCAUCAUUUGAAGAGGGACAUGGUAUAAUACACCCAACGCAAUAAUAAAUGAUAAUGUGCGACUUAUGCUUCCUCUUGCGAAAAUAACGCGAACCAUAUAUGCGCAAUCUGCGCUUUCUUGCCAUAUGACUGUUGUCGUGGACGAUGAAGGAAUUUCUCGAGUGCAUACCCAAGGAAAAAAACAAAAGACAUCUCACUUAGUUCUUCAAUGAAAUUGUAUAAAUUUACACGCCUAUCUUAUGUAAUGAAAUUUUUUACUUCCUAUUCUACCAAAAAAAAAGAGAUGCAUUGGGAAGCCCGUGAAUAGCAAAGUUCUUCUCAGCAGGAGAGACCGAUGCAGGAUGGGUAUCACAUUAGAAUUUGUAUCCGAGUAAUUGGUAUUUGUUACAUUUUUAUAUAAAUAUUUGGUAUCCACCACACUCUUGUUUUUUUUUUUUUUUUCUGGUAAGUACCACCACACUCUUGUUUUAGGCUCUUAUAAGCGAAAAUUACACCAACAGUCCAGAAUGUUUGGCUGAAUACGUAGUCAAGUCCUAAAUUUUAAAUUUGUGCAAUCAAGUCCUAAGCAUUUUUUGUUGAGUGCAAUUUAAUCUUUCGAGCAAGCUUAAAAAUAGAUUUGCUAACCUAGAUUCCAAAAUCCGACCUGGCAUUUUGGACUAUCCUUUUGCAUACAUGGUUUUGAUACAGCGCUAAUGUAGUGUCACGUCAUGAAAAAUUAAAAAUUAAAAAGGUAGGAAAGACCAAAGAAAAAAAAUUAAGAAAGUCUAUUAAAAAAAGACAAAAACUAAAGGAAAAAUAAAAAAUGAAAGUUGUAGAGAGUGGAACUAUCGGUGUUAGGAUACGCAUGUAAGUUGCGUUAGAGAAAUCCCACAUCAGAGAAUUGAUGUGGUGUGAAACAGUUAAUAUAUCCUCGUUAAUUUAUAACUCGUUGGCUUAAUCUUUUGAGUUAAGGUGAGUUCAACUGGAUAUGAUAAUGGACUCGGACUUAGGUUCUCUCUUAGAGAUCUCCCCAAGUGAAGGUAUUUGACUUUCAUUACGCACUCUCAACAAAUGAUAUCAAAGCCGAUGGUUGAUUGGUGGCCCACUCUCGAUAUGUAUUGCUGUUUAGUGAAUAUCUCGACUAGGAAUCUAGUGAUCAACAUGGUUUUCAAGCAAAUGGGCGUUGUGGUGUAAUAAUGCGGGCCCGAUGACAGACUUCAUGGUUCAGUCCAAAAAAGAGAUUAAGGAUGAAAUUGGGCAUUGGAAAUUCAAGUUGAGAUAAGUUAAUAUAGAAAGAUAACCAAAUUAAGGGAGAGCAAAUCUAAAACUGGAACUUACACGUGAGGGAGAGAUUGUUAGGAUACACGUGUGUGUUAAAGAAAUUCCAUAUUGGAGAAUUGAUAUGAUGUGGAGCAAUUAAUAUAUCAUAAUUGGUCUAUAACUCAUUGGUUUAACAUGGGUCCAACUAGAUAUGUUAAUGGAUUCGGACUUGGGUUUCUUCUUCGAAAUCUCCCCAAGUGAAGAUAUCAUACUCUUGUUGUGCAUUCCCAAUAAUGCCCAUGAGCAAAGCCUGCACUUUCUUUCCUUUGUCCUUCAUCUUCCCAUUCAUUUUAGUUGGCACGGGCCUGUAAAUUAACACAUCAAGUGGCAUGAUUUUUAAGAAUGUUAUGUUGGAUUAACAAGUUUAUGGAAAAUGAGAGAUUUUACCUCUAGUUGGAGAUGUAGAUGGAUUGAAGGGAGUAAUCACAAACUGGGCUUGCUCCUCCUGAAAAUGUAGCCUUUGACUUUUUUAUUUCUCCCUUUCUGUUGAGGAAAUUAAGAAGAUUUACACGUAUAUAGUCUUUAUUUUAUCCCCUUUCAAAGAGAUAUAUUUACACUGGAAAAAUGGGCAAAGCUAAACACUAAUCAAAUUAUGCACACGCACGGAUAUAUGUAAAAGAUAUUUUGUAUGUUGUUUAGUAUUGGUAUUGAGUAUUUGAGAGCAUCCAACCAAUUUCAUGAUUUAUAUAAUCCCACUGCCUAAAUCUACUUUCGUACCAACUCCAACAAUUUAUGUUUGUGUUUUCAGGAUGUUUUUUCAUGGUCAAAGUCGAAAAUGGAUGAGCACGGGUGCUUUCCGACUAGAGAAUUUUAUGUGCUUGACCGGAAAGGCAGGUUCUUAAAAUUUUAAGCUUGUUAUAAUUAUCUUGGUGGUUGAGGCCUGUUGGGUGGACCGCCACACCGCAUGUGCUACGAAAGCAACUAAGAAGCCUUAAAAAGUUUCGAUCCCAUUGCAAAAGUCUCCUGUCCUCUUCGUGUCUCCUUCCUCUAUUUUAUGUAUGCUUCAUGCCUCAUCGCAAUUGAGUUAAAUUGUCAGAGAAAAAAACAGAGCUGUGGAAAAACACGAAAGUUAUAAAGUCAUGCACGUGUCUGUCCUUUUGCUUUUUCAGUUUCCUUGCGUUUACACGGGGAUUUUCACAGGGAGUGAGGGGAAGCUUCAUGUGUUCAUUACAUGGACAUGGCUUAAACGGAGCGAUCCUAUUCUACACAUUUUCGCUUUCCUUACGCUCGUCGGUGUGCAAAUUUAUCGAUGAGGGUUGUUUGAGAGUUUGGAAACAGCGGAACUACCCCCACUUACAAUGGCCAUGACAUUAGCAGGGCCUGCACUUCCUUUAUUUUUGUCCUUCAUCAUCCUAUGAUAUUUUAGUUGGCACGAACCUAUGCAACAUUGAAUCAGAUAGCUUGAUUUUAUAGAAUACUGUGUUGGUUCGAUGAGCUUAUAGAAAAUGAGAGAUUUUACUACAAUCAGAGAUGUAGACCAAUUAAAGGGAGUAAUCACGAGCUGAGCUUGUUGCUCUUGAAGAUGUAGCCUUUGACUAUUUUCUUUCUCCCUUUUGAAGAUUCUAGAAUGUUUGCACAUGUACAAUCAUCAUUUUAUGCCCUUUCAAAAAGAUCAGCUUGUACCAAGAAAAGGAGAGAGCUAAAUGUGAAUUAAUAUUAUAUGCACACACAAAGAUAUAUGCAAAAUAUGUUGUAUGUUGUUUGGUAUUGGAAUCGCGUAUUGAGUAUUUUAUGUUGUCCAACCAAUUUCAUGAUUCAUGAUAUAAUCCCACUGCCUAAGUCUACUUUCGUGCCACCAGUCUACUUUCGUGCCACCUCCUUGAAUUAUGUUUUGAGUUUUCAGUAUGCCCUUUCUCAUUAUUCGAGUCGAAAAAAGGGACAAGCCACCAGAGAACUUUAUGUGCUUGAUCCAAAAAGCAGGUUGAUUUUAAUUUUUAUUUAUUUAUUUUAGGAAAAGCAAAGGCACCUUCUGACCCAGUUUCCAUAAAGUUGUUUGGCAUUAUUGAGAAACUUCAUGCCUCCCUUCAACUUUUUUUCGACUAUUGCUUUGCUUCCAUAAAAUAUGCACAUGCGAGGGCUUCCUUGCUAUUUCUUUUCAACCUUUUCGAUUGCAUUAUUGUCCUUAUCACGUUCACAUGAGACUACUCUGCUUGAUGACGGUUGACACAUCAAGCAUGCUACUCUAUGCAUAGAAAUUACUAGGUGGAUCAUAUGCACAUGCCCUUGAUAGCAUGUUAUUAAAAUUUUAAGCUCCUUAUAAUUAUCUUGGUGGUUUAGGCCUAUAGGUGGACCGUCACAUAAUUCAUGUGCUACGAAAGCCGUGUCAAUCUUUAUUUUUGGCCUAUCGAAAAGGAUUGAAUAUACUGCUUCAAGCAAGUAUAUUUUUUCCCAGACACAUUACUACAUGUUUAAUCAUUUUAGAGUCUCUAAAUUCUUUAAAUUAACGAGCCAUUUCGAAGAUGUCUUUUGCAAGUCAACUUUAUGGCGUGAAGCCUCUGCCGAUGCACCGUAAUGAACUUAAGAGAGCUCGACAUCCACUACCACCACCCAAGAUCUUUGUGGGAAUUGACGGGACACCUUGCCUAUGAAAGUAUGUAAAAGGUGACGACUGUCUUGGGCUAUAGGCAGAAGCAAGCAGUUGUCCAGAAUAUCUUCGUUUGUGAUUAUUGUUUCUGCUACUCGUUAAGAAAAACAAUGGAAAUUAACAGAGAGAAUGUAGAAACAGAGCACCAUACAUCUCUUGUAGUUACGGCACAGAGAAUUACUUGAAUUUAGUGGAGAAGUUUCAUGCAAUGACAGAAUUGUCAUAUGCAUCGGAUUUUCUAAAAGUAAUUAUUGAUGUCUAAUCAAAACUGGAUUUUUUUUGCAUCUACUUUCACAAUGAAAUUAUGUCAUGACAUCUUAGUCUUCGCUUCUCUGCUUAAAUUUUUUUCGUGAAGCCAGCUGAAUUGUGUACGUCUAUGCCUCGACAACUUUCAGGUUAAAGCUGGCGCUAGCUCGGCGACUCUCCCAAUGGUGAGUCCCUUUUUUGCGCCCUUGAGAUGUAGUCUGAUCUCUUUCACGAGCAGGAAAUUUGAUGGCUAUUUGAUAUGUGAACUCUUUUCACAUGCUCAUAUAAUGUGUAAAUGAAAUAUGCGGGCAUAUGCUGCUGUGAAGUUCGCCGACGCGUGCCUGCGUGGGUUGAGGGGCGAUGCUGGCAUUGUCAUGUCGAGUGUGCAUUUGUUUUUUCUCAGGUUUGGUGCCUUGAAAGAACAUAUUGAGAUCGAGAAUUCUUUAUAACUCUCAAAUUCAUAUAUGGAACCACAAUGAUUAUCUUUAAUGUUGUCCCCAUUUCCCAGGUGACUGAGCUUCUGUCUGCAUUCAAAGUUCGCCUUGGUUGUACUGGGGCCGAGGAGGUUCUUUCCCUUGACAGACAGUGACUGCAAAUUGGCGGAAGCUCGUUUUUGGCACUAGGCUUGAAGUUCAAGGGAUUUUUUUUCAAGUGCAGCUUUUUGUGGCCUUGUCCAGUCUUUUAAGAGUCUCGAACGAGCAAAGAUAGCCAAUCUAGAGGCUCUUCUUGGGUAGUGGGCAGAGGGAGUAGAAAUUUUCAGUAGAACACAGAAAGGCACAAUUGAGAAUAUCCAAUGGGAGAUGCCUCUCCACUGAUCCCCAUAGUCACCGGCAGCAAUUUUUCACACCAAGUUCUCCUUGGAGCAUUCAGGAUGAGAGGUCACCGACUUUAGUGUUUGUCCCGCCAGCGUAAGAACGUGUCUGUUUUUUUUUUUUCCCAGUGAAAGUUCAAGUAAAAUUUGUUCCGACAAUGAAAGUAAAGUAUUUCUUUUGUUCUCUUUUCAUAUUUGGGCAUCAGCGACAACUUCAAAUUACACCCCUGAGGAGGACAACAAAGAUAUAUAAAAAUAAAGUAUAAGUGUAUUGGAAGUUCUAAAACUCAUUACGAAAUAAUGAUUGGGUUUUAGAACUUUUAAAAAUUAUACUUAAAUCCUAAAACUUGUUACAAAAGUGCAUUUGAAUCUUAAAAUUUUCAAAAAGUGUAACUGAGUCUUAAAAUUUGUUAUAAAAAUACAGUUAAAUCCUAAAAUUUUCAAAAAGUAUAAUCUAACUCGAGGACUUGAUUAAAUUAUUUUGACAAAUUUUAAGAUUUGAUUGCACUCCUUGAAAGUUUAAAGAUUCGAUUCAACUUUUAUGAUAAGUUUAAAGAUUUAAUUGUACUUUUUAAAAGUUUUAAGAUUCAAUUAUAUUUUCGUGAUAAGUUUUAGGAUUUUUAAUGUAAUUAUUCCCAAAAAUAAUGCUAAAAGAGUACGCCUCCCCAGUCGUGUAAGGUCUGUUCUUGGGUACCAGAUCCACACCUUAAAAUAUCUUGAACUUCAAUUGAAAGGCUACUCAAAGGAAAAUUUCUCUAACCAAUGAUGGAGGAGCACAUUACCCUGAGUAAAUUGGCGAGUUUUGAGGCAUGGAUUAAUGCCCAAUUUGCCGCCUCGCACAUGGUGCUAGGGAUGGAUCUAAGCAUCCUUGCCUACAAUUACAAAAAUAGUUGGAGAAAGUUUAUAAUAUGUAACUUGCCAAUUUAAGGUGUAAUUGAAGAAAGUUUUCUCAAAUCACAGAUAAAAAGAAAAUAUGAGCUUAUUUUGUAAUAUCUUAAAUCUCUUUUUUGGAUAAAUAAAAUAGUUGUAAUUAGAUCACUUCAAAAUGACAUAUGUACAUUAAAUAAAAAGCUCUUGUUUCCAGCAACUAAAUGAUAUAAAGUUUGUCUGGCAAAAUAUAAAUAACUUAUUAAAGUGGGCUUAGGUCACUAACCCCAAAAAAAAAAAAAAAAAAGGCAAAUGGUGGGCUUAGGUCAUGGCGGCAGUAAAAGUCUCUUGUCCUUUUCAUUUCUCUUUCUUGUCUAAUCUUUUAUGAAUGCCUCCCCCACUUUCCUCGCAAUUGAGUUGAAUUGACAUAAAUAAAUAAAUAAAAAGACAUGAAAAUACACGAAAGGUAGAGUCGUCCAUUUGUCUCCCCCUCUCGCCUUGGCUUCAAUCUCUCUCUCUCUCUCUCUCUCUCAUAAAAGAUCUUCAUGAUGGAUGAUUGAAUCCACUUCAUCUCGACUAAAGUCACCUAUUAUUAUUUUUUAUGCCUAGCAUUUCAUGUCUCUUUUUGGAGUAUUAAUGUUCUUCUAGUGGGAUUCGUAAGCCUUGGAUGCAAUGUGAUGUCCCCACAGAAAUUGCUAAUUUUUUCUUAAACUUCAGUCUUGCAUUUUAAUGAAAUGUGUAAGAAUUGUGCCAUGUUUUGAAUGGAUCCAACCUGUGCCAUCUCUCGAAUAGAUCCAAUUUUAUCUUGCUUUGAGAGGGAUACUUAUAGGCAGCCCCAUUCAGUUGAUGCUAGUGAUAUUAUCUGUUUUGAUGACAGCUUGCUUUCCUUGCACAAUGUUACGAGGGAUACGUGCAUUAGAAGUUCUAAAACCUGUUAUGAAAAUUCACUUGAAUCCUAAAAGUUUCAAAACGUGCAAUUAAGUUCUAAAACUUGUCACGAAAGUGCAAUCGAGUUCUAAAACUUUCAAAAAAAUGCAAUUAAGUUCUAAAACUUAUCAUAAAAGUGUAAUUGAGUCUUAAAACAUUCAAAAAAUACUAUCAAGGAAUGACUUGAUUUGAUUGAUUUAAUAAGUUUUAGGACUUAAUUGCACUUUCUGAAAAUUUUAUGACUCAAUUAUACUUCCAUAAUAAGUCUUAGAACUUAAUUGUACUUUUUUAAAGUUUUAAAACUAAAUUGCACUUCAUUGACAAAUUAUAGGACUUUCAAUGCUCUAAUCCCAUGUUAAAAUGUUUUGUACUAAUUUGAGCUUGUGAGAGACUUGUCUAUCAAUGUAAUAAAUUUGAUAUAUGUAAUGGUGGAAGAAAGACAUACACGAUAUCCAAUAUUCCCAAACUGUCAAACAGACUUUUUUGGCACAAAGCUAGCUUUGUGAUCACCCCACCACCCCAAAGCGCUUUGAGGGAGGGCCGACAAACCUCCUUGCUCAUGCAUUGCUAGUGCUACCAUCCACACCAGUGCACGAGGGUUGUCCUACCCUUACAUAUAGAGAAUCGGUUUAUAGCCAUUCGACGCAAGUAUCAUAAUCAUGUGGAACCACCCAUGAAUCGGCAAUGUACUUAUGUCGAAUCAACUUACAUUUGUUCGCUAAUUGACUUAUAAUAGUAUAUAAUUGAUCCUUGUCAAUUCUUACGGUCGAGUGGUCGAUCCCUAAUUGAAUUCUCUGGUCUUUCGUGUUUUAACCCGUUACGGCCUCGCCUAAUAGAUUAAUUAACUCGUGAGUAAUUAGUUCAAAGUAAAUUAACCAUCAGUGCAUUGAUAAAAUAACCAUUUCUUAUAUUUAGAAAUUGGUCAAAUUUUAGGAUAUCACACCAACUAAUUCCAAAAUACUAAAACAUUGUCACAUCUAAAAAGCCAACAAUCAUUUUUAUCUAAAUCUUCGGAUGGCCCAUGAUGAACUUUAUACUUUGGCAAAACGAAUUAGGUACAUGAUGAAAAAUUCCAAUUUUCCCCCUAAUAAAAUAUAAAUUGUUCUUAAUGUGGAUGGCCCAUGUUGUGGUUUGACAUAUGGGAAGGUUCAUUCGGCAGUGGUCGAAUUUCCGGUAAUGUGAAUGGAGAAACAAAAGAAAAAAGGAUAAAUAUAAGAGAGGCGAAUAUUCGAUGAUGAUGUAAUUAACUAGAAUGCGCGACACGUUAGGGUGGUCCUAGGUUCGUGACUCUUGUCGAAGGGAAGAAGCAAUUUCGAUACCAGGCCUGCCAUUUUACCAGCAUCGUGAACUUACCCUUUCUCUAUUCGUCUACUCAAUUAUUUGCAUUUACGUGCCAGGCCAACAUCCUCCUUCCAAGUUGUGUUUGCUCCUUUAUGACUGUAGAUUAAUCUACCCCCGGAAGGGUUUCAUCUGUACGUAGUACAAGAUAAAAACUCAAAAAUAAAUAAGAUCUACAUGCUAUCCACACUCACUAGAAAGAAAAUACACUCAUUUUUAUCUGAAAGGUCCGGGCAUGAGGCCAAUGUGGUUAGCAUGCCCGUAAUCAUGUUGCGCCUUCCGUGUGUGUGACAUACGCUCGGCCUAUGGACGGUGUCUCAAAAUUUGAACUCACUAUGUCGAAGACCGACAUGAUUUUUAUGGGCUGAAAGGGGAAGAAAUCGUGUAUGUUUUUGGCAUAGGGUGUUCGAAUGACUCCCGGUUCGAAUGAAACAAAGUCCGGAACUUCCGAAUAAGGAUAUAAAUUUGUAGCAUUAUUGGCUCAGUUUACACUUCGAUCAAAAAGAAAAGAGCUUCUGGACUCGUAUCCGGACCCAUGAGCGAUUUUAGAAACGUGACAGAUUUUCAGGGUUUUCUCAUCGAGAAUUGUGUGAAUGGUCAUCCGUCUAUGAGAUUAUUACUAACAUAUGAUGUGAUAAUUUUCAAAGUUUUUCACUUGAUUUAUUUUUCCUUUGUUGGCCAUGUGUUUUUUUCCCAUCCCUAAUUAGAGGAGACUUCCUCUAGUCAAUCUUUUAAUUGUUAUUUUACAAAACAUCAACAUCACCCACAUUAUAUUUCGUCAAAUUUACUAAUGCAUGAGGUCCGUUACUUAUAACUCAUCGAUCAGAACCAUAGUUGGUGGAAUAAGAGUUUAUCUCCUUUUAUUCUAGUUUCUUUGUUCGAAGUUAAAUCAUUGCUUGGGUUUAUGUCAUCUUUUCAUUGUAAGAUCAGUUUAACAUAUAGAAAAUUGGUACUUUUCUCUAUGUUUAAGUGUGUUCUAACCUCAUGCUAUGUGUGACUGCUAAUGAGUGUCCAUUUUAAACGUGUCGCGAAUGUAUUAGAACAAGCUGGGUCGAAUGAAUUUUGACACACUGCAUCAAUAUUCAUCCAACUUUGAUGAUAUUUUGGCAUUUUUUGGCAAUGAGAAUUUGACGAUAGGCAUGUAUCGCUAAAAAUCCCUACAUGGUAAUGCUAGAUGAAGUUCUUUAAGGGAGGUUGGGAUAUAUGAUUGUGGCUACUACGAGGUGAUGAUGAGACCAUUUGAAGCAUGGACCAACGAUGAUGGCAUGGUGCAUCAUGUAGACGUGUUGGUGCAUUUGAUCGAAGAGUGGGAAGUUGCUAGAAGUUAUCAAGUAUUAAUUCGAGCAAGUUAUGCCCAUGGAAACAUAGGAAGUUACCGAGCAUAUGAAGUGAGGGGGAGGACUGACCAAUCUUGGACGCGCACAAAGAGUUUAGUAGGGUUGAUAAAGUGGCGUAAUUAUCGUCUUAUCAAAGAAGACUUAAUGUCCAAACACCUAAAAAUACUCAAAAACUUCGACCGGAUUACUCGCAGUUGAGUCGAAUUGUCAAAAGAAAAAAAGGUUGUGGUAAAAGACGGAAGGUAAAGUCAUGCACGUGUCUUCCCCAUCUGUUGUCUUAUUUUCUCUCAAUUUCUAAGGCACUUCGGAAAGCCAUUUGUGAGGAUACAUUGAUCAUAAGCCCGCUAGUAUUUGGACGAUUGCGCCAUAUGGAACCAGCAAAUUAAUCGGUGUGAAAAUUUGUCCUCUCAAUGUGCUAUUUUAUCUGCUAAUCUACAAGUUCAUUCUAGAGUUGUGGAAGGAUAGGCCAAAUCAAGAAAAGUGAUGCAUUAGGAAGCCUGUGAAUAGCAGAGUUCUUCUCAAUGGGUGAGACCAAUGUAAGAUGGUAAUCAAACUAGAAUUUUUAUAUGAGUAACGAGUACUUAUAAGUAAAAUUUUCUUAUCAUACUAGAUUCUCGUUUUAGGUUCUUAUAAGUGAAACACCAAAAGUUUAGAACAUUUCAUCGAAUAUCCAGUCAUGUCCAACAUUUCAUCGAAUAUCCAGUCAUGUCCUAAUUUUUGAACUUAUGCAGUCAAGUCCUAAAUGGUUUCCAUUGAGUGCAGUUUAAUCUUAUUAGCAAACUCAUGGUCAAAUUUGAUAACAUGGAUGGCAAAAUAUGACUUGGCAUUUUGUAAUUUUUUUAACCUACAUGCUAUGAUGUGGCGCUAAUGUGGCCCCACAUCAGUAAAAUUCAAAAAUUUAAACAAAUUUAAAAAUUGAAGAAAAACUAUAAAAAAAAAAUCCAAAGACUAGAUAAAAUUGAAAGUCAUAGAGAGCGAAACCGUCGUUAAGGGCAGUUUGAAGGAUUGGAGACGAUAGAAUUGCCCCCACUUCGUCGCUUUCUUUAUUCUCAAUGAGCAAAGCCAGCACUUCUUUUUCUUUGUCCUCCAUCCUCCUAUUCAAUUUAGUUGGCACAAGCCUGUAAAAUAUUGAAUCAAAUAGCUUGAUUUUUUUGGAUGUUAUGUUGAUUCAAUGGGCUUAUGAAAAAUGAAAUAUUUUACCUCAAAUCUUGGAUGUAGACCAACUGAAGGGAGUAAUCACAAGCUGAGCUUGUUCCUCCUGAAGAUGUAGUUUUAAACUAUUUUCUCUCUCCAUUGUCCAAAAAAAAAAAAAAACUAUUUUCUCUCUCCCUCUCUCUUGAUAAUUUAAAAAUAUUUAUACAUAUAUAGUCGGUGUUUUAUCCCCUUUCAAAGAGGUCAGCUUAUACCAGAAAAUGGACAGAGCUAAACUUGAACCAAAUCAUAUGCACUCAUGGAGAUAUAAAAAAAAAAAUAAUAAUAAAUUUGGUAUUGAGUAUAUGAUUUUUCUGAGAGCAUCAACCAAUUAUAUGAAUCGUUUUUUUCUCCUCUUUGUUGUCAAUUGUUGAUUUUGGUAUCCCCUCUGCGCUUCUACUUCACUUCUUCUCCUUAUUAUCUCGAAUUAUUUGGUAUUAGAGCCGAAAAAAACCAAUUAUAUUGCAUUGAAAUUUUCCAUCAAAUUGGUUUAUGUUCUAGUCCUCUCUUUAAAUGGAUGACGAGUGUGUCUGACCUUGGCAUUUUUAUUUCCUUUAUCGUCAGGCAGCUAUAUUAAACUAUAAGCUGUAAAUUUCAUUCAUAUUUUGUGAUUCGUGGGCUUAGCUUAUACUGGAAAGUAAAGAGAGCUAAACAUGAAACAAAUUAUAUACAUGCACGGAGAUAUAUAGAAAAAAGAAGUUUUGCGUUGUUUUUUUAUUGAAUAAAUGAUUCUUUGAGCAUGCAACCAAUUCAAUGACUCAUUAUACAGUCCCAAUACCUUAAAUUACUUUUGGGGCACCUCUCAACGAUUAUGUUUGUGUUUUCAGGAUGCCUUUGCAUGGUAAAAGUUGAAAAAUGGGACAACCCCCCAAAAAUUUUUAUGUACCUGAGCGCAAGGAUACUUUAAUGUUUUUCUUCCCCCUUUUAGGAGAGGCGCAGGUACCUUCCCACCCAGUUUGUGUAAAAGUUGUAUGGCAUUUUUAAGAAAGCUUGAUGUCUCGCUUCAGCUUUUAACUUUUGCUUUGCUUCCAUAAAAUAAGCACAUGAAGUCCGAAUGUUAUUGGCGUAAAAUGACGCACAAAAGCUUUGCGGCAUUUCCGAACAUUGCAAAUAUAAUUAAGAACAUGAAAAUAUAAAGUGGGGUAGUCUCCAUAUAAUAGUCAAUAUUACAUUUGUUUAGGAAGGUCUAAAAUUUUUGUUGUACAAAACUCUACAAGUUUACGAACUUUUACCGGUGCGAUGGGUAUGUCAUUCGACUUGAUUUGAAAAACUCUAAGGUUACGCUCCAUCCACGAGGGUUUCCUUGUUUUUCCUUCUCAGGUUCACAUUCGAACUACUCUGCAUUCUAAUGGUUGCUGCUUCAAGUUACUCUAUGGGUAGAAAUUACUAAGUUGAUAGAAUUAGUAUAUUAUGCAUGAAGAAAAGCCCGUUAAAAAAUUAUUUAGGGAAAAGUACCAAAAAAGUCCUAAACCUUUUGCAUUGGUACCAAUUGAGUCCUAAAUUUUUCAAUUGAACUAAUUUAGUCCUAAACCUUUUAAUAUUGGUACCAAUUCAGUCCAUCCGGCCAAUUUUGGCCUGCCGGCGCUGACGUGGACGUUGACCGGUGACCGGACGGUGACGUGGCCAUUUUUAUGAAUUUUUUAUUAUUUUUUCGAAUUUUUUAUUAAUUUUUUUGAAUUUUCUCCUUUUUUUUUUCUUUUUCAUUUUCUUUUUCGGCGUUGACCGGCGAGCCUCCGGUGAGGCUCGCCGGCCACUGGGCGAGGGCCGCGAAGCCCUCGCUCGCCGCCGGCGAGGGUCGCGACCCUCGCCCGGCCUCUCCCAGGCCGCCGGCGAGGUGGCUUCGCCCGGAUCUGGGCGAGGCCGGCCUCGCCUAGGCCUUGCCGCGGGCGAAGGCGGCCUCGCCCGCGGCUGGCAAGGCCAUAGCGGCCAUCGCCAGGGCAGAGGCGAGGGCCGCGAAGCCCUCGCCAGUCGCCGGCGAGGGUCGCGGCCCUCAGCCCUCGCCUCCACCCUGGCGAAGCGAACCCGCAAAACCCAUUCCUCCUCUCUCUCUAGCGCCUCUGCUGAACCCACCAUCUCCUGCAGAAGCUUCGGGAAACGGCGGAAAGCCCCGAUCAAAUCGAGAGAACUUCCCCCUUCUUCUCGCCGCGGAUUGGAGGAGAGCGGGUGGUGGUUGCUUGAUCGGGGGGAUUGAUGGGGGACGCGAACGCCGUGGCCGGCAACCUGGCCCGCGCCAUCGCCAUCACCUUGGACUGGAGCUCCGCUCCCGACGCUCGCCGGGCCGUCGUCUCUUUCCUCGAAUCCGUACGCCCUCUCUCCCCCUCGCUAGACGCGGGCGAGGCCGCCUUCGCCAGCGGCCAGGCCUGGGCGAGGCCGGCCUCGCCCAGAUCCGGGCGAAGCAGCCUCGCCGGCGGCCUGGGAGAGGCCGAGCGAGGGCCGCGACCCUCGCCGGCGACAGGCGAGGGCUUCGCGGCCCUCGCCCAGUGGCCGGCGAGCCUCACCGGACGCUCGCCGGCCACCGCCGAAAAAGAAAAUGAAAAGAAAAAAAGAGAAAAAAAUUAAUAGAAAAUUCAAAAAAAUUAAUAAAAAAUUCGAAAAAAUAAUAAAAAAUUCAUAAAAAUGGCCACGUCAGCGUCCGGUCACCGGUCAACGUCCACGUCAGCGACGGCCGGCCAAAAUUGGCCGGAUGGACUGAAUUGGUACCAAUAUUAAAAGGUUUAGGACUAAAUUGGUCCAAUUGAAAAGUUUAGGACUGAAUUGGUACCAAUGCAAAAGGUUUAGGACUUUUUUGGUACUUUUCCCAAUUAUUUAAGAACUAGUACAAACCGACCGUUCUUACAAUGGGAUUUCCUCUUUUUUUUUUUGGUGCUUGGUUGAUUAAGAAUCAGCUUCUUUUUCUUUAUUCACUAAUAAUACAAAAAAAUUUAAGAGAGUAUAUCAUGUUUGUGGUGGUAGUGAAAUGUUACGGAGAAGAACACUAGAAAGAAUCGUAAAUCGAGGGGGGGCGGGGAUUUUCCUUUUAUACUCGCGAAAGAACGUAUGCGUACACUUAUUAAAAGAUAAACUAUGCGUGGGUUGAGGGACUGACCAAUCUUUGACGCGCACGAAGAGUUUAGUGGGGGUUCAUAAAGUCUCUGUAAUCACCGUCUUGUUAAAGAAGACUUGAUUAAUCUCCAAGCAACUAAAGAUCCUCAAAAAGUUUCGACCCCAUUACAAAAGCGUCUUGUCCUCUUCAUUUCUCCUUCCUCUCUCACUUUUUAUGAAUGCUUCGCCCACUUACUCACAAUUAAGUCCACAUUUUGAGGAGAUUCUCUCUCUUAUUUCUUUCUGUAUGAGAGAUCUUGAGGAUGGAUGAUUGAAACAUCUGCAAUGAAUUUUGCUGAACGUUACAACUAACUAAAUGAGAUUUUGCAUCUAUUUCUAGUCAUUCUUUUGUUACAGUAUUUUUGGCAGGGAGGAGUCCCUAUUACUUGGAUCGGAUUAUAAGUCAUACAGAUUCCAUUUGGAUGACAUUUUUUUUCUUGUAAUUGAAUCUUUCAUUUGUUGUCUUUUUUCCUCUCAAUUUCUAGGGCAGGCGGCCGCUCAGCAGUUUGAGCGCGAUUUCAUUUUCCCUGCGUUUGCAUGGAACUUUCAAAAGGAGCUGCGUGGAAGCUUCAUGUGUUCAUCAUUUGGACAUGGCUUAAUCUUUUCGGCCUUUUGACUUGAGUCGCCUAUUUUUACUUUCAUAGCCAUCGAAAUUGGAAUUUUUUUUUUUUAACACUUGCAUUUUAAGUCUUUUAGGGAGGAUUAAUUUUCUUCUUGUGAGAGUCAGAAGUCUCAUAUGCAAUUUAGUGUUUUCAUGAAAAUUGUUAUUUUUCUUUAACCGUAGUCUUACAUUUUAAUUAUGUGUGUAAGAAUUGUGCCAUGUCUUCAGUGUAGAUCCAAUUUGUCCCAUCUCUUGAAUGGAUCCAAUUUCAUAAUGAAUCUUUCUAAAGGGGCCUCAUUGUUUAGGAAGUUUGUCCUUGUGUUUGAUUGCGUUACUAUGUGCAUCACAUUUGAUGUUGAUUUUGUGCUAGAUUUGCAUUUAACAAAAGCGUGAAUCUUUUUAUAAGAUUAGGAGGUCUAUUCGUUUCAAGGAAAAUAUGAUGUUUCUAAUUUUUUUUUCUAAGAAUCCAUUUUCCAAAAAAAUAAUAAUAUUUUCCUACGUUAUUGAAUCCUAAAAAUAAAUUAGAAAAUAUUUUUUGCUGUUUGUUAUAGAAAAUUUCAUUUAAGUUUCCUCCAUGCACUCAUUUUAAUAAUUAAUUAUUUUUUUUAAAUUGAAUUUUUAAUUUUUUUUUCCUCAUUCUUUUUUGGUCGCCGGCCAUAGCGACUGUUGACGGCCAGGUGAGCUCCUGGACUCGUUGAUCUAGCAAGUGGCAAGCUCGAGCUUUUAUAUAUCUAGUGGUUGGCCAUUGCCGAAGAAGAAAGAAAAUAAAAGGAAAAUAGAAAAAAAAGAAAAAGAAAUAAUUUGAACUUUUUAGAAAAGAAAAAAGAGAAGAAAAGAAAGAAAGAAAGAAGAGAGGGCUAGCCAGCCAGCAUGUGAGAUAAGAGAGAUUGAGUAAGGAAAUUUUUUUCCUUUUUUGAAAAGCGGAAAAUAUUUUUUCCCAUUUUAGAAGACUUUUUCUAUUAAUGAAAAAUAUUUUGCCUAACUAAUUAAUUUUCUAUUAUAUAAAUACCAAAAAAUUCAGAAUAUAUCUUCCUAGAAAUUAUUUUUUGCGAAACAAAUGGAUGCUAGAAUUCAAUUGUAAUAACAAUUUUAUAAAAGAAAAUGACUAAUUACCAGAUCCAUUUUUACUCUUUUGCUUUGGUUUUUCCCUGAUAUCACCAACUCCAGCUGGACGCAUAAGCAACGGUGCAUGUUUUUAAUCUUUCUUGCACAGCUAAACGUGGACGAUCAUGUCUCAACUCAAGAUUGAGAAUAUUCGAUUGGAGAUGCCUCUCCGAAGAUUCGCCAUAAUCACCAGCGGCAAUUUCUCACAUCAAGUUCUCCUUACGUGGAGAGUUCAGACUAAAAGAUACCGAGUUUACAUGUCUCGUUCGGUAAAAAAAAGAAAAGAUUAAUUGAAUGAUGGGAUCACCUGUAAAAUCUUCCAAUUACGCCCAUGUAGAGGACAACUCGUAUCCGUAACAAUAUGCUAAAAAGAGCACGCCUCACCGGCCUUGGGUGAAACCGGUUAGGGACAGAUUUGAAAACCAGUUCGCAAUUAAAACCGGUUUAAUAGAUUCAGGCAAAACCCUAAAAUGUCCUAAAUUUACGACACCUUCUACUUUCUGUUUCGCGCUCCCAGAUCUGGCCUCUCUCUCGUCUCUCCAGCGGCGCCCUUCGUUUUCUUCUCUCUCGGGUCUCGCCUGCGUCGCCGUCUCGUCUAGUCUCUCUCUCUCGAUCUCGCGGACUGUGGCCUCACCUUUGUCGGCCUGCCGUCAAUCAGCCCACUAGGUACUCUCUCUUUAUGUCAGUUUCGUUUUCGAUUACUUCAUGGAAUGUUUUGAUUCCGGCGUGCUCUAAUUUUGAUUUCUUCAGCAGUUCGCCAUCACUGAUUGAUGGCUGUGAGUCGUGACUAACCGCACCCACCCCCGUUUUUUUUUUUCUUUUGUUGAUGUCUUGCCUCAAGCAAGGUCAUUGACAAUUUUCGUUCAGCUCAAUUCUGUCUCAAGUCCAGUUAGCUACGUGCGAUGGCGCCCUCCACUGACACAUCAGGAAUGGAAUUCGAGGUGUUCCUGAGUUUUAGGGGUCCUGACACUCGGGUUGACUUUACUAGUUUUCUCUAUCAUGACAUGAUUGAGAAAGGAAUCCGUGUCUUUAAAGAUGACAAAGAGCUCAACAUCGGUGAGAAGAUUGAGAAGAUUUUCAAAGCUCUCAACGACUCUCAAAUCUACAUUCCCAUUUUCUCUAAGGACUUUGCUUCCAGUGCGUGGUGUCUCCGUGAGGUUGUUCGAAUGGUAGAUUGUGCUAAAAAUUCAAAUGGGAAGAAGGAGAUCCUUCCCAUUUUCUUAGAUGUGAAGCCGGAGGAUGUCAAGAGCAGUACCGGAUUGUACAGUAAUGCCCUAUCUUUGCUUAAGGAGGAGAAGGUGAAGUAUGGCGAUGAGGAGACCUUGAAGUAUGACCCCGAUGAGGUGAAGAGCUGGAGAGACGCUCUUCGUGAGGUUGCAUCUAGAACUGGUUGGAAGCGGGAAGGAAAAGAGUAAGUUAGCACAACUUUUCCUGGGUUAUUAAUUUUAAUAUAAAUUAUCAAGGAAUUAUUUAUUUAAGAUAAACUCUAAUCGAUGCAUUAUACAUCUAAAGAUAUCGAUCGUCUCUGUGCUUUUACCUUAUGUUCAAUCUUUGUCCUCUGAGAAAUUAAUUUCUCUGUAAGUUGAAAAAAGUUGGGGUAAAUGUUAUGUCAUCGUCAAGUUGCUGCUGAAUGAUAAGUUAGCAUCCUGUUUGGCUGUCAAAAACCUUAAAACAAAUUUAAAUGGCGAAAUAAAUAUUUUUGAACAAUUUAGGAAAAAAAAAAGGUAAAGUAGAAACAACAAAAAGGCAAGUAUUAAUGCUUAUUAAGUGUAGAUCAAACAGACUGAUUUUGUACUACAAGCGUAGGAACUAAUCAUAUAUCUGAUCAAUCUCAAAAUAUUUCCUGUACAUUAAAAAUAACAAACUUAUUUUUCUCCUGCGGUAUCCUUCAUUCAAACGACAAAGAUAUACAUUCAUUCUUUUCUCUUGUUUUUUCUCCGGCGGUAUCCUUCCGAAUCAUUUCCAUUUCCUCUUGCUCACUGCAUCCAAUCUAAGUGUUGGUUUUAAACCCAGUAACGAGAGUCUGGGCAGUAUCCAAACUGAGUGAUAGUGUUUAACCCAAUCAAUGGAGUCAGGGCAGCAGCCACGGUAGCUAAUUCGAUCACUUUAUAAUCUAGAUAAUUUUCACUAUAACUUGAGAUUGUUAUAUUUAAAUCGAUUCAGAUUUGUUAUUUGAAAAACUGCCACAGUUUGUAAAGUGGUCUUAACAUGUUUAGCUUAUCUUAUUCCAACAGCAUAUGCUUAAAGUUAGGAAUAGUAUUUUGUUGUCAUUUUCUCUGUCUGAAUUCGUCCACCAUCGCUGUCUGGCAGGGGUGGGGAACUCAUAAAAUUGAUUGUUCAAACGGUUCUACUUAAGCUGAAGGUGAAGAACAGAUAUCUUCCCGACGAUCUAGUUGAAAUGGAUGAUGAAAAGGAUAUAGAGGAAUUGUUGAAAGUGGACUCUGUUGACGAUGUACAUUUUGUUAUAAUUUAUGGGACGGGUGGUAUUGGUAAAACCACUCUUGCUAGCAUCAUCUUCAACCGAUUCCGGUCUAAAUUUGAUUAUUGCAGUUUCCUUAAUGAUGUUAAUGAUGUCCAAGACUUGCCGCAACAUCAACGUCUUCUACACAUGCAAAAGAAACUGUUAUCCGAUACAUUGGGCUCAACCUCUGCUGACGGAAUCCAUGACACCAAUGAGGGGAUUGAUCGAAUAAGUAAAGGACUUCACAACAAAAAAGUGUUGGUUGUUGUCGAUAAUGUGAACAAGAAGGAGCAACUCGAUAAACUUGCAGGGAGCUACAGCUGGUUUGGUUUUGGAAGCAGGAUCAUAGUCACACUUAGGGACAGAAGGUCCAUAUUAAAUUGGACAAGACUAGAAAAUGACAAGCAAACGCAACCUAGUCGUUACAUAGAGUACCCAGUAAAGGAGAUGCCUAUGGAGCAAGCUAUUAAGCUUUUCAGCAAGCAUGCCUUUAGAAGAGAUACUCCUCCGGAAGAUUGGUGCAAUUUCUCAUUUGAAGUCGUUUCACACAUUGGAAGGCUACCUUUGACUUUGGGAGUCGUGGGUUCUCUUUUCGCCAACACGGUCAAAUCGAAGUGGGAUGAGACAUUGAAGGACUUAAAGCAAGUCCCAUGUAAGGAAGUCCAAGAAACACUGAUGAUAAGUGUCAACAAAUUGGACGCCCGGGAAAAACAAAUAUUCCUAGACAUAGCAUGUUUUUGCAUUGGGGAGGAUGAGAAAUAUGCGUAUAACAUGUGGGAAGAUUGCAAAUUUAAUCCACACAGCGCAAUUAAUGACCUUCUCCUCAUGUCGUUGAUAAAGAUCAAUGAGCACAAUAAUACAUUCAGGAUGAAUGGUGAAUUUAUCAAUGAGCACAAUAAUACAUUCUGGAUGCAUGAUGAAGUUCGAGAUCUAGGAAGGUACAUUGCCAAUAAAGAGAAUCUCGAAGAUGCUGGAAAUUGUCAUUGUCUGGUGAUUGACGAGAAUAAUUUAGACAUACUGAGGAGGGACGAGGUAAAGUUAUCAAGAGUAGAAUAUAUAAUCAAUCCAACAAAAUCUUUCCUCGUGUGUUUUAAAAACGAGUAUCGGUUGAUUGCUUGCGCUAUUUUGUAAUUUAUAGAGAAAUAGAAUGCUAACUCUAUAUAAACAACAAAAGUAUAUGUUUGCACGCCAUACCCAUGUGAAACGAGAAGAAAGCUAAUGCGUCGUUUGCUCAGUUGAAAUUCUUCCUUUUUUGUCCAGUGAGAAUGAAAAUGAGCUCUAUUUCAUUGAAAGUGUUUAGUCUGUGAAGAUACAGAGCAAUCAACACCGAAUGGACCUUUUAAACAUGCUUGGUUUGUCUUAUUUUCAAGCUGAGAAGCACAAAAGUAACUAGUUUGGGCUCGAAGUAACACUGAUAUUAUUGACUACUUACAUUGGUUUUUUGCUUCCUGUGCUGCCCCCUCAUCUUCAUUCUCUGCUGCUGCUGGCAGGAUAAAGGAGAUGUACGAGCACUCACUUUGGCGAUCCCUCAUUACUUAACACCUGAAGACGUAGCCUAUUUGCCAAAGCUGAGGUUCCUUAAAGGGAACAAAAUAAAUUUUGUAGGUGACUUCAAAAAUCGUCUUCGUAAUUUGAGAUGGCUUUCUUGGCAAUCUUGCCCAUUGGAUUUUUCAGCAACGAAUCUUCACCUAGUGAAUUUGGUCGUGCUUGACCUCUCAUGGAGCGCCGUCACCCACAAGUGGGGUGGAUGGAGGCAUAUUGAGGUACUAACCCGCCUCACUUAUGUUGGCUUCAAAUUUUAUUAAUUGACCUUCAUGAGCUAGUUGUAUGCUAUAGUAUUCAUGUACUUUCUUUGGCAUGAAAUUGUCCUUUUUUCCCAUUGCAGAUGGCAAAAAAGUUGAAAGUACUAAAUUUGUCGUACUGCUUUUCCUUAACCAAGAUGCCCAACAUUUCUGAGUUUGGCAAGUUGGAGAAAUUGAUUCUUAAGGGUUGUCUGAAUUUGCAUACGAUUGAUAGCUCAAUCGGUAAGGUAAAACUGCUAAAUACUUUGGAUAUGCAGGGAUGCAAAUCCCUCAAAGGGUUGCCCGAAGAAAUCGGUUCUCUAGAAUGCUUGUCGGAGAUUAUCAAUCCCUACAUCACGGAUCUGAUCCAGUUUCAGCUUCUAGAGACACUAGGCAAUCUAAAAUCUUUAAUGAAGUUAACAGUUCGAUAUAAUAUCGACCAACUUCCUCACUCUUUUGGAAGGUUGAAUCUCACGCAUUUGAAUUUGGGUGAAUGCAAUAAUCUACAUCACUCUAUUGGAAGGUUGACUCUCACGCCUUUGGAUUUGGGUGAAUGCAAUAAUCUACAUCACUCUAUUGGAAGGUUGAAUCUCAUGCAUUUGGAUUUGGGUGAAUGCAAUAAUCUACAUCACUCUAUUAGAAGGUUGAAUCUCACAUAUUUGGAUUUGGGUGAUUGCAAUAAUCUUCCGAAGCUAGUAUCAUUGGUCUUGUUGGAUUUAAAUUGUUGCAGUGAUCUACACGAGCUUCCGAACUCCAUUGUAAAGUUAAAGAAACUCAAGUUUUUGAUUUUAUUUGAACACGAGAAUAUAUAUGAGCUUCCGAACUCUAUUAGGAAGCUAGAAUCAUCGAUGAAGUUGGAUUUAGAUUUUUCAAGGAUCUCCAUUCUUCCUGAUUCCAUCGGAGGGUCAAAAAAGCUUGAGCAUUUGCUUUUAUUUGAAUGCUAUAAUCUGAAUAAGCUUCCGGUUUCUAUUGGGAAGCUAGAAUCAUUGGUCGAGUUGGAAUUAAAUUUUUCAAGUAUCUCUGUUCUUUCCGAUUUCAUUGAAAGGUUAAAGAACCUCAAGCAUUUGUUUUUAUCUAAAUGCAUGAAUCUAUAUGAGCUUCUAGACUUUAUUCGGGAGCUAGAUUCAUCGAUUAAGUUGGAUUUAGAAUUCUCCUCGGGCUACAUUCUUCAUGAUUCCAUUAGACAGUUUGGGGAACAAAAUUCAUUAGUCAAGUUGGAUUUUAAACUCUUGAAGAUCUCCACUCUCCUAAAGCCCAUUGGAAUGUUUACGAGUUUCACACAUUUGUCUCUUUCUGGAUGCAAGAAUCUAUAUGAGCUUCCGGAUUCUAUUGGGCAAAUGAAAAGACUAAAAGUCUUAAAUGUGGCAUACACUAAGAUAUGCACAAUACCUAAAGCUCUUGGAGGGGUGGAGACACUGGAAGAGCUCGAUGCCUCAUUUUGUCUGCGUCUCAAGGAUGAUCUCAAGGAUGAAUGGGAAACGUUGAGCCUGACUUGUCUAAGAAUCUUGAACUUAUAUAGGAGCCCGAUCUCUAUAAUUCCGAGAAACAUCAAUGAUUUCUCUAGUCUCCAAACGCUUAAAAUUGCAAGCCACCGGCUUUCCCCGUUGCCCGAGCUUCCCUCAAGUUUGAAAUGCCUGGUGGUUGAAGCUACUGAAUUUCCUGUUCUUCCCGAGCUUUCGAGCCUAGUUCAUUUACAUCAUCUCGAGGUGCGUAAAGAACAAUGUAUGACAUUUCGGAUGCCAAACGAGGUUACCUUGCCUUGGAAGGACGUGCACUCCAUCAAUCGGCCUCCACUUAGCUUAUCAACCUUGAAACUUCACACUAUCCCGCAAUUGCCAGAUUUCUCCGACUUCCAAAGCUUGUUGGUUCUCUCAAUAACUGGAUGUCUAACGCCACGCGUGCCCGAUCUAUUGCGCUUGAAAAGGCUACAAGAGUUGCGACUCAGUGACUUUCCCAAACUAGCGGAGAUUCCAGGUUUGGGGGAACUAGAAUCACUUAUGUUUCUGCACAUUUCCACGUGUAAUGUGAUCGAACUAUUGCCUAACCUGUCGAAUUUGAAAAAUUUACGGAAUCUUGAGCUAAAACAUUGUGCAAAAUUAAGAGCUGUCGAAGGCUUGAAAGAAUUGAAUUCGUUGACAAAAGUGGAGAUCAAAUAUUGCAUGUCCUUGGAAAAGUUGCCCGAUGUGCCAGAACUCACCGAGUUAAAGACUGAUUGUAUGGCGCCAGAAGCUGAAGGACACACCAUUCGUUCUACCGUGCUGGGGAAGGGAUUGCAACUUUGGGGAUUGGAGGACGAAUGUGCUUUGAAGGAGAAUGCAUCAUCCCAAAAGUGCAGGAACUUCUGAUUAAAGCACAUCAUGUCCGGGGUUUGAGCCAGUGCAGUACUAAUGUGAGGUAGCUUUGAACUCCUUCCAGAUUUUCUUUGCACCAUAGAUAUAGGUUUGAAUACUGGCAUCGAAAUUCUCAGGUGCGUCUUGAUUACAUCAGAGGAAGACAGAAGUUUUCAUUUCGGCUUUUGUUUGCUUACAUGUAGAACUGGCUCGGAAAACUGGCUUAGAAAGAGUUGGCCGCGAGUUUUCAGAGUUUUGAGGCCCUGCACGUUUAACAAAGACGAAUUAGCGACCCUGCACGUGGAAUAAAAGCCAAAUUGGCAACACACAUUCAUCACCGACAUGUCACACUUGAGCAUUGUGUUAUAUUUCGUGAUGAUGUUAAGACGAUGUUUUCUUUGUCAAGUCGAAUUCUUAUAAUGUUUUAUUUCCUAUCGAUAUCAUCAUUGCAUUAUGGAUCAUUUCAAUACGUCAGACGAAUUUGUUGCUUCUAUAAUCAGGUCCAUGGAUUACUGGGACAGCAACAACUGGAGGAAGGCCUUGUAGGAAUGGGCCUUGUCAUCAUCCCUGGCGGUGUGCCCAGGAAACCGAAAAUGACAAGAGAUGACCCGAUUAGCUACACUUUUAACUCCACAGUUCCCAUUGCAGCCGAAGAUUUCAAGAAAGCUGGCACUUGUGACCCAAAGAGACCGUUGGGCGUGACCAUGCUCGAUGUAGCUAGAGCAAAUACCUUUGUGGUAGGUAUCACUCCUGCUGAUUCUAUCGAGAAGCAUUGAGUAUAUUUAUGUUCAGAGUAUCAAUCAAGUCGUCACUUUGUAUGAGGCUACAAAGUAAGAAGCGUAUGUUACCUUGUUUAGCAUGCUAUUUUGUUUCAAACGUUAUAUCUUGCGAAUCCGCAAUUAAGACCUUACUCCAUGGGCAUCUUGUGAAAAGAACACUAAGUUGAAUUUUAUUAAAUAGGCUGACGCUCAUCUGUGGGAUCAUGGGCAGGGCAUAGAAGCAAGUUAAUAAAAUCAGCCUAUUUGCAAGUCUAGCAGUGCAGUCCAUAAGCCCGUGUAUUUGAUUGUUUUGGGUAAAAUAAUCAUGUGACUGCUGUUAUGUAAUAGUGAAUGUUAUUUGUUCUCUUCUCAUGAUGAUGAUUACAUUGAUGAGGGUGUCUAUGGUCAUAGAUACUUGGUACUAACACUCAGCAAAAUUGGGAAAGACACCAGUUUCGAGAGAAUUCUAUAAAGAGAACAACUUUUUUAUUUCCCAGGUUGACUUCUGAUCUAUUGUGCUCCUUGCAGGCAGAAGUACAGGGUCUUGAUCCUAGAGAAGUCGACGUUCCAAUUGUUGAAGGUCAUGCAGAAGUGACGAUUUUACCUCUUUUAUCUCAGGUUUGUGAUGUAUUCUUUCUAAUGAGAACAUAUGUUUGACAGGGAUGCCGUUAGAAAUUGCACUUUUUUUGUAGAAUGCUAAUUGUCAGGUGGCAUUUUCAAAAUCUGUAGUUUAAACCACUCACUCGUCAAGAAAUUGAUUACCUGACAUCACGCAUCCAAAAUGGUGGACAGAAGUUGUUGAGGUAAAUAAAUUUUUAUCUUUUACGGAUUUAGACGUCAAUUUAGGCAGUGUUGCUGUCAUAUCACAUUCCAAUAGUCUCUUCAGUUUUAUGUUUCCAGAUCAUAAAAUAUUGCCGUAGCUGUUCUAGUGAUGUUCAUUUUGUCCAGGGCUUGCGACAAGCUUCGGCGUACUAAGGUGGCCUAAAGAGUACAUCGUUAUAAGCGAGUAUUUUUUUAUUCCCAGACACAUUACCGCAUGCUUAAUCAUGUCAGAGUCUCUAAAUUCUUUUGAUUCAUGAGCUAUUUCGAAGAUCUACUCUAUUGAGAACUUUCUUUAAGAGAAGGAUGAUAUUUUCACGAGAAUCACAUUUUAGGUCCAUGUGGGCAUAUAUCUUUUGCAAGUCAACUUUAUGGCAUGAAGCCUUUGCCUGUGUACUGUAGUGAACAUAAGAGAGCUUCUUUUAUCACUCCUCGUAGAGGUCAAGGAACAUGAUUUACCAAAUGCCGCCUCGGAAACCUAUCCACUACCACUAUCCAAGAAAAAAGUGUUACUAAAGAUCUUUCUCAGGAUUGAUGGGACACCUCACGUGUAAAAGUAUGUAAGAGGUGAUUACUUUGUAUGGUGCUAUAGUCAGAAGCAAGCAGCUGUGAGAAUGUCUUUAGCGUUUGAUUAAUUUGUCUGGUCCUCAUUAAGGAAAACAAAGGAAGGUAAAAGAAAGAAUGUAGAAGCAGAGCACCAUACAUCUUUUAUUGUUACGGCGAAGAGAAUGACUUUCAUUUUGAUGAUAAGUGGAAAAAUUCAUACAAUGAUAGAAUUGUCAAAUAUAUCAAAUUUUCUAGAAGUGAUUGUUGAUGUCAACUCGAAACUGGAUUUUUGUGCAUCUAUUUCCACAACGAAAUUAUGGCAUGAUGUCUUAAUCUUCAUCUGUCUGCUUCCUUCAGUAUGUCGUGAAGCCGACUGAAUUGUGUACUCUGUGUUUCGACUACUUUCAAGCUGAAGUUGGAGCUGGCUCUGCAACUCUCUCAAUGGUGAGUCCUUGUUUUGGCCCUUUGAAUUGUAGUCUGAUAUCUGUCAUGAACUGGAAGUUUGAUGGCUAUCUGAUAUGCGGACUCUUUUCACAUGCUCAAAUAAUGUGUAAAUGAAAUAUGCAGGGCUCUUUUCCGCCGUUUGGUAGGUUAAUUAGACUUUCCGGAGAAAAAUCACCAAAAAAUCAGAUUUUUAUUAUUUAUUUUUCUUCUCUUAUAUUCUCUUUUUAUUUUUUUUUCUUUCCUCUUUUUCUUUACUAGGAAAAGAAAAAUAAAAACAAAGAAAAUAAAAAUAAAAAAUAAUUAUUAUUAAAAAUAAAUAAAAAAAUAAAAAUAAUUAUUAAAAUUUCGUUUUUUAAAUAUUUUUAUAAGAAUGAACUUUUGAUUAAAUAAUGACCCGAGUGCCAAGGACCCGUGCAUGAUCUUUGUGGACUAGAGCUUGAGUAUCCGAGAUUUGAGCACAUCCUUUAUGGACCGAGGCUCAGGUGCCGAGAAUUGUUCAUGGGCACUAGGGGUUUGUGGGUGCCGAGGGCUCAGGCCCAAUCAUUGGAGACUUGGUCUUGAACAUCGCGACCCAAGACCAACGUUAGAGUUUUCAUGGCCAAGUGUAAAGUUUUGAGUUCAAGUGUGGAUACUUAAUCAUAUUUUGCAAAAUGUUUUCUAUUUUCAAAGAGGGAAAUCAUUUUCUUUCUAUUGACUCAUUUUUCUCAGCGAACUGAACACUGAAAAAUGAGGAAAAUGUUUUUUCAGAAUUUGUUUUCCACGAAACAAACAGAAUCGAAACAACCAAUGAUUUUCUUUAUUGUUGUCCCCAUCUUUCAGAUGACUGAGCUUCCGUUCUUUGCAUUCAAAGUGCACCUCAGUCGUACUGGGCUAAGGAGGUUCUUCCCCUUGGCCUACUGAAUGAGUACAAAAGGUCUCGAUUUUUAUUACUCUCAAAAUUUUAUUUCUACUUUGACUACAUCAAAGGAAAAUUAUUUUUUUAAAAUUUCGGCCUUUGUUUAUUAACAUGUAGAGCUAGCUUGGAAAAGGCAAAGGAAGAGCUAGUAGAAGAAGGGCAUUUCAUUUAUCAAGAAGUGAGGAGAUUAAAAGUGUGGCCUUUUCGCUAGGGAAGAGAUGUCCUUUUCUUGGGUUUCGGCUUAUUUUUCUACUAAAAAAAUUGUUACUUGGGAAUAAGUGGUUCAGACCUAGGAAGAUAUCGAAGUUUGUUUUACAUAGGUGACUUUAGAAACCACGGAGGUUUUUCUUUUCUUGCAUGUAACGUAGUCAAAUGGUAAUCUGUGUAUAACCUGGUGGACGGAUGCUUGUAUAUUAUUAUCCUCGUCCCGUCUUUCUCAUGUGUGUUUGAAUUUCCGAUUUUCUUAUGCACCCCUAACGUCGCCUUCACGCACCAUCAGAUGUGCAAUGCCGCAAUGAGCAAAUGAUAGACAGAGAGUGCUGAAUAAGUUGAAGCUCGUCUUUGGUACCAGGCUUGAAGUUUAACAGGCUUAAAUGCAGCUUCGUAUGGCUUUCUCCAGAAGAUUUAAGAGACCAAAAGGAGCAAGAGAACCAUUACAAAGUCUCUUCUUGGUAACUGGCAGCGGGAGUCGAAAUUAUCAUGAGGACACAAAUCCACAAUCACCAGCAUCAAUUUCUCACCCCAAGUUCUCAGGAGCAUUUAGACUGAUAGAUUACCGAGUUUAUGUUUUGUUCCAUGAAAAAACAACUAAUUUGCCCAUAAAAAAAAAAUCAAAAGAAGCUUUAGAACAUUAUCUUGGAGUUGGAUCAGCCUCACAAAAUUUGCUGCUUUAUUUGGGUAGUUAGUGGCUUGUUUCGCAUCACCGGCCGAUGACGAAUGACUAUUGCUUUGAUGUUUUUGCAAGUCUGGCCGUAUUAGUCCUGAAAUUAUUCUACGUUGUAAUGACAAUUUGGAAGAGACUUUGGCAAUAAUGACAGUAUUCGGCAGGACGGCAGAGGUAGGAGUGCGGUGUAGCAAGAGCAAUGUCGCCCCAAAGCUUUGGAUCCCUUCAUACGGUUUCCUUAGAGUUGCUCUGCAGCAAUACUUUGCAGUGUGGGCAGAGAAGUGCGAUGGAGGAAUGAUGCACGAAUUGGCCCAUAUGCGUCAACUAACACUGUCAAAAAUUGAAUGAAGCACAUACGAUCUCGAUAGCUACCAUACAGGUUCUAAUCAAUCUUACACUCUCAUGUAGAUUCGGAGAGUGCAAACUGAUCUCGAGUCGACUACAUCCAAUUGAAAAAAUGGGCAAUAAACUGCCCCAAUUCCAAUAAAUGGGUGAGCCAUAUCACUAUUACCAUAACAUUGAGCAAGUAAAUCUCACACCUGUUUAACAGUCUCAAGCCUACUAAACUGUAGAGCAGUGGAUAUUGCUGUAGAUCCCAUGAGGUUAGAAUUCUAGCUAUUUAAGAGUGGUAUCUCAUUGAUGGCUCCACACUCUUUUUUUCUUUCGACCUUUCGACCAGCUCUCAAGAUUUGGUGGUUUUCACUGAUCUAUCUUUUAGUCUUUCAACGUAUUUUAUUCUACAAUUUCAUCAGAUGCUCAUGUAGGUUCCACGGAUGUCUUUCCUGUCACAUUUAGCCAUCUUUUUCUCCCCUUCAAAAAACCACGCAUGGCUUAACCCACAAAUUAUAAUUAGAACCAUCUUCAAUGGUUCGGACGGGUUGGAAGACCUCUGACUAAUCUUUGUGGUGUACUAAAAGGUUGAGAGUAAAACUCACCUUGAACUUGAACAGGAAAAACACAUUAAAGAAGCUCAAGGCUAGUUUGAAUUGGUUUAGAAGACUUUGAAUCGAUCAGUCGAAGUAUUGAGCCUGUUCGGUCAAUAAUGUUAUUAGGCUGCUGAAGUCUCCUACUAACAUGGUCUGUGACUUGGCCUACUAACAUAGCUCUCCGAUGUGGUAGGGCGUGAUCUGCGGGUAAAGAAAUUCAACCGAGCGCUUUUACGGCGGCUAAUAAGUUAACUGAUUAUGUCAAUUCAGUUUUUGGAGGCAAAAGUUACUGUAGUGCACAAUAAUCUGGACUAGGGAUUAAAAUUCCGACGUCCAUCACGUUCACAUGGAAUGGAGCUGCAAUUGGACGGGACUAUUGACUACGUGGCCCGAUGAUAAGGAGGAGGCGCAAGGAGACUCUUUCGCCAGACGGACGUCGACGACAAUGGAAAGUGCUGCUUGUGGGAAGGUGUGAUUUCUGGGAAGGGAGUGAUAGGCUAAACUCAAUUUGAGUAGCACCCUAGUUUCAAAGUUAGAGGAUCCAGUGGCGGUAGACUUUGCCGUACGCCAGCGAGAUUUGUGAAAUGAAUCGCAGCGAUAAAAUGAACAACUAGUUAGUUUUCACAAAGAGACGCGGCAAUGAUAUUAAGUUACAACUAGAAUAGCACUAACAAUGAUUCGAUUGCUUAACUUCAAUGUUACAAUGCGUGGUUUAUCUGUAGGUCCAAUAACCAGUUGCAAAAGAUCCUGUUAAAUAUAGAAUAUAAGUAAUCUAUACACAAGUCUGACCAAAUAUAUAUCACAUGAAAUCAACAAAGAUCAAGAAGAUCCCACAAUGUACUACAGUUUUUGCUUAUCUACAAAACAACAUUCAAAUCAAAAAGAAAAUCGCAUAUUAUAGGAAGAAAGACUAAACUAAUGAUUCAUACGUUUCUAGUAGAAUUUUGUUAUUGCUUGAUGAAUCAAUGCUCACUUCGUAAAGUUACACCACAUAUCUCCAAAACAAAUAUUUAGAUUAAUCAAUUUCUGGUCCAGGCAACGCAUGGGACUUUAACUAGUUUGAUGAUAAUGAUUUGUUGCCUCGCCAUUUGACAUUAUAUUUUUGUAACUAUGUCAAUUUAGCAACUGCAGACUAUUUUAUGUUUGUUUAUGUUGAUCCUUAAGUUAAUAUCAUGAGGAAGUUUCAUAGAAGGUAGUGGCAGGGUUGUGAGAGAGUUGGGCUUGAAGACGCUUAACAAUUCAAUCAUAAUAAUUAACAAUAACUUUAUCUGAAGGGCCUCACUGUUUAGGAAAUUUGAGGUCCCAUCCCAUGUGCAUUACAUUGGAAUUCGAAUCCACUUUUACCUUUGUUGUACUAAUUUACACGUGCUUUCAAUCAGUCUCGUACAGCUGAAAGAGUAAUCGAAUAAUAGUAACAUAUCUCGCCUCAGAUGAUACUGAGUGCAUCACAUUCGAUGUUAAUUUCAAGAUGUAUUUGCUUUUAACAAAUGCAUGAAUCAUUUCAUUAAAUCAAGAUUAAGUGACAAUAUAUAAAUUGACAAAGGAACAGGUAACUUUUUUUUUGUUUUGGUUGGUGGAAAAGUUUUACUUACCAGAUCCAUCUUUGUUCUUUCGUUUUGUUUUGUUUCUUUCUUGAUUCCACCAAUUCCGGUUGGACGCAUAAAAAGGAACACUAUAUGUUUUUAGUCCUUCUCGCACAGCUGGACGAGGAAUACAAUAACCUCAACAUGUCUUGCCUCAUUGUCAUAGUGAAACGGUUUGCCCCUGCUAUCGAUCUUCAGAUUUCCUGCAACUAGGAUAAGUAUUAGUGGAUGACACAUCCAGAGGCAAAUUUUGCUAAAUUUUAUGCACCAGAAUAGUGUUAAUACCAUACAAAUUCUCAAAUUGGUAUAUUCUUAUCAUUUUAUCUCAAACUAAUCAUGUCACAAAAAAUUGGUACACCCACAUCAUAUUUAUUCUAAACUAAUUUCUUGUGACAUAGAAUUAGUUUAGGAUAAACAUAACACGAAUUUAUUGGCUUGGAAUCUCUCUGUUAGGCAAAAAUCAGCUUGCAGUAUUGUGAGGUGGGUCAACCAGUUAGGAAUUUUUCACAACACGAAAAUUAGUUAGACAUGAAGGAUACUCAUAUGAAUUUUUUAAAAUUUUUGUGCUAGUGACGCUUUUUCCAUUAGUGCUUGGCAUACGACGCCAGGACAUUAUAUGGUCGUGGAAAGAGGAAAGAAAGUAACAUUUGGAACGUUUACCUCCUCUAAUUAUUUUUACGUCCUUCGUUACCUAGAUUAGGUUAUUAACUAUCAAGAAAAGAAAAGGCAUAUUUUACUGUUUUCAAAUAGAAAAGUACCAAAAAAUUCAUAAAUUUAUUGUAUUACUAACAUUUUAGUCAUAAAUUGUCCAAAAAAAAAAAAACAUUUUAGUCAUAAACUUUUUUAAUUAGACCGGUUUAGUCCUAAAUAUUUUCACGUUGAUACUGAUUGAGUCCAUCUGAAGCCGAAAAUUUCUAAUCGUCCCACGUGAUAUGGCUAAUGCUAACGUGAAUUUUAUUUAUUAUUUUUUAUAUUCCUUUUUUUUUCUUUUUUUUUUCUUUUUUUUGGGGAAAAUUCCAAAUAAGGGACUGAAGUAACCUCAUUUUCUCAAAUAAAGGUCUGUGAUUAUAACAAUUUCAAAUAAGGGCCUAGCCUCACCGACCGGCAAAAAAUUCAAGUCGAUCAAGGGCAUUUUCGUCCAAACACAAUUAAUUUUUAUUAUAAACUUAAAAAAAAAAGAUAAAAAAGAAUUGCCGCCUCAUUGCAAGUGGGGCAGCGACAAAGGCCGGCGAGGUCACCGAUGCCUGGGGCAGGCCCUCCCACCUGUGUUUUCUUUUCUUUUCUUUUUUUUAGUUUUUUAGUUUUUUUUUAAAGGAAAAAGCAGAAACAAAAAUAAUGAAAAAAGAAAAUUUUAAAAAAUUUAAAAAGACAAAAUUGCCCUUCACAUUUGGUGAGUUCAAAUCCUUAUUUGAGAAAUUAAGGACAUUCCGAGUUUUUAUUUGAAAUAAUAUCCAUUUCAUACAUUUAUUUGAGAAAAUAAGGGAACUUUAGAUCUUUAUUUGAAAUUUUCUCUUUUUUUUUUUUUUUUUAAUCUUUUAUCCUUAUUCCCUCCAGUUGCCAACCUCCACAAUCUCCUUUGGCCAUUAGCGAGGGUGAGGGCUAGGAUGCCCUCACCAAUCUUUGGUGAGAGCGAACGAAGGCUAGGAAAGGCCGCCCCUCGCCAAAGGCUGGCAUAUGGUCAUGACUGGCGAGUGGCAAUACCCAGAAGCAGAAUUUGGAAAUGCAACAAAAAUAAAAACCCUCAAAGCAAAGACCGGUAUACCAGCUUCCGUGAACAACGCUGUCUUGCUCAAAGGGUUUAAGAUUUCUAGAUCGGUGUGGAACAUCCGCAAUUCAACAAGCAAGAAAUUUUACCACCAAAAUUCAAGCAAGCCGACGAAUCGAAUCCAGAAAACAAAGAGACUGAAAGAGAGAAGAAACAGGGAGGAACUUUUUCGGCUGAUCAGAGACGACACAAACGAGAGGACCUCAGGUUGGGUGGGGGGUUUAACCGAGGAAGCUGUAGUUGGUUGUGGGCACAAGAUCACCGCUCGAGAAGGAGCAGAGCACACUUCUUUUUAAUUUUGGUUAGGCAAUUAAAAAGGGCAAGAAAACGAAAUUCAAAAGAAAAACGGAAGCGAGGAAAAAGGAUUGAAUGUGAACUUACCGGUGCCAAAUGAAUGAGGAAAUGAUUCGAUUUGAACUGCACAGAGAGAGAGAGAGAGAGAGAGAGAGAGAGGCCUCGCCCUGGCGUCCUGGCCAUCAUCCUUGUUGGCGGCUGGCGAUUGGUGAAGGAAAAUUGUAAAAAACAUAUUCACAUUAGUGUAAGCUAUAUCAUGUAGGACAAUCGGAAUUCAAUUAGCAAUUUCUAGCCUAAAUUUACCCAAUGAUUCAAUUAGUAUUGAUGUGAAAAAAAUUUAGGAUUAAAUUUAUAUAACUUAAGAAUUUAGAACUAAAUUAGUGCUAACGCAAUAUGUUUAGAAUAUUUUUUUUGUACUUUUCCCUCCUCAAGACCUAGAAAAUAUUCCAAUAGUCAAUACCAAAAAAUAAAAGUUUCCAAUUUUCAGAAUAGACAAAUUCUUGUCCGCUAGGUCCCAAGAGGAAGCUACCAAUAGAUUAUUGUCGCUACGAAAUUUCAACAUCUGCAGAUUAUUUAUAUUUGAUAGUAAUACUAUCAAGAGGAAGUUUCAUAAGUGGGAGUGGCGGAGAUGGAACUAGUUGGGCUUGAAGAGACUAAACAACUUAGUCACAAUAAAUCAUUAUAAAUUUUUCUAAAGGGUCCUCAUUGUUUUAAAAGUUCGACGUAGUCCGUUUGAUUACAUCUCUGGGCAGCACAAUUUAUAUUAAUUUCAUAUAUACUUUUCAUGUUAGACUUGUAUUCAACAAUUGCACGAAUGCUGCUGCAUGAUUAGAACUCAAUGACAAUUUGACAAAGUAAAAAGACUUAUUACCGGAUGUUUUAUCUUUAACUUUAUCUUUUUUCCGGUUUUGUUGCACUAAUUUACUCAAUUAAAUAUGUUUCCUAAAACCACCAACUCCAAUUGCCCACAUAAUGGCCAAAUGUUACAAAAAAUCUUGAACCUAUUGUAGGGAGGCAGAUUUAGUUCUAAACUUCUUAAUUUUGCCAAUUAAAUCUUAAAUCUUUUGAUGGUUUAUUAAUAUAAUAUUUUUUGACCAAUUUUGGUGAGAAACCGUUAACGUGGACGCGGGCUGUUUCAGUGAUUUAUGGUUAAAAUUACCAUAAGGAUUAUAUUGACAAAUCAUUAAAAUAUUUAAAAUUAUAUUAACAAAUCGGGAAAUAGUUUAUGACUAAAAUGGCAAAUUUUCAAAGAUUAGAACUGGAUUUUUAGACAAGUAUCCCUCCUAUAAAAAACUCAUGUCCCCCCUCGAGAUUGACAAUUUUCAUUCGGAGAUGCCUCUCCAGAUUCGGCAGCAAUUUCUGAUACCAAGUUCUCCUUAAAUGGAAAAUUCAGAUUAAGAUUAUCGAGUUCAUAUAUCUUUUGUCAAGAAAAAAUAAUUAGUCGAAUGGCAGGAUCAUCCGUAAAAUCUUCCAAUCUCGCCCACGAAGAGGACAACUCGCUUUCGAAAUAAGAUGCUAACACAGCACGCCUCCCCGGCCUAGUAAAAUUAGUUGUUGGGUGAAACCCGUUUGGAACAGAUUUCAAAACCGGUUCGCAGUUAAAACCGGUUUAAUAGAUUCAAGCAAAACCCUAAAAUGUCUUAAAUUUAGAACACCUUCUACUUUCUGCUUCACGCUCUCAGAUCUGGCCUUUCUCUCGUCUCUCCAACGGUGCCCUUCGUUUUUUUUCCCUCUCUGGUCUCGCCUGAGUCGCCGUCUCGUCCAGUCUCUCUCUUGAUCUCGCGGAUUGCGGCCUCGCCUUUGUCUGUUGGCCGUCAAUCAGCCCACUUGGUACUCUCUCUUUAUGUCGGUUUCGUUUUCGAUCACUUCAUGUAAUGCUUCGAUUCGAUUGUGCUUUCAUUUUGAUUUCUUUGGCAGUUUUCCAUCGCCAGUUGAUGGCCGUGAGGCGAGGGCUCAUUCAGGAAUCCUCACAAGGCCUUCGCUUCACCGACACAUCCCACGAUUUAACCGCUAGCAUGCAUACGGCUCAUAAAAAGAAAGAGGAUAAUGAGGGCAGAAACAUUCAGGGCUGCACGAAUCUGCGAGGGAAUAAUCAACAUCAACAAAGGACGGCAUAAGCCAGCCGUCGAAGGACGGUCUUGGUCUCAUUUUAUAUUAACACUAUCUGGGGCAUUUUCACAAACGGUUGAUGUGCGCUGCCGAAUCGUAAGGUUUCUGGCUCAACUGGGACUCGAACGCGCGCCGGAGAGACGCACGACGUACGGGGACUAUGGAAACAUGGAAACAAAGUGCAAGGGCGACGAGGGCUGGAGCUCACGCGAGCCGAACGGCCGCGAGCGCCGGCCCGAUGUCACCCAAAACGGGGCAAAACAGAGGACUCGCAGGACAGAAAAAAAAACAGGGGCGGUCGCGGCAGCGGCUAACCCGGCUUGGCGGCGGUGAAUGGAGGACGAGCUUGCCACGCCACGGAGCCGAGAUCUUCAGGAAAUCGGCACAACCCGAAACCAAUAAAAAAGAAACACACCGAGACCUACCGUGAGGGAGAGGCACGCGUCGGUGAGGGUUGGCGGCCGAGGUCCAGACGCAGCGGCUACCGGAGGAGGCCCUUCACUCACCGCCUCACUCUUCGCUCUCUGCUUCUCGCUCUCUGCUUCUCGCUCUCUCCCACUCUCAAUCUCGGCCUGAACCCGACCCCCGAAUCACGGCUGUUUCCUGCUUUCUGCUCGGGUACUUCUGUGGUGCUAUCGAGAUGGAAGGAGGAAGAGAUAGGCGCGCGGGCCGGGCCGAGGAAAAGGGAAAAUGGACCGACCCGGCGGGAAAGAAGAGGAAAAAGAAAAGAGGCUGGGCCAGCGUGAACCCGGCCUAGUCUUGCCCUUUUUUUUUUUUUUAAACCCUUUAUUUAAUUUUUUUAAUAUAAAUCUUAAUAAAUUCUAUGCAAAUAUUCCUAAUAUCUACAUAAUGUACUAUGCGAUUUUAAUGAUGAAUAUUUUUUAGAGGCUAAAAAUUAACCUUUAAUUUUCUACUUAAUUAAUGCCAAAAUUUAAGUGUCGACAAAUAUAGCUCGAAACAAGCUUAACGAGACCAUCAAUGAAAUAAAGCUGCAUGAGGUUUUGCUGCUAAAUUCACUAAAUUAAUCCAAGGCCUUCACAUCGUUAAUGGAAACGCAAAUUCAAGAUUGCGGCAACCUUGACCACAUCAAAAUCGAGAACGAUGCCAACGCAACUAAGACGAGUAUGACCUGCAGGUUGCAAGAGGCCACACUCAGGCUCAAGCAAGCCAACCUAAUACAUGAGAUUAUUGCUAACACAAGUUGUGAGAAGCAUUAUCGGCCCGGUUUACAAUUUGAUUGAGGAGCAAAGAACUUCUGGGCUCAUAUCUGGAUCCAUGAGUAGUAAAAGAAAUGCAAAAGAUAUUGAAGGUUUUCUUACCAUAUAUAUGAUCCGUCUAUGAGAUUAUUGCUAACACAAGAAGAGAUAAUUUCAAGAUUUUUUACCUGAUUUAUUUUUCCUUUAUUUCUAGGAUGGCCAUGUUUUUUCUCCCAUUCCUAGUAAGAGGAAACUUUCUUUAGUUGAUCUUUUAAUUGGUGGGUUUACAAACAUUAACAUCACCCACAUUAUAUUUUGUUAAAUUUACUUGUGCACGACGUUCAUAACUUGUAAAACGAUCACAGCCAAUAGUCAAUGAAAUAAGAGUUUCUCUCCAUUUGCUAGUUUUUUUUUAUUUGGAGUUAGAUCAUUGCUUGGGUUUAUGAAUAUUUCAUCUUUCAUUGUAAGAUCAGAUUUUCCCACUGGAUAAUGAUACUUUUUACUAGUUGCGCUUUGAUUUGUUUUCACAAUUGUGUUAUGUUCGACUAUUAACAAGGGUCCAUUUUAACCGUGUCAUGUAUGUAUGCAACCAAGCUGGGCUAAAUGAAUUUUGACACACUAUAUCAAUAAUUAACUAAUUUGGAUGACAUUUUGGCAUUUUGUGGCAGCGACAGUUUUACUUCGGAUAUGUAUCACUAAAAAUUCCUUGAUGACCAUGCUAGAUGAAGUUCUUUAAGGGAAGUUGGUAUUUAUGAUUGUGGGCCUGUGGCUACUUCAAGGUGAUGAUGAGACGCAUGAAGCAUAGGUCCAUGAAGAUGGCGUGGUGCAUAAUGUGGACGUGUAGGUGCAUUUCCUUCCAAUGCAAUUUAGUCUUUCUCGCCGGACAUUUCGUGAAAUAAAAAAUAAUCCAUUUUCUCUAACCCACCACUUUGGAGCUCGAGAACAUGUGGAAUCAAUAUUGAAGCCUUUAGAAAAUUCAAAAUCGUUGCUAGAGAUGCCAAACAUUUACAUAGAACAAGAACGCAUAUUCAUUCUAUUUAAUUGCCCCCACAAUUUCCUCUCAUUUUCAACUUAACAUCCAAGCAACUAAGGGCGUGCAUGGAAACACUCCAAAAAAGUGUUUCCGGCACACUUCUGUACGGAAAGUGUUCCCGGGAACAAAAAAGGAACAGAAACGCGUUUGGUUGCGUUUUUGUUCUUUUUUUGUUUUUUUGUUUCUGGAACGAAAUAGAAACAGAAAAAAGAAACAAAAAAAAGUUGUUUCUCCUGAAAGAAACACUUCUCGGAAGGAACAAAAGAACAAAAAUCACUCCUCUCUCUUCUUCUUCUCUUCUUCUUUUCUUCUUUUUUUUCUUCUUUUUCAUUUUGGUCGGUCGCCGGCCUCGGCCAUGGCCGGCGACCGGCCGUCGAGGCUCGGCCUCACCCAGAUCCGGCUAGGCCGAGCGUCGCCCGCCCCCGGCGAGGCUCGGCGUCGCCGGCGCGGGCGAGGCCGAGCCUCGCCCAGGCGGGGGGUGGGUUGUAUAAUAUAAUUUGGGUGGGCCGCGCCGUAGAAGGAAAUAUAAAAAAAUGUCUAAAAUAUUAUCAUAUAUUUUACAAUACUAAAGUUUAUUAUACGGUUAUGAAUUAUAUUUAUAAUCUCAUAACCGGGAAAGGGAAAUAUUUUCUGUUGAUUUCGGAGGGGUGAAAGAUAAACAAAACGAAUUUUAUUGANNNNNNNNNNNNNNNNNNNNNNNNNNNNNNNNNNNNNNNNNNNNNNNNNNNNNNNNNNNNNNNNNNNNNNNNNNNNNNNNNNNNNNNNNNNNNNNNNNNNAAGUCCUUUAAUAAAAAAUGAACAGAAACACGUGUGGUAAAUUUUAUUAUUUUUUUGUUUCUUUUAAUUUUUUAAACAUUUUUUUUAUUUUUUAUUUUUCCUUUCUUUUUAUUUUUUCUUUUCUUCGGCCGGUCACCGGCCUCCGGCGACCGGCCGACGCGAGGCCGAGCCUCGCCCAACCACGGCCAGGCUCGGCCUCGCCGUGGGCCGGGGAGCCUCGCCGUGGCUGGGCGAGGCUGCCGGCCCCGUCGGCCGGUCGCCGGAGGCCGGUGACCGGCCGAAGAAAAGAAAAAAUAAAAAGAAAGGAAAAAUAAAAAAUAAAAAAAAUGUUUAAAAAAUUAAAAGAAACAAAAAAAUAAUAAAAUUUACCAAACGUGUUUCUGUUCAUUUUUUAUUCCCGGACCAAACGUUACCAAACGUGUUCUUUUGUUCAAAAACUGUUCCCCGAAACAGAAACACUUUUUUUUGUUUCUGUUCCCAGGAACAAAAAAAGAACAGAAACAAAUCCAUGCGCACCCUAAGAAGCCUCAAAAAGUUUCCACCCCGUUGCAAAAGUCUCGUCCUCUUCGUGUCUCUUUCCUCUCUUAUCUUUUACGUACGCUUCACGCAUCAACUCGUACAACUCGUAAUUGAGUUGAAUUCUGAGAGAAAAAAACAAAGUUGUGGAAAAACGCGAAAGCGAUAAAGUAAUGCGCGCCUGUCCUUCUGCUUUUUCAGUUUUCUUGCGUUUACAUGGGGAUUUCGCAGGGAGGUGAGGGGAAGUUUCUUGUGUUCAUCACAUGGACAUGGCUUGUUGGCGUGAAAAUUUGUCCUCCCAACGAAUAUGCUAUUUUUGCUGCCAACCUACAAGUUUAUUCUAACGUGUCUUUCUGCCCGGUCAUUUCCGAGUCCCUUCGCUACUGCCCUGUCUCAGCUUUUCCAACGCACCGCGACUAGAAAUCAACCGUUCCACGCGAAUUCCCUUCCUGAUAAAUCCCGAGAUGCAGUCAUCUGAUUCGACGGUUGGGAUCGGUUUCAUCAGAUGUUGGGACGGUGAAUGAAGGAAAGAGGUGUUGUCUGCUGUCCCAUCGCCAAAUCAAUGACAGCCCGAGAUAACCCGACCCAAAAGCUACGCCACAUAAAAGAAAUGAAUGACUGACGAUCACAUGCAUCGUGUCCUAUAGUCUGGUCGGACAAGGCAAAGGAUUCUUGCUUUUUCUCAUCACAUAUCAGUAUCAAACAAAGAGACAACUCGCUUUUCACUAGACCCAGCAUCAUUUGAAGAGGGACAUGGUAUAAUACACCCAACGCAAUAAUAAAUUAUAAUGUGCAACUUAUGCUUCCUCUUGUGAAAAGAACACGAACCAUAUAUGUGCAAUCUGCGCUUUCUUGUCAUAUGGCUGUUGUCGUGGAGGACAAAGAAAUUUCUCGAGUGCAUACCCAAGGAAAAAAACAAAAGACAUCAAUCUCAGUUCUUCAGUGAAAUUGUAUGAAUUUACACGCCUAUCUUAUGUAAUGAAAUUUUUUACUUCGUGUUCUACCCAAAAGAAAAAAGAAAAAAAAAAAAAACAGAUGCAUUGGGAAGCCUGUGAAUAGCAAAGUUCUUCUCAGCGGAGAGACCGAUGUAGGAUGGGUAUCACAUUAGAAUUUUUAUCCGAGUAAUCGGUAUUUGUUACAUUCUUAUAUGAAUAUUUGGUAUCCACCACACUCUUGUUUUAGGCUCUUAUAAGUGAAAAUUACACCAACAGUGCUGAAUGUUUGGCUAAAUACGUAGUCAAGUUCUAAAUUUUAAAUUUGUGCAAUCAAGUCCUAAGCAUUUUUUGUUGAGUGCAAUUUAAUCCUUCGAGCAAGCUUACAAAUAGAUUUGCUAACCUAGAUUCCAAAAUCCGAUGUGGCAUUUUGUACUAUCCUUUUGCAUACAUGGUUUUGAUACAACGCUAAUGUAGUGUCACGUCAUGAAAAUUUAAAAAUUAAAAAGGUAGGAAAGACUAAAGAAAUUUUUUUUUAAAGAAAGGCUAUUAAAAAAAGACAAAACUAAAGGAAAAAUAAAAAAAUGAAAGUUGUGGAGAGUGGAACUAUUGGUGUUAGGAUACACAUGUAAGUUGUGUCAGAGAAAUCCCACAUCAGAUAAUUGACGUGGUGUGAAAUAGUUAAUAUAUUCUCAUUAACUCAUAACUCAUUGGCUUAAUCUUUUGAGUUAAGGUGGGUUCAUGGAUAUGAUAAUGGACUCGGACUUAGGUUCUCUUUUGGAGAUCUCCCGAAAUGAUUACAUGCUCUCAACAAAUGGUAUUAGAGUCGAUGGUUGAUUGGUGGCCCACUCUCAAUAUGUAUCGCUAUUUAGUGAAUAUCUCAACUAGGAAUUUGGUGAUCAACGUGGUUUUCGAGCAAAUGGGCGUUGUGGUGUAACAAUGCAAGCCCGAUGACAGACUUCAUGAUUCAGUCCAAAAAAGAGACUAAGGAUGAAAUUGGACAUUGGAAAUUCAAGUUGAGAUAAGUUAAUAUAGAAAGAUAACCGAAUUAAGGGAGAGCAAAUCUAAAACUGGAACUUACACGUGUGGGGGAGAUUGUUAGGAUACACACAAGUGUGUUAAAGAAAUUCCAUAUUGGAGAAUUGAUAUGAUGUGGAGCAAUUAAUAUACCUAAUUGGUCUAUAACUCAUUGGUUUAACAUGAGUCCAACUAGAUAUGUUAAUGGAUUCAGACUUGGGGUUCUUCUUGGAAAUCUCCCCAGGUGAAGAUAUCGGACUCUUGUUGUGCAUUCCCAACUAUCAGUAAGGAUUGUUUGAGGGGUUGGAGAUGGCAGAACUACCCUAAGUUCGUGGCCUUCUCUAUUCUCCUUAUAAUGCCCAUGAGUAAAGCCUGCACUUUCUUUCCUUUGGCCUUCAUCUUCCUAUUCAUUUUAGUUGGCACGAACCUGUAAAUUAAUUAAUCAAGUGGCAUGAUCUUUAAGAAUGUUAUGUUGGAUUAACAAGUUUAUGGAAAAUGAGAGAUUUUACCUCUAGUCAUAGAUGUAGACGGAUUGAAAGGAGUAAUCACAAACUGGGCUUGCUCCUCCUGAAAAUGUAGCCUUUGAGUCUUUUAUUUCUCUCUUUCUGUUGAGGAAAUUAAGAAGAUUUGCACGUAUAUAGUCUUUAUUUUAUCCCCUUUCAAAGACAUAAAUUCACACUGGAAAAAUGGGCAAAGCUAAACACUAAUCAAAUUAUACACGCACGGAUAUAUGUACAAGAUAUUUUGUAUGUUGUUUAGUAUUGGUAUUGAGUAUUUGAGAGCAUCCAACCAAUUUCAUGAUUUGUGAUAUAAUCCCACUACCUAAAUCUACUUUCGUACCAACUCCAACAAUUUAUGUUUGUGUUUUCAGGAUGUUUUUUCAUGGUCAAAGUCGAAAAUGGGAUAAGCACGGGUGCUUUCCGACCAGAGAAUUUUAUGUGCUUGACCGGAAAGGCAGGUUCUUAAAAUUUUAAGCUCGUUAUUAUUAUCUUGGUGAUUGAGGCCUGUUGGGUGGACCGCCACACCACGUGCUACCAAAGCAACUAAGAAGCCUCCAAAGUUUCGACCCCAUUGCAAAAGUCUCCUGUACUCUUCGAGUCUCCUUCCUCUGUUUUAUGUAUGCUUCAUGCCUCAUCGCAAUUGAGUUGAAUUGUCAGAGAAACAAAAAGAGUUGUGGAAAAACACGAAAGUAAUAAAGUCAUGCACGUCUGUCCUUUUGCUUUUUCAGUUUCCUUGUGUUUACACGGGGAUUUCAUAGGGAGUGAGGGGAAGCUUCAUGUGUUCAUUACAUGGACAUGGCUUAAACGGAGCGAUCCUAUUCCACGCGUUUUCACUUUCCUUACGCUCGUCGGUGUGCAAAUUCGUCGAUGAGGGUUGUUUGAGAGUUUGGAAACAUCGGAACUACCCCGACUUACAAUGGCCAUGACAUCAACGGGGCCUGCACUUCCUUUAUUUUUGUCCUUCAUCCUCCUAUGACAUUUUAGUUGGCGCGAACCUAUGAAACAUUGAAUCAGAUAGCUUGAUUUUAUAGAAUACUAUGUCAGUUCGAUGAGCUUAUAGAAAAUGAGAGAUUUUACCUCCAAUCACGAGCCGAGCUUGUUACUCUUGAAGAUGUAGCCUUUGACUAUUUUCUUUCUCCCUUUCUCUUGAAGAUUCUAGAAUGUUUGCACAUAUACGGUCAUCAUUUUAUCCCCUUUCAAAAAGAUCAGCUUGUACCAAAAAAUGGAGAGAGCUAAAUGUGAAUCAAUAUUAUAUGCACACACAAAGAUAUACGUUGUAUAUUGUUUGGUAUUGAAAUCACGUAUUGAGUAUUUGACGUUAUCCAACCAAUUUCAUGAUUCAUGAUAUAAUCCCACUGCCUAAGUCUACUUUCGUGCCACCUCCUUGAAUUAUGUUUGAGUUUUCAGGAUGCCCUUUCUCAUGGUAAGAGUUAAAAAAUGGGACAAGCCACCAUAGAACUUUAUGUGCUUGACCCAAAAAGCAGGUUGGUUUUAAUUUUUAUUUAUUUAUUUUAGGAAAAGCAAAGGCACCUUCCGACCCAGUUUCCAUAAAGUUGUUUGGCAUUGUUGAGAAACUUCAUGCCUCCCUUCAACUUUUUUUCGACUAUUGCUUUGCUUCCAUUUUCGAUUGCAUUAUUGUCCUUAUCACGUUCACAUCAGACUCUUCUGCUUGAUGACGGUUGACACAUCAAGCAUGCUACUCUAUGCAUAGAAAUUACUAGGUGGAUCAUAUGCACAUUCCCUUGAUAGCUUGUAAUUAAAAUUUUAAGCUCCUUAUAAUUAUCUCGGUGGUUUAGGCCUAUAGGUGGACCAUCACAUAAUUCAUGUGCUACGAAAGCUGUGUCAAUCUUUACUUUUGAUCUAUCGAAAAGGGUUGAAUACACUGCUUCAAGCAAGUAUAUUUUUUCCUAGACAAAUGACUACAUGUUUAAUCAUUUUAGAGUCUCUAAAUUCUUUAAAUUAACGAGCCAUUUCGAAGAUGUCUUUUGCAAGUCAAUUUUAUGGCAUGAAGCCUCUGCCGAUGCACCGUAAUGAACUUAAGAGAGCUCGACAUCCACUACCACCACCCAAGAUCUUUGUGGGAAUUGACGGGACACCUCGCCUGUGAAAGUAUGUACAAGGUGAUGACUGUCUUGGGCUAUAGGCAGAAGCAAGCAGUUGUCGAGAAUAUCUUCGUUUAUGAUUAUUUUUUCUGCUACUCGGUAAGAAAAACAACGGAAAAUAAAGAGAGAAUGUAGAAACAGAGCACCAUACGUCUCUUGUAGUUACGGCUCAGAGAAUUACUUGAAUUUAGUGGAGAAGUUUCAUGCAAUGACAGAAUUGUUAUAUGCAUCGGAUUUUCUAAAAGUAAUUGUUGAUGUCUAAUCAAAACUGGAUUUUUUUGCAUCUACUUUCACAAUGAAAUUAUGUCAUGACAUCUUAGUCUUCCCUUCUCUGCUUAAAUUUUUUUCAUGAAGCCAGCUGAAUUGUGUACGUCUGUGCCUCGACAACUUUCAGGUUAAAGCUGGCUCUAGCUCAGCGACUCUCCCAAUGGGGAGUCCUUUUUUUGGGCCCUUGAGAUGUAGUCUGAUCUCUUUCACGAGCAGGAAAUUUGAUGGCUAUUUGAUAUGCGAACUCUUUUCACAUGCUCAUAUAAUGUGUAAAUGAAAUAUGCGGGCAUAUGCUGCUGUGAAGUUCGCCGACGCGUGCCUGCGUGGGUUGAGGGGCGAUGCUGGCAUUGUCAUGUCGAGUGUGCAAUUUGUUUUUCCUCAGGUUUGGUGCCUUGAAAGAACUUAUUGAGAUCGAAAAUUCUUUAUAACUCUCUCAAAUUCAUAUGUGGAACCACAAUGAUUAUCUUUAAUGUUGUCCCCAUUUCUCAGGUGACUGAGCUUCUGUCUGCAAUCAAAGUCCGCCUUGGUUGUACUGGGGCCGAGGAGGUUCUUUCCCCUGACAGACAGUGACUGCAAAUAGGCGGAAGCUCGUUUUUGGCACUAGGCUUGAAGUUCAAGGGAUUUUUUUUCAAGUGCAGCUUUUCGUGGCCUCGUCCAGUCUUUUAAGAGUCUCGAAUGACCAAAGAUAGCCAUUCUAGAGGCACUUCUUGGGUAGUGGGCAGAGGGAGCAGAAAUUUUCAGUGGAACACAGAAAGGCACAAUUGAGAAUAUCCAAUGGGAGAUGCCUCUCCACUGAUCCCCAUAAUUACCCGCAGCAAUUCUUCACACCAAGUUCUCCUUACUUUGAGGAUUCAGAGUAAGAGGUUACCGACUUUAGUGUUUGUCCCAGCAGCGUAAGAACGUCUGUUUUCUUCUUCUUCUUCUUCUUCUUUUUUUCUUACCAUUGAAAUUUCAAGAAAAAUUUGUUCCGACAAUGAAAGUAAAGUAUUUCUUUUGUUCUCUUUUCGUAUUUGGGCAUCAGCGACAACUUCAAAUUACACCCUUGAAGAGGACAACAAAGAUAUAUGAAAAAGAGGUAUAAGUGUAUUGGAAGUUUCAAAACUUAUCAUGAAAAAACGAUUGGAUUUUAAAACUUUUAGAAAUUACAAUUAAGUUCUAAAACUUGUUACGAAAGUGCAUUCAAGUCUUAAAAUAUCUUGAACCUCAAGCACUUUCUACCUUCUACCUUCUUGUUCUCACUCUCAAAUCUAGCUCUCUCUUUCUUUUCUUCGGCGGCGCCCUUUGACCUUUCUCUCUAUCGAUCUCGACUUAGUCGCUGUUUCAUCUCGGUCAGCCGUCCAUCGAUCAGCGCACUAGGUACUCUAUAUAGGUUUCAUUUUCGAUUUCUUGGUCUAAUGUCAUCGCCAAUUGAUGGCUGUGAUUCAGUGACCAACCUAACCCACCACCUGCUUUAUUUUUCUCUUCUUUUUUUGUUUCUAAAUUACACUCGAUUGAUGUCUCGCCUCAAGCAAGCCGAUUGAUAAUUUUCGUUCAGCUCGAUUCUGACUCAAGUCUCGAUUGCUUCGUGCAAUGGCAACAUCCACUGACACUUCAAGAAUGGAGUUCGAGGUGUUCUUGAGUUUCAGGGGACCAGAUACUCGGGACGACUUUACUAGUUGCCUCUAUCAUGACAUGGUCGAGAAAGGAAUCCGCGUCUUCAAAGACAACGAAGAGCUCCGAGUCGGUCAGAAGAAUGGUGGGAACCUUUUGCAAGCCCUUGAUAACACUCAAAUUUAUAUCCCCAUUUUCUCUAAGGGCUUCACUUCAGUGUGUGGUACCUCCGUGAGGUUGCGCAUAUGGUAGAUUGUACUUUAAAGUCAGACGGGAAGAAGGAGAUCCUCCCCCUUUUCUUCGACAUGAAACCAUAUAAUGUCAAGCUCAUAACCGAAUUGUACAGUAAUGCUCUGUCUGAGUAUGAGAAGAAGUAUGGCCCCGCUGAGGUGACACUGUGGAAAGUUGCUCUUCGUGAGGUUGCAACUAGAGCAGGUUGGGAGUGGAAAGGGCAAGAGUAAGAGCUUGCUUGUUUUUACUCCAAGUAGUGUCUAAUUAUGUUCUUUUGUUCCACGGAACAAAAAAAGAACAGAAAUUCAUUUCAUAAAAUUUUUAUUCUUGGGAACAAAAAUCUAUUUUUUUUUUGUUCCCGGGAAUAGAUUUGGAACAGAAUCAAGAAGUAGAAAACAGUAACUUCUUGUUCCUAGGAACAAUUUCUAGAAUCAGUUCCUAUUUUUUUUCUUUUCUUCGAUUUUUUUUCUCUUCUUCUCUUCUUCUUUCUUCUUCUUCCCUUUGGCCGGUCGCCAGCCUUGGCUAUGGCCGACGAUUGGCCAAACUAGGGCCGGCGACCUUGCCGGAGCGUUGUUAGCCCCCGGCGACAUUAAGCCACGGUGAGGCUCGUCGACCUAAGCCUCGCCCAACCACGGUGAGACUCAGCCUCACCAGCCGGCAUGAGGCCUAUUUUUAUUUAAAUAAUAAGCUUGGCCUAUUUUCAUCGUGUUAAAAAUACCCGAUAAAAAUAAUCGUGUGUGGAUACACAAUCGGUCUAGACCAAAAACGCCAUAUAUUUCUUUUCAAAAAUCCCACUAUUUAUUAUAGUGCUUAAAAAUAUUUUUGGCGUUAAAAAUCAACGCUUGGUAUUUUUUGAACAAAAUGCCAAAAUUACAAUUUUCACUCAAUUUGCACAAUAUAGCAUUCAAUUAUAGAAACUAAACGCUCCAUUGCAAUCAGCACGAAAUUCCGGUCACCGGCUAUCCCAGUAUAAUUUCCGGAGAAUAAAUAAAUAAAUACAAAAAAUAAUUAAAUAAAUACAAUUAAUUACCAAAAAUGCAAACUUAGGCCGGAAACGCUUAAUUAACUGCCUGAACGGGCCGAAAAAAUUUCCAAACCUAUCUAGAUAAAUAGUACAACUUAUCUAGUCCCUAAUUAGGCUACUCUAACCACCUAACAUGCACAAAUGAAUAAUUAAAUCGCUAAUCCAUUCUAACUAACAACCUAAACCCUAAUUAACUUAAGCUAAUCACCCCUUAAGCGUCAUUAACUCCAUAAGCAGGGUUUAGCGAGUAAACUCACUGGUUUAGCAGUCCGGUGAGUCCAUGACGUCAACGAUGUGGAGACGGGCGACAAACAAUCUUGCGGUGACACCAACCAAGGCCUGGAAGAGACCUAAAACGGGCCUUGAAGCGUCACGGCCCUUGCUAGCCUUUGGUUUCUACUUUGGGUCGAGCAAGCUGAAACUAGUGGCUGAAAUGGCAAGGCGAGCGGACGGGCGACUACAGUGGGCCAAGAGGAGGCAGAUGGUGACUGGACGGCGACGGCGGGACUUUGACGGCAACUAGGGACGAUUGCGGGAUGGCGAGGAGGCUUAGGUGCAAGCAGACGGGCCUGACAGAGGCACGAGCGAAUGGGACGAUGAGCAACGGGCUCGCGAGCGCGAGCGGUGGUGUGCGGCGGUCCAGCAGCUCCAGGCGAGUGUCGAUGGUAAGGGGGAAGGGUUGGCUGGUUUCUCUGUAAAUUUGAGCUUCUAAAAUGCUCAACAAUGGGGAAAGUAAGUCACUUGAAGAGGAAGAAGACAGCUGAAGAUUGGAGGGGGCCCAUCUUGGCCCAAAGUCUUCUCUUCUAUCCUUAUUCACUCAUUGCAAAGGUCCCACUUGUCUUAGCUGUCAUCCAAGCCAAUUUGCUGCAAAAAAAAUCCUCCUAGAAGCUUCACCAAGUGGUCCAAAGGUUUCACCCCAAGGGACCUACGAAUUUUGGAACAUUUUCUCCUAAAAUUGAAUCAAUUCCCAUUCAAUCGGAUCCAAUUUGAUGUCUAGAAAUGUAGCGAAGGUGCCAUCAUCCCAUUCAACAUUUUUUCUUACCAAUUGAAUCAACUUCAAUCCCAAAAAUGCGACCAAAAAUAGCCUUCGGAUUUUUCCGGUCCAAAAUACCCUUACUUUGAAUUUUUCACUGAAAAUCUCGGUUUGCAGAAAAAUUUUCAGAGGAUGAGUCAACGUUCCUAAAAUGACUCGUGACAUGAUAGAAUUUUCAAUUUCUGAAAUCGGGUUCAAAUUUGCAGUUAAUUUCAAUCUGGCGUGAUUUUAGCAUGACAUAAUCUACUAGGUAGCUUUUAGGAAUUUUUAGCGCAUUUGACCCAUGGAUGAUUAUUUUCAAGCCACAACGUACAUUUUCAACACAUUGGCGACUUUCAGUUGUCGUGAAAAUCUCGAUAUUUCAAAUACAGACACAGGGUACAGAAAUGACAAAAAAAUCAAUCUAGUACCGAUCGACAGAAAUUUUGCAAUUAGGUGGAAUCACCCACACACUAAUCACAUAUCUCUAUUGAAUCGACCUAUCUUCAAUCUCUGAUCGAUUUUGACAGUGUCGUAAUGACCAUUGCGGAUUAGCACGGUCGAGCAGUUGAUUCCUGGUCGAAUUCUCAAGUCUAUUACGUUUAAAAUCCCUUAACGACUUCACAUGAUAGACUAAUUAUCCCGUGAGUGAUCAUUUCAAGGAAAAGAACUAUAGGCGCGUCGAUGAAAAGCCCAACUUAUUCAAUCGAAAACAUAACCUAAAAAUCAGGAUAUCACAUUGGAUCCUUGCUACCAAACAAAAAUAUUUUUUGAAUAAUAUCAAUUUCGGCCUAAGUUCCCUAAGGUCAAAAUUCUUCCUUAGUGGAGUCGCUAAGCUAUUGCGACCUACCCCUUGAGGGGAGGGAAUAGGUUUAGGGAUAUUGCCUAAAGGACGGACCUAAGGUCCAUGAUUAUGCACGAAUUCUCCCAAGCCCAUACCUCGCGCGAUAUUUGGGUGUUUUUAAGAAUUUUGCAAUAAGGAGUCGCCACUAGCCUAUUGGGGUCGGCUAGAAACCAAGUGAGGCAUUGGAGUGUACCUCUCUUUCUACGUAACCAAAUAAUUUAGGGUCAGGACUUGAUUACACUAAUUAAUCAAUUAGUGCCCUUUCGGUACCUAACCUUGUUCAUUUUUAAAAGGUUUUUGUCAUGUAGUUUGGAUUGAUUUUAUACAUAUCCACUAACAUAUGAUGUGAUCAUGCGAGUAUGCAAUCAUUAAAGUGACAACUAGCAACCAAGCUCUUAAUUGCAGUAAAAUUAGCGCACGUAACUAAACAAUCCCAAACGUAAUUAAAUAUGUAAAUUAAACCUACAACAUAAUCAAUGUGCGAAUAAAUAAAUGCCUAAUUAUACUAAGAAGGCAAGACAUGACAAUUUCCAACCAAACCCUACAUUUUUUCAAUUUUAAUUAUUUUUUUAGGGCAAGCUCGGUCGAGACCCGGUCAAGGCGGGUCGGUCAAACCUGCUCGGGUCUGGCCCGGUUGGGGGUGGGCCGGUCAACCCGCCCGAGCAGGUAAAGCCCGACCAAGGCUGGUCAGGCCUUUGCCGUGUUUAGAUUGGGCCUUAAACAAUGGGCCCAAUCCCCCAAAAAAGGCUGCCCGUAGGCCCACAGCCCAUACCAACUUUGGGUUGUUGGCUUACGGAAGAAAGGGGCCGAGCGUGCUAGAGAAAUUUGGCCCAACUCGGCCUACACCCUCUAGUUGGUGACUGCUUAAUCGUGACGAGAGGAGUCGUACCGUCCCAGUUAGGCAAGGGGGUGACUCGACCCUUGAGGUUGAGGGUCUCGGCGGUAGGGCGUUGGCCGAGGACGGUGUUCCGCCGGCCCACAACCCUUGCUCCGCGAUCUGCUUGGUUGCAACAAAGAAGACAGCAACGGCAAGUGACAUGGGUGGCCUCUAGCUAGAUGGCGGUGCCUCACCGAUGGCCAAACAUCCUAACUAGGGCUCUACGCAAAGGAGUCGGAAACGAGGGUUCGGCUGGGUAUUUCAGCGAACGGGUGGCGGGUGUUAACGAAACUAAGGAAUUUUGGCUCAGUUGAGGCCCAAGCACGGAGUCGGAACUCCAUAAAAACAUGCCAAAACAUCAAGGAAAGCAAUGGAAGAUAGGUGGUGGCCAGAGCUUACCUGAAUUGGUCGGGAUGAGCUCUGGCUGGCUUGGUUCCAAAGAUGGACGCAAGGUGCUCGACGAAAUGCCUGCAUGCGUUUCGGGAGAAAUGGCGGUGGUCGGCGGCGAUCGGCAACUCACCAACGGCAGUAGGGCAUCCUUGGGAGUCCUCGGCUCCUUGGCUGACCUCCACGAGCCUCCUUCCCUCCCCGUUCUCCUUUUUUUUUCCCCUCGGUUCCUCCCUUCUUCUCUCCACCAUGUUCUGCCUCCCCUCGGUUUUGUCUAUUCUCCCCCCUUUUCUUCUGCUCGGCUGGUACACGCAGCCCCCCCUGCGAUGCCAGCUGCCACUGCUGGCCUGACCCCGACCACCAGCUCCUGGUUGACACUCUGCCUUUGUCCAUGUUCCCUCUGUCUUCUUGCUACAUUCCUCCCUUUUCCUUUUUUACAGGUCCUGCGUGCGAAGGACAGGCAGGAAGAGGAGGACUGGCUAGGGCGUGGCCGGGUUGAAGAGGGAAGGAACUGGGCUGCACGAGGGGAAAGGAAAGAGAGGCAGGCCGUGCCAAGGUCGAAUCCAGCCCAACCCGGCCUCUCUCGCCCCCCUUCUUUUUUAAAAAAAAAAACUAUUUAAUUAUUUAUUUUUUAAUUUUAAUUUUUUUAAAAAAUUAAGAUUUUUUUUUAAAGAAAAAUGUGUAUUUGAAAAAGCAAAUUGGGUGUCAACACCUGUCCUUUUCCACUAUUGCAAACCACCACUGUUGUGCUCACCUCAAGUUGCCACCACCACCACCAAGCUCUCAAGGAAGGUGGCCAUGAGCCUCAAAGCUCAUUGUGCCGUGGCCACUGUGUCACCAUUGUGUCGCCGUCGCCCUGAGUCCGUCGCAGUCAAAAAACCCGUGAGUUAACUCAUAAUCCUUGAUUAGGUAGUUAAUUGCGUUUAAAAAUAGGUUUAGUUUAUGGUAACGGUGGUUAGUGAUAUUUAAUGUUGGUUUAGUACUAACCAUGGUUAAGGAUGAGUUAGAUUAAGGCUAAUUAAAAUUAGUCUUAAUUAAGGACAAUUGUUUAAUUAAUCACGAUUAUUUUAAUUAACAACAAUUAAUUUUAAUUAAUUAUAAUUAUAUUAAUUAAUGAUAGUUAGUCUUAAUUAAUCUCAAUGAGCUUAAUUAAUAGUGAUUAAUGCACGUUAAUAACUGAUUAGUCGUUAAGUAUAAUUUUAUGCUCAUUUUUCUAGAUGAGUUUGUGCAUAAUUCCAAUUGUUUAAGCUUAUGAUGCCAUGUUAUUGAUUGCUCAAUGAUAGGCUUUAGUUACUAUUUCAAAAGAAGGUUUGAUGGGCAAAAGAAAAAAAAAGUGAUUUUUGCGGUGUCUGGUUUGGAUGUCAAGUUUUAUGUGUUAAACAGGGCAAUGGGGUUUUAGAGUGAAAUUGUGCAAAAUUUGACAAAUAAAUUUUUAGUACGUGCCCACGUGUGAAUAUUUUACUAGAAUUUUAAGUGUAAAAAUUUGUCAAAGGAACACGAACUCUUUUGUACUAGGCUAAUUAACGGCAAAGUUUACUGGCUUGACUGUUGGCAUGCUCGAGUAAUCAUUUAAUCGAACCCGUCACCCAAUGAGAGUUUAGAGGCGAUACCCGAUAUUUAUCGAAUGCCCAGUAGAGGUUCGGAUGCUGCCUCGCGAUUGAGGUCGGACCGAUGCUUCUUUAUGGAAUGUUGUCUAGGGGGGUUCUAGACGAUAUCGUGCUCGAUGGAGCGAGAUGAUGUUCAGAGAGCAAUAGCUUGGCCAAAAUCUGCUAAGAGCAUAAAUUGAACUUGAUCUUGCUCUAUCACCGAUUGCAACAAAUGUUUGAGGCUUCCUGUAAACCUUGUGGCAAAUCUAAAAAUGACAUAGCAAAGUGCUGUAGCAAUAAGUUAGGGAAAUCACUGUCCACAGUCACUAUUCAUAUCAUCCAGAAUAAUUUCUGAUCGGAUUUUUCGAAACCUCUAUUUGUUACGGACCCAUGGAGAUCAAUAGGUUUGCCAAUGAAAAGGUGGUAGAGGAGGGCAAUAGCUUGACCAAAAUCUACUGAGAGCAGAAAUUGAACUUGAUUAUGCUCUGUCACCAAUUGUCACCAAUGUUUGAGGCUUCUUGGAAAGACUAUCGACUUGUGUGUUGGCUAUGAUCCAAAGGGUCGUAAUAAUUGGAACAUGCACGUUUGACCGUGCGCUUAAUUGUUGUGGAUUGUGUUCUGAUUAUUGUUUAUGUUUGUUGCAUUGAUAUUAUUAUAUGUGAUGUACCCAAGGCGAGGUAAGUUGUAUAUCAUCUAUGUUUAGGUUGCCUUCGAGACGAAUUUGCAUUUUAGUCGACACCUAGGCUAUUAACUCGUUAAGAUUUUUAUUUCACCUCAUUGUUAUUAAAUAUUUUCAUGUUCAUUGUAUGGAGUACUGUCACGUGCAGUUUGGGGUCCCGAUGGACCAAGACGCGGGCAUAACUGACGUCAUUUUUGGUUGGUCUUGUCGUUAGUGAAGUUUAGGUUAACCUUGACCCUACAGGUUUUUGAGAUGGUAGGGAGGAAAUGGCCAUAAAAAGGCUUGUAAUUAUUAAACUUUCUAAGAUUAACAAUUUAUAAAUGAAAGUGUUUUUUUUUUUUUUUGGGAAUGUUCGUUGUGUUUUUACUAUCCCUAUUGUUCGUUGUUUGACUAGAUAUUAUUUAUAUUAAAUGCUUCCACUUGUGUUUAAUCAAAAGAUUAAAGACUAGGUCAGCGAUAAGUCCUGAGACGUCGUAGUUUAAUCGACCGUUGAGGAAUGCUCACGCGUUCAAGGUUUGAGGCGUGACACUAUAUAUCUCUAAAAUAAAUAUUUCAAUGGGUUAAUACCCUGAAAACCCCUAAAAUGAUACACUUGUGACAAAUUUACCCCAAACUAUUUUUUUGACCAUCAAAAAUCCAAACUGAUAUACCUUUGACAAAUUUACCCCAAAAUGAUACACUUGUGACAAAUUUACCAUCUGUUAAUUUUUGUUAAAUUUUGACUAAGUUAAAUUACACGUGAUAGUUGAUUGGUAUACCAAUUUACGAUUUUACGCUCCGUUUGUCACAAUUUACAAUUUUUGUAAUUUUUUUUGUGGUAUCAAUCCAAUUUAGCGGAGUGUAUAUUUAUCACAAAUUUAUCAGCUUAUGGUUUUUUUGAGGUCGAAUAAAUUAGUUUGGGAUGGAUUUAUCAUAAAUGUACCAGUUUAAGGUUUUUUAUGAUCAGUCAGGAUAAAUUUGUUACAGAUGUACUAGUUUUGGGUUUUUCAUGGUCAAAAAAAUAGUUUUAGGUAAAUUUAUCACAAGUGUAUCAAUUUGGGGUUUUUCAGGAUAUUAACCCUAUUUCAAUUAAUCAACUUCUAGUCCAUGCAACGCAUGGGACUUCAACUAGUUUGAUGAUAAAGGUUUGUUGCCUCGUCAUUUGACAUUAGAUUUUUGUAACUAUGUUAAUUCAGCACCUGCAGACUAUUUUAUAUUUGUUUAUAUUGAUCAUUUGGUUAAUAUCAAGAGGAAGUUUCAUAGAAGGUUAGUGGUAGGGUUGGGACAGAGUUUAGCUUGAGGACGCUUAAUAACUUAAUUAUAACUUUAUCCAAAAGGCCUCAUUGUUUAGGAAAUUCGAGGUCCCGUCCCAUGUGCAUCGCAUAUGAAUUUGGAUCCACUUUUUACACGAUUAUAAAUGUUUCUUGGUACCAGCAACUCCGGCCGAACGCAUAAGCAACGGCACAUGCUUUCAUUUAGUCUCGUACAGCUGAACGAGUAAUAUAGUAAUCAUACCAAAAGAGAAUGCAAAAUCAUUGCGUUUACCUGUCCCCACAACUUCCUCUCAUUUACAAAUUAAAUAUCCUAGCAAUUAAGAGGCCUAAACAAGUUUCGACCCCGUUGCAAGAUUCUCGACCUCUUCUUGUCUCUUUCCUUCCUUUUCAUCCACUUACCCGCAAUUGAGUUGAAUUGUCAAAAAGAAAAAGUUGUGGACAGACCCGAAAGGUAAAGUUAUCCAUGUGUCUCUCCCUUUUGCUUCUUCCAACAUAUGAUGGUGUCGGGCCACGCGUUCUCACUUUCCGUGCGUUUAGAUGGGGCUUUCGCAAGGAAUUGAAUGGAAGCUUCGUGUGUUCAUUAUUUGAGCAUGACUUAAAUAUAGCGACUAUGGUCCCGGUCAUGACCUUAAACUGACUCGCUCGUCGGAGCCAACCCAAGGGCGUUAAAACGGGUAAUGGUAAACCUCCGGGGGUCCCAUGGGUUUGAACCGCCCAACCCCCGGGCCUGAGCAAGCUCUACUUCCCCAGGGUUGCCUGUAAAGUAAUGAUCUUUAUAUGAUGAAAUUACAAGAGCGUUCCUUUAACGUGUCUGUUCCUACAUAUGAUGGUGUCGGGCCACGCGUUCUCACUUUCCGUGCGUUUAGAUGGGGCUUUCGCAAGGAAUUGAAUGGAAGCUUCGUGUGUUCAUUAUUUGAGCAUGACUUAAAUAUAGCGACUCGCCUUCUAUCUUUUAUGCCUACAAUAAAAGGACAAUUAAGCGCAUAAAAUAUUUGGCUGUAGUUGAUUCCACCAUAUCUUGACUCAAGUCGCCUACUAUUACUCACUGUCAAUUUCAUCGGCAUUUUUUUAAUCCCUUGCAAUUAAAGUCUUAUGGGGAGGAUUGGCUUUCUUGUGGUGGGAUUCCACCUUAACUUUGCUCUUACGUUUUAAUCAAGCGUGUAAGAACUAUGCCAUCUCUUGAAUGAAUCCAAUUUGAUCUUGCUUAGAGAGAUAAAAAUUCGAUGUGGACUUAUAAGCAGUCCCAUUCGGCUAAUGGUAGUGAUAUUGUCCACUUUGAUGGCCGCUCGCUCUCCUUGCACAGUUUUUUAAAAUGCUUUAUACUAAUUUGAGCUUAUGGGAGACUUAUCUAUCAAGAUAAUAGGCCUACACAUGGACAAUCAUGAGUGAGAGACCUAUUUUAUACCCAACAUCCAAAUAGCUAUCUUUGUGAUCACACUUAAAACGAAACUAAUUGGUACAAAGCUAGUUUUGUGAUCACACUACCACCCCAAGCUUUGUUAACAAUGGCUAGCGACUCUCACACUAUAAAUGGCUAGGGUUGCUGCCCUUGCUUGCGUCAUUCAGUUAUGGCACCACACAAAAGAAACAUAAAAAUUUAAGAAAAACUAAUGAAUAGAUGAUAAUUAAAGAAAAAGAAAAAUGAAAAAUGAGAGCCAUAGAGAGUGCAACCCUCGGUAAAGUUGUUUGAGGGUUUGGAGAGGGUGGAACUGCCCCCACUUCGUUGCUUUAUCUCUUCUCCUUAUAAUGUCUUUUUUUUUUUGUAAAAGGUAAGAAAUAAAUUAAGGAAAGGCCAAAAGUACAAAAAGAUCUCGACACCAGUAACUUGCACUCCAAAUGUAGUAACAGAAGAAGUGGAAGGGUGACGAGAUGCAAAAGCCGCAAGGGCGGCACAACACCUACAACAACAAGGCCAAACAAGCACGGCUAGGCCGACCGGCCUUAUCCUUAUAAUGUCCAUAAGCAGAGCUUGCAAUUCUUUUUUUUUUUUUUCUGUCCUUCGUCCUCCUAACCAUUUAAGUUGGAUUGAACUUGAAAAAUAUUGAAUCAAAGAGUUUGAUAUUUUAGAAUUUUAUGUCGGUUUAAUGAGCUUAUUGAAGAUAAAAUAUUUUACCUCUUGUUAGGGAGGUAGACCGAUUGAAGGGAGAAAUCACGAGCUAGUCUAGUUUCCCAUGAAAAUGUAAGCUUUAUUAUUUUCUUCUUUUCCCCUCUCUCUUCAGGGUUCUAGAAUAUUUAUACAUAUAUAAUCAUCAUUUUAUCCCCUUUCAAAGAUAUUAACUUAUACUGAAAAAUGGAGAGGGCUAAACGUGAACCAAAUUGCUUGCACGUAUGGAGAUAUGUAAAAAAAAUAAGUUUUAUUUUUCUUUGGUAUUGAGUAUUUGAUCUGAUUUCUUGAUACGAGGAUGCUAAUUUUAAUCCCCGUCAGCCCUUUCUUUACUUUUAAUUUUCCUCCUCCUCCUCCUCCUCCUCCUCUUUAUAUCAUUUUUCGCAAUUGCCAUAUCCAUUUCAUCUUCCUUGAAUCUUCAUGACAUUGCAUUGGGAGUACUCAAGAUCAAUUCUCAAGUUCCGUUUCUUGAUCAUUACUCAUUAGGUAAGAUAAAUAACAAUCCAGAUUAUAAUACCUAGACUCUUAGAAUCACAGAGCCAAUGAAGUUCCUGUACCUUUCUUAGUGCUUGAUCAAACGUUUUAUAUAUUUCCUCGUGAAUCCUCUUCUAUUGACCUGUCUUAUCGCUGUUAUGAUUAGUCAACUGAAGUCAAUAAUUCUUUUAGUUUUACGGAUUCUUCUAUUGCAAGUUUUGCCCCCAUGUUAGUGGCCAGGAAAGAGGAUAUUUGUAGGCUCCUUCAUGAUGAAGUAAAUGCAAGGAAAUGAGAAGGUGAAAUCAAGACACGAAGCUAGUAGUUAGCAAAGGCCUUGAAGGACCAAUAUCUACCAAUUCAAGGUCUGCAUUCACGUGGCAAGAGAUUUUAUAAAAUUGAAAGACUUGAGAGUUGCUGAAAAGGACGAUCAAAUUUUGAAGUCUCUUAAGUAUUUGUUAAGGUCUUCCCUACCGUAUUUGACUAUAUUAAGGUAAAUUCAGCUAUGAAAUCAAAGGUCCCUUACUUAUUCUAUUUGCUUAUUCUAUGUUAUAGAAUUCAUUUGAAUAAGUGCUACUAUAUAUAUAGAGUAUAGCUCAAGGUACUUAAAGGGGGCUCGGCUGUAGUUAAAGCAUCAUUUUCAUUGUUAGCAAAUGAAAAAUGACAUUUUAAGAAGAAAAGCUAAACUAAUGAUUCUAUAUUCAUAAGAAAAUUGUGUUUUUUGUUGAUAAAUGAAUGCUCACUUCGCAAAAUUACACCAUGUAUCUCCAAAACAAAUACUCAAAGAACUCAACUUCAGCCUGUUGCAACACAGGGAUUUCAACUAGUUUGAUAAUAAUGGAUUAUUGUCUCGAUGUUAUGCAUCAUACUUUUGUUGCUACACAAAUUCAUCACCCGCAGAUUAUUAUUAUUUUUUUAAAAAAAAUUGUUUAUCUUGAUCGUUAUGUUACAUAAAGAGGAAGUCUCAUAGAAGGGAGCGGUAGGACUGGGAGGGAUUUGGGCUUCGAGAGGUUUAAUGGCUUUGAUAAUAUUAUCUCAUCGUGAAUUUUUCUUAAAGGGCCUCAUAGUUUAAAAAGUUUGUCCUUGUGUGUUUGAUUCCGUCACUAUGUGGAGCACAUAUGAAGUUAAUAUCGUGAUAGAUUUGCAUUUAACAUGCGUGAAUCAUUUCAUUAGAUCGGGAUCCAUUGAUGAUAAAUAAAUUUGACAAAGGAAAAGGACCGCUUAUCGGAUCCAUUAUUGUUCUUUUGUUAUGGUUUUCCCGAUUCCACCAACUCCAGGCGGACGCAAAAGCAACUCUACAUGCUUUUACUGUCUUUCUCGUGCAGCGGGAUGAGCAAUAUAAUAACCUCAACAUGUCUUGCCUCAAGCAAGCUCAUGGUCAUUAUCUGAAACGUGGUUGCCCCUGCUAUCGCUCUUCAGAUUUCCAGCAAACAGCAAAAUUAGUCAACGUCACAUUUUAAGGCAACUUUUGCAAAAAUUUAUGGAAUAGAAUAGAGUUUGUAUCAUAAAAGCAUCUCGAAAUGAUAUACCCAUUUAUAUCAAAUUAAUCGCAUCACCAAAACUUUUGAACUAGAAAAUUGGAUUAUGAUAUAAACCAGAACUUGUAGCAAGCAUGCUAUCCCACAUACACGGCACUCUUGGCCUUAGAAUAGGGACUAUCUAUUAGCCAUCAAAUUCUUUUCUGAAUUUUAGUUCAUAUCAUAAAAAAUUUAUUGUUGUCACCGUUUUUCAGGUGACUGAGCUUCCGUUCUUUGCAUGCAAAGUGCGCCUCGGUCAUACUAGGGUCCAAGACGUUCUUUCACUUGGCCCGCUGAAUGAGUUCGAAAGGUUUGGAGUUUUGAUAAUCUUGAAAUUCUUUAAGUCUGCUGAAAUUACACGAGGAAGAUGAUGUUGGAAAUUUCCUAUAAUAUGGGCUUACAUUAAUUAAUUGAUUUUCUAUUUUAAAUAAUCGGAUUAAUAGAUAUUCCAAUAUUUGUUAAACCCUAAAGUGAUCUAAUUAAAUCGGGUAUUGGCAUCUAUUGUUAACGGGCCUAGUUGAGUAGCAAAGUGUAGGCAAUUGUGUUUGACUGAAGCCCGUAAUGGGAAUGGCCCAGUUGACACGCUAUUGAUUAGGGUUUGCUAGGUCCCCUCUCUAGCCUAUAAAAGGGUAAGUUAUACCUAUCAGUUGCUUUAAUCCCAUUGAAAGCUGCUAUUUCGAAAUAGGUCAUAAAGAGGAAAAUCUGGCAUUCCGAUAGAUCCCUGAUUAUCAGAGUGAUCUAUUUUUUUUAAAGUGAAGCAAUUGCUCAAACAGGAACGCUUUAAUUCCGCUGUAUUUAUUGAUCUUGGUGUUUUACAAUCAUAUAUGGAUCCGUUUUUCUUGAUUGAUUAGUUGUAUAGGUGAAUAAAUUUUAUACAUGUGGUAUCAGAGCUUGUAUAUGAUUAUAAAACCCAAAUUUUAUCUUUUUAUGAACAAAUUCGAAAUUUUCCUCUUUGAGCCAAAUAUGGGCAUUAUCUUUCGUGUGGAUUUUUUUUUUUUUUUUGCUUGAUUGGUCUGAAACCAUAGGGCUUUUGUUCUACAUGUCAAGAUCUUUCAAACCAUAUAUAAUUUGUAUAAUUUCGUUGAGAAUUGAGAGAGAAUUUAAAAUUUGAAAUUCUAGGGUUUAUACAUGAAAAGUUCUAGAAUUUGCAAAUUACUUGCAAUUGGUUGAUGUUCAUUGUAAAUCGUUGCAUGAGCAUUGUUAUAUAUAUGUUUUAGCAUCUUUCGAUUGCAAUAAAGAAAGUUCCUUGGGCUCCAUCUCCCAUGGCAAAGAUUGUUUCUUUUUUCAGUGUUCAAAGGGGUCAAUCCUGAGUAAGUGCCCGUGUUUGAUCACCCUUUUCUUGUUUUCUUUAGAGAUCCGAAAUCUUGUGGUAGAAUUCUUUAGAUGCAGCUUGUGCAGUGAUCGUUUUGUUCGGAAGAGAGAAUUUUUUAUUUAUUUUUAACUGGCUACUCGAGAUUUUCGGGUUUUGGGUUGCUAUGUAUGAUGCAAUUGGAGUGAUUGUCUCGUAUAUAUAUAGAAAAAGUUCUAGAAUUUUAAGUUAGAUUCUAGUGUUACCUUCGAUUUUUAUUCGACGGUAGCAACGGUUGGUUUAGAGAUUAUUGUAGCUGAUUGUUUGUUCCGCUCUGGACGAGUGGUUAGAGUUUUUGCCUUCUCUUCCUCCUGCCUCAUGCUUCGGUGCGAUUGUGCGUACGGGGUUUCUGUGCGUUCGCAUUAGGUUCUUGCACCUCUUUCCUUUUCCUUGAUUGCCGCUUUACCGUUUUACUCGGUGGACCGAGAUUACGCAUCAAUUGAUCCACAUACGCAAUGGGUGACGCUUAUGGGGUGCUUUGUUAUAAAGUUGAGAUUUGUGCCCUAUUUUUCGUUGAUUUGGGUUAUUUCUAUAUUAAGUAGUUAGUGAGUUGCUGAACUUUGGGGCUAUGGUGCUCCCUAUAGUCUGGAAAAGAGAACCAAUGGUUAAGAUUUCUCAAGUUGUCGGGAUAUCAAAAUUUAAAGAUGGAAAUAGUCGGUUUUUGCUUUUCACGCGCGGUGCGUGCAUCUUGUUGCUAGAUUCUAAAUGAAACCGCUACUUUAAGGCUUCAUUGUGAUUUCGCCAUAAAUAUGUUGAUUGUGGGGUGAGCAAAAGACCAAACUGUGAUUUUUUGUUUGUACGAGUGGUUUUAUGCUAAGUUAUCUGUCUGGAUUUGUUGGGUUCAUAGUUGAUUUGCUGAGUAAUGUGGCAUGACCAGCAAAUUCCAAACUUGCAAAUUCUAAUCUUUUUGCAAAUUGCUCGCAUGGCUCCUGCGAUGCAUUGGUGUUUUAUUGACUAAGGUUUAAAAUUCCAUUGAAGGCGAUACAAUGAAACCAAGAGAUUUGUGAAUCGAGACCCAAAUGUAUAUAGAUACAAACAAGAGGAUGUUAUUUAUCAAAAGAAAAAAAAAAUUAGGAUUAGGCUAGAGAGAUGUAAAAGCUGAAGGUUUCAGCAGUGGAAGAAAAGUCCAUAAUCUACUGUGUAGUGCUUUGUGGAAACCCCAGGUUCAAAAGGGGAAAAUCGUAGAUGGUGCAUGAUGAGAAGCACAUGAAUGUUUUUUUACAUGAGAAUUAUGUUUUAAAUCUAUUCAUUUGUAGCUUCUUUUAUUUUUAUUGUAAUCUUUGGACCGGUGAUUGACGGAAGACUAUAGCAUCAAAAUACGAAUUAAUCGAUAUUAUUGAAAAUUCUAGUGAACCAAACGGACCUUUCAUGUCUUCUUGUGUGGUUUUACCACGAAUCAUCGGAGUGGACUGGCUUAACAUGAUUGAGGUUUAGAAGUUCUUUUUAUAGAGAUUUUGCUUGAUCUCUUGUGGGUUUCAUGUUAACAUGCAUGAAUGAUACUUCUACAUUCAUAUGAUAUGAUUGUGUCAAAUAGGUGGAGAUUGAGUUAUUGCAUGACUAUGAAAUUUCCCAAAUUUAAAAGAUGCCAAAUUUAAAUAUGCCAACCAAGGGUUGAUAGUGAGGAAGUGUGAGAUAAAUAUUAUCCUCAUGAUUUUUUGAUGUAAUGAUUAAUGAUAGCUACGAAAUAUUUGGCUCCCUUUAAUUCUAGUAACCAUUCGUAUCCAUUCUUGUUUUGCCAUGAGUCUGAAAUAUUAAAAUAAUAAUUUUAAAAAAAUUGUGGCAAAAAAUUGUUGCUUGAUAAAUGCAAUAUGAUCUUGGGAAGCACAUGUCGUAAAGUGCUUCAUAUUGUUAGAUAAAUUUUGGGCAUAUAUUUUUUGGAGUUUCCUAUUGAUAAAAAUUAGUAUAUACAAUUAUCUGCCCAAAGGGGGUUAUUGUGUAUAUUAAUUUGAAAAUUGCAUGAAGAUAAAUUCCAAAAUUAAAAGAUGGGGAUGUAUGACUCAAAAAGAUUUAUCUGCCCAAAGGGGAUUGAUUUUUGAGAGUUAUAUGUAAUUCCCCUCUAUAUUAAUAUAUUAGAGAUGAAUGAUGGGGAUGUAUGACUCAAAAGGUUUAUCUGCCUAAAGGGGAUAAAGUUUUUAGAGUUAUGUGUAAUUCCCCUCUAUGUUGAGAUAAUGGAGAUAUAUAUAAUUUAAAGGAUUUGUCUGCCCAAAAGGGAUUGAACCUUGAAGAUUAUAUGUAAUUCUCUUUUAUCAUCUCUAUAUAUUGAUAUCAUGGAAAUGUAUAAUUUAAAUGAUUUGUCUGCCCAAAGGGGAUGGAUCAUUGACAAUUAUAUGUAAUUCUCCUUAUUGUUGCUUUAUAAACUUCAUGCUGUGAAAAAUAAUUGUGCAUUAUACACUCUGCCCAAAGGGGAGUUUAUAAUGUACUAAUUAUUUUUGUUAAAAUACUUAUUGCCCAUAAUUGAUCAUAUUACAUUAUUUUUGCUAUAAAUAACAACAAUGCCACUGUUGAAAUGUUAAUUGGAUCAAAUAUUAUACUAUUAAGGACUUGGUCAAAAAGGGAGACAUUGUAAUUGAGAAUAUUAGAACUAAGUCCAUAUUAGCUUAUCCUCUAACAAAAGGCUUACGACCCAUUUUAUUUAAAGAACUUGUAAAGAAUAUGGGUGUUUUAGAUUCUUUUGAUUUCUUUUGUUAGUGGGAGUUAUACAAAUUGUAUUUCUGGAUAUUAUAGUUAUAUACAGAUUGAUAAUGCUUUUAUGAUAUUUAUUGAAGCAUUUAUUUUAAUAACUGUUGUUAUUGAUUAUAUUGUUAUCAUUUCUCCUAUUGACUGAGAAAUGGAAGUAUAAAACAGUAUCUUUAAACAAAUUUUGUUUAAAGAUGACUGGAUGUCACUUAUUAUGAGAUCUCAUGUUGGAUUGUGACAUAAUUGUGCAAUUUCAUGUUGUUUAGAAAUCGCACUAAGGCAAUUUUAUGUUGUUUAGAAAUUGCAUUAAUGCAGUUUCAUAUCGUUGAGAAACUGCAUUGAAGACCGAUAAGAAAUAGUGUAUAUUUUGAUCACAUAUUGGCACUAUUUCUUACUACACUACUAGGCCCAUGAUCCAUGAAAAUAUAAUGCUUAUUAUAUGUGAUUAUGGAAGGUCUUGUGUUGUGGCAUUUUCUUAACACAUUGAUCUCCAUAGUCCUAUACUAAGAUUAUAUAGGAUUGGAUUGGUAUUGAGAUGCCAUUAUUGGAAUAUUAUUUUUUAAAAGUUGUGGCCACAUAAAACAAAGUUUUCAGUUAUUAACCCAAUAGUGUCGUUUUCAAUAUAAAAUCUUUUUCAAAAUAAAAUAAGUUAAUUAAUGUAGCCCAAGUGGGAGAAUGUUGGAAAUUUCUUAUAAAUGGGCUUACAUUAAUUAAUUGAUUUUCUAUUUUAAAUAAUCGGGUUAAGGGAUAUUCCAAUAUUUGUUGAACCCUAAAGUGAUCUGAUUGAAUUGGGUAUUGACAUCUAUUGUUAACGGGCCUAGUUGAGCAGUAAAGUGUAGGCAAUUGUGUUUGACUGAAGCCCGUAAUGGGAAGGGUCCAGCUGACACGCUAUUGAUUAGGGUUUGUUAUGUCCCAUCUCUAGCCUAUAAAAGGGUAAGUUAUACCUAUCAGUUACUUUAAUCCCAUUGAAAGCUGCUAUUUCGAAAUAUGUCAUAAAGAGGAAGAUCUGGCAUUCCGAUAGAUCCCUGAUUAUCAUAGUGAUCUAUUUUUUUAAAAAAGUGAAGCAAUGGCUCAAACAUGUACGCUUUAAUUUCGCUGUAUUUAUUGAUCUUGGUGUUUUACAAUCAUAUAUGGAUCCGUUUUUCUUGAUUGAUUAGUUGUAUAUGUGAAUAAAUUUUAUACAGAUGAAAGUUUUUAAUUUCAGCCUUGGUUUGUUAACCUGUAAAGCUGGGUUGGAAGAGGCAAAGAGAGAGUUAGCAGAGAGUAUUCAGAAGGGCGUUUCAUUUAUCAAGAAGUGGGCGGGUGGCCUCUUCAUAGUUUCCGGUUAUUUUCUACUCAUAAUUGGUUCUUGGGAAUAAAGUGGUCCUGACGUGGGAAGAUAUCGAAAUUUAUUCUGCAUAGCUGACGUAGGAAAAAAAAAAGUUUUUCUUUUCUUAAAUGUAAGGUACACAAAUGGUAAUUUGUGUAAUAACAAGGUGGACGGAUGUUUGUAAAUUAUAGUUCUAUGUCCAUCUUUCUCGUCUUCGUGUUUGCAUCGGCCUUUUCAGACUUUCUCGUGCACCUGCACCUGUAGUGUUGCCUCGAAGUUGCACUUCAAUUGGGCAAUGCUGCUAUCAGCAAAUGAUGGACAGAGGGAGCUGAAUAAGCUGAAGCUCGUCUUUGGCACUAGGCUUGAAGUCUGAGAGACUCAAGUGCAGCUUUUUGUGGCUUUAUCCAGAUGAUUAAAGGGACAAACGAGCAGAGAGAGCCAUUACAAAGGCUCUUCUUGGUUAGUGGCCAGAAGGAGUUGAAAUUAUCAGCUGAACACGAGCAGAAGUUUGAGAAUGAUGCCUUGACACCGAUUCUCCCAAUCAUCAGCAGCAAUUUCUCGCACCAAGUUCUCUCUACGUGGAGCAUUUAUGGUAAAAGAUUGCCCAUAGUAAAAGAUUGUCCGCCUUAGAUUUGCUUUCUUUUAUGAAAAAUCAAUGAUCUAGAAAAUAUUUUCCUAAAAAUUACUGAUUGUACAUAUUGAUAUAGAUUGAAAUAAUUAGAUAAUGAAUAAUAUUUUUAUUGUCGAUAACAAUUUAUAUAUAAAUAUGAUAGUGGACAAUGAAGAUUUUUUCUAUUAAUUCAUUUUGAUAAACGAUACAAAUAAUUAUUUUUAAGAACAUAUUUUUUAAAUUAUUUAUUUUUUACGAAACAAACAAAAUUUUAAUAUUUUAUCAUUAGUUUUGAGGAGCUGUCUUUCUACUUUUUUUUGGGGGUGGAAUUUUUUCUUUUCAAUUUUGAAAGUUCAAGUAAAAUUUGUUCCAACAAUGAAAGUAACCUUAGCCCCUGAAGGGGACAACUCAAAUAUAUAAAAACAAGGCUAAAAGAGUACGCCUCUCCGGCCCUGUAAGGUCUGUUCUCGGGAGCCAGAACCAAACCCUCCACUGUCUUGACUUUCAGACACUUUCUAUUUUCGAGUUCUCACUCUCAGAUCGGGCUCUCUCUUUUCUCUGGCGGCGCCUUUCGAUCUUCCCCUCUCUAAUCUCGACUCAGUCGCUGUCUCAUCUCGGUCGGCCGUCCAUCAGCGCAUCGGGUAUUCUCUCUUUGUAUCGGUUUCGUUUUCGAUUUCUUCGGUGGCUUGCCAGAGCCAAUCGAUGGCUGUUGGUUCAUCACUGACCAUAACCAUCAUCUGUAUUUUUUUCACUUGUUUUUAAACUUCCCCCAAUUGAUGUCCUGCCUCAAGCAAGCUUGUUGACAAUUUUCGCCCAGUUUGAUUCUGUCUCGAAUCUCGUUUGCUACGUGCGAUGGCACCAGCUGCUAACACAUCAGGAAUGGAGUUCGAGGUUUUCCUGAGUUUCAGGGGACCGGAUACUCGGAACAACUUUACUAGUUGCCUCUAUCAUGACAUGGUUGAGAAAGGAAUCCGUGUCUUCAAAGAUGACGAGGAGCUCCGAAUCGGUCAGCGGAUUGGUGGAAACCUUUUGCGAGCCCUUGAUGACGCUCAAAUCUAUAUCCCCAUCUUCUCUAAGGGUUUCGCUUCCAGUCUGUGGUGUCUCCGUGAAGUUGCUCAUAUGGUAGAUUGCACUUCAAAGUCGGAUGGGAAGAAGGAGAUCCUCCCCAUUUUUUUUUAUGUGGAGCCAGAUGAUGUCAAGCUUAAAACCAAUUUGUACAGAGAUGCCCUAUUUGAACAUGAGAAGAAGUACAGCUCCCGUGAAGUCAAGAGCUGGGGAGAUGCUCUGGUUGAGGUUCCAACCAGAGUAGGUUGGAAGCUGGAAGGGAAAGGGUAGGUUUUCCACUACUUUUUCUGAGUUAUUAAUUUUAACAUAAUCUAUCGAGAACUCAACUAAAAUAUUAUUCGCCGUGUUAUACUUUUAACAAUGUCAAUCAUCUCUAGGACUUUUACCUCAUAAUUCAAUCUAGUCUUCGAGUUAUUAAUUUCUCUGCAAUUUUAAAAAAGUUGACCUAGAUGUUAGGUCACCGUCAAGUGGUUUCUGAAUGCUAAGUUAGUAUCCUAUUUGGUUGUCAAAAACAGUAAAACAAAAUUAAAUAGAAAAAUUAAUAAUUUUCAACAAAUUUAGAAAAAGGAAAAGUGGAAACAACAGACCAAUAUUAAUGCUUAUUCAUUCAGAUCAAACAUAUCGAUUUUGUAUUGCUAGCAAAAUUAUAUGUUUGAUCAAUUUCCAAAUGUUGCCUACACAUAAUAAAUAACUGAGUUAUUUCAUGAAAAUCAGUUUUCAACAAUAAAUAAUUUAUUAGUUUUAUGUUGAUGAGGAGACACGCCCGGAUCAUGUGACAUCUUCUCUACUAUUAUUAUUGGAACUAUACAGAAUGUUAUGGAGGGUGAGUUUUAUCUACAAAAUCCCACGGCUCUCCCUCGUGUUUUAAUGGUGCUUCGUGCAAAAAAAGAAAGACACGUGAAACAUUAACAAUAUGUUCAGUUCCAAUAACAACCAUAUGUUUUAUACAUUUGAUUUUAGGGGUAUUUUAGAAAUUCUGAGAAUAGUCCUCCUUUGUUACAUAUGGGUGUGCAAAAGACUUAUAUUUUUAAAGAAAAACAGAGCGAUAGUAUUAAGUUUCAGCGUAGUAAUUAUAACAUAGAUGAUUACUAGAAACAAUAAUCUUACAUCACCACCUAAAAACUAAUUUGGAAAUGGGAAAAGUUUAGCGACAAUGUCUUUGCCGCCGCUCCUCUCUGUCUGUCUUUCUAUUGUAGCGGUGGAGAUCACACCGCUCGAUGCAGCACCCAAAGCUUGGAGAUUGAUGGUGUCUCAAUGGAGUUUCCCCAUCGAGAUUUCCGCAGGGGAGAGAGAGAGAGAGAGAGAGAGAGAGAGAGAGAGAGAGAGAGGACUUCGAGACGCGGUAUGGAGUGAAUUUUUUUUAAUGAGGAUUUUAUAACAUGAGGGAUUUUUAUUUUUAUUUUUUUUUGGGUCUGAUCCUAUCCUAUGACAUGAGUUGAUUGUUAUUGAUAUUGAAUCUUCAACGAGCCAAAGCCCUCCUCAUUGCUACACUUAAUUUUCAUUUAUUUAAUUUAUGAAUAAGUAAAAGGUCAAAAUAGUUAUAAAAAAUAUAAUUAGAUUCUUUUCCACUCUUUUCUAUUCUUUAACCAAAUAUGAAAUCACCUAAUUUCCUUCAUUUCCUCUUAAUCAUUGUAUUAAAACUAAGCAUUAGUGUUUACUCCCAAUCAGUGUGAAUCUGGGUAGCAGCUAGUGUUUAAAUCCAAUUAAUGGGAAUCUAGGCAACGAAAGCAGCUAAUUCAAGCCCUUUACAAUUAAGAUAACUUUCAUUGUAAUUUGAGAUUGUAUGUUUAAAUGGAUUAAAUUUGUCAUUUGAAUGAUUGCCACCAUUUGUAAAUCGGUCUUGAUAUAGCAAGUUGUCAUUAUUUUCUCAGUCUAAGUUCAUCCACCAUCUUGUCUGUCAGGUAUGGGGAACUUAUAAAAUUGAUUGUUCGAGAGGUUCUACUUAAGCUGAAGAGGAAGAAUAGGCCUCUUCCUGACCAUCUAGUUGAAACAGAUGAUCUAAAGCAUAUAGAGAAAUUGUUGGAUGUUGGCUCUGAUGAUCACGUACGUUUCGUCAUACUCCAUGGGACAGGUGGUAUUGGUAAAUCAACUCUUGCUAGUGUUAUCUUCAACCGAUUCCGGUCUAAAUUCAAUUGCAGUAGUUUCCUUGGAGAUGUCCAAAGUCAUGGUCUUUUAGACAUGCAAAAGAAACUAUUGUCUGAAACAUUGGGGUCGAACUCUGCUCAAGAAAUCUAUGAUACCAACGACGGCAUUGAUCACAUAGUAAGAGGACUUGGCAAAAAGAAAGUUCUGGUUGUUGUCGAUAAUGUGGACGAGAAGAAGCAACUUGAGAAUCUCGCAGGGAGCUGCGACUGGUUUGGUUGUGGAAGUAGGAUCAUUGUCACAGUCAGGGACCUAAGGACAAUACGAAAUAAAGACAACCUAACGCGACCUAGCAAUUACAUGGACUACUCGGUAAAGGAGAUGCCUUUUGAUCAAGCAAUCCAGCUUUUCAACAAGCAUGCUUUUAGAACCAAUACUCCUUUGAAAGAUUGCUACAAAUUCUCAAAAGAAAUUGUUUCAAGUGUAGGAAAGCUUCCUUUGACUUUGGAAGUUUUGGGUUCUCUUUUCGCCAACACGAUUAGAUCUGAGUGGGACGAGAGAUUGGAGGAAUUAAAGCGAGCCCCAUAUAAGGAUGUUCGACAAACAUUGAUGAUAAGCAUUGACAAAUUGGACAGAAUAGAAAAGGCCAUAUUCCUAGACAUAGCAUGUUUUUGCGUCGGAGAGGAUGGGACUUAUGCGGACUACAUGUGGCGUAGUAGUGACUAUUCUCCACGCAGCGCAAUUGAUGUUCUUCUCCUCAUGUCAUUGAUAAAGAUUAAAGAGGACGAUAACACAUUUUGGAUGCAUGAUGAAGUUCGAGAUCUAGGAAGGUAUAUCGUGAAGGAAGAGAAUUUUGAAAAUGCUGCAGCGCGCCGUUGGGUACGAAUUGAUGAGAAUACUCUAGACAUAUUGAGGAGCAAUGAGGUGAAAGUUAUUACAAGUUGAAGAUAUGAUCAAUCCAGUAAAAUCUUUGGUCAUGUGCCUUAAAAUGAGAAUAUCGGUUGAUGGCUGGCUUUGUUUUCUAACAUAUAGAGAAAAUAGAAAGCAACUCUUAAACAACAAAAGUAUAUAUUUUCAUGCCUUACCCAAAUAAAACAAGAAGAAAGAUAAUGCAUCGUUUGGUUAGUUGAAAUUUUUCAUUUCUUGUUUCAGUGAGAAUGAAAAUAAGUUCUUUCAUUCAUUGAAAAGGUGUUUAGUUUGUGAAAAGACAGAGGCAUCAACACCGAAUGGACAUUUUAAACAGCGUGGUUUGUCUUAUUUUCUAUUUGAGAGAAGUGCAGUAAUUUUUUUUGUUACAACGUGCGCUUCAUUUAAUUUGUUUUGAGUUGAAGAAGAACUAUUAAUAUUGCGCUUCAUUUAAUUUGUUUUGAGUUGAAGAAGAACUAUUAAUAUUAUUGACUACUUGCAUUGGUUUUUCACUUCCUGUGUUGCACACUCAUUUUUAUUCUCCUAUUGCUGGUAGGAAAAAAGAGCCGUACGAGCACUCAAUUUGGGUAUUAGUCAUGACUUGACACCUGAAGAACUAGCCUAUUUGCCAAUGCUAAGGUUCCUUAGAGGGGAAAGACUAAAUUUCGUUGGCAACUUCAAGAAUCUUCUUCAUAAUUUGAGAUGGCUUUCUUGGCGUCAUUGUCCACUAUAUUUUUCAGCGACAAACCUUCACCUAGUGAAUUUGGUCGUGCUCAACCUUUCACAAAGCAAAAUCACCCACAACUGGGGUGGAUGGAGACAAAUCAAGGUACUAACACACUUGGCUUAUGUUCAAUUCAUAUUUUUUCUAAUUGACUUUGCUAGCUAGGUGUAUACUAUCGUAUUCUCAUACUUUUCAUUGGCAUGGAAUUGGCCUCUUUUUUUCAUUGUAGAUGGCAAAAAAGUUGAAAGUUCUAGACUUGACAUACUGCUUUGGGUUAACCAAGACACCUGAUUUUUCUGAGUUUAGCAAGUUGGAGAAAUUGAUUCUUAAGGGUUGUUUCAAUUUGUUUACCAUUGAUAGCUCAAUCGGUAAGCUAAAAUUGCUAAGUACUUUGAAUAUCGAUGGAUGUGAUCUCCUCGAAGGGUUGCCCGAAGAAAUCAGUUCUCUAGAAUGCUUGUCGGAGAUUAUCUUGCCCAAAUUCGAGUAUCCAAUCAAGCUUCCCAAGGCACUAGGCAAUUUAAAAUCUUUGACAAAGCUUGAAAUUCAAUCUGGUAUCAACCAAGUUCCUCACUCUAUUGGAAGGUUGAAUCUUACGAAUUUGGCUUUGUCUAAUUGUGAAAAUUUACAUGAGCUUCCAGACUCUAUUGGAGAACUACAAUCAUUGGUCAAGUUAGAUUUACGUUACUUAGGGAUCUCCAUUCUUCCUUAUUCCAUUGGAAGGUUAAAGAAUCUCAAGCAUUUGCUUUUACAUGGAUGCAAAAAUCUAAAUGAGUUUCCGGACUCUAUCGGGUGUCUAGAUAAGUUGAUCGAGUUGGAUUUAAAUUUCUUGAUGAUCUCCAUUCUCCCCGAUUCCAUUGGAAGGUUAAAGAAUCUCAAGCAUUUGCUUUUAGUUGAAUGCGAGAAACUAUACGAGCUUCCGAACUCUAUAGGGGAACUAGAAUCAUUGGUAAAGUUGGAUUUAAAACUUUUGGGGGUCUCCAUUAUUCCUAAUUCAAUUCGAAGGUUAAUGAAUUUGACGAAUUUGUCUUUUUCUAGAUGCAAUAAUCUACUUGGACUUCCAGACUCUAUCGGGGAAUUAGAAUCAUUGGUUGUGUUGGAUUUAAAUCACUCGGGGAUCUCCAUUGUUCCUAAUUCUAUUGGAAGAUUAAAGAAUCUGAAGCAUUUGCUUUUAGUUGAAUGCAAGAAUCUAUAUGAGCUUCCGGACUCUAUAGGGGAACUAGAAUCAUUAGUUGAGUUGAAUUUAAAAUUUUCAGGGGUCUCCGCUCUCCCUAAUUCCAUUGGAAGCUUAAUCAAUUUGACAAAUUUGUCUUUUUCUAGAUGUGAUAAUCAACUUGAGCUUCCAGACUCUAUUGAGGAACUAAAAUCAUUGGUCAUGUUGGAUUUAAAUCACUCGGGGAUCUCCGUUGUUCCUAAUUCUAUUGGAAGGUUAAAGAAUCUUCGAAGUUUACUUUUAGCUAAUUGCAAAAAUCUAUACGAGCUUCCAGACUCCAUAGGGGAACUAGAAUCAUUGGUGAACUUGGAUUUAAAACUUUCAAGGGUCUCUGUUAUCCCUAAUUCCAUUGGAAGGUUAAUGAAUUUGACAAAUUUGUUUUUUUCUGGAUGCGAUAAUCUAUAUGGGCUUCCAGACUCUAUUGGAGAACUAGAAUCAUUGGUCAUGUUGGAUUUAAAUAGCUCGGGGAUCUCCGUUAUCCCUAAUUCUAUUGGAAGGUUAAAGAAUCUUCGGGAUUUGCUUUUAGCUAAAUGCAAAAAUCUAUACGAGCUUCCAGACUCUAUAGGGGAACUAGAAUCAUUGGUGAACCUGGAUUUAGAACUUUCAAGGGUGUCCGUUAUCCCUAAUUCCAUUGGAAGGUUAAUGAAUUUGAAGAAUUUGUCUUUUUCUGAAUGCGAUAAUCUACUUGGGCUUCCAGAUUCUAUUGGGGAACUAGAAUCAUUGGUCGUGUUGGAUUUAACUAGCUCGGGGAUCUCUGUUAUCCCUAAUUCUAUUGGAAGGUUAAAGAAUAUUCAGGAUUUGUCUUUAGCUAACUGCAAGAAUCUAUACAAGCUUCCAGACUCUAUAGGGGAACUAGAAUUAGUGAUGAAGUUGGAUUUAAAACUUUCAGGGAUCUCUAUUAUCCCUAAUUCCAUUGGAAAGUUAAAGAAUUUGACGAAUUUGUCUUUUUCUGGAUGCAAUAAUCUACUUGGCCUUCCAGACUCUAUCGGAGAACUAGAAUCAUUGGUCGUGUUGGAUUUAAAUCACUCGGGGAUCUUCGUUGUUCCUAAUUCUAUUGGAAGGUUAAAGAAUCUGGACCAAUUGAUUUUAGCUGAAUGCAAGAAUCUAUAUGAGCUUCCGGAUUCUAUGGGGGAACUAGAAUCAUUGGUCGAGUUGAGUUUAGAACUUUCUAAGGUCUCCGUUCUCCCUAAUUCCAUUGGAAGCUUAAUGAAUUUGAUGAAUUUGUCUUUUUCUGGAUGCGAUAAUCUACUUGAGCUUCCAGACUCUAUCGGUGAACUAAAAUCAUUGUUCGACUUGAAUUUAAGUCACUCGGGGAUCUCCGUUGUCCCUAAUUCAAUUGGAAGGUUAAAGAAUCUAAAGUAUUUGUUUUUAGUUAAAUGCAAGAAUCUAUACGAGCUUCCAGACUCUAUAGGGGAACUAGAAUCAUUGGAGGAGUUGGAUUUAAAACUUUCAGGGAUCUCCGUUAUCCCUAAUUCCAUUGGAAGGUUAAAGAAUUUGACGAAUUUGUCUUUUUCUGGAUGUGAUAAUCUACUUGGGCUUCCAGACUCUAUCGGAGAACUUGAAUCAUUGGUCGUGUUGGAUUUAAAUCACUCGGGGAUCUUCGUUGUUCCUAAUUCUAUUGGAAGGUUAAAGAAUCUGGACCAAUUGGUUUUAGAUGAAUGCACGAAUCUAUAUGAGCUUCCGGACUCUAUGGGGGAACUAGAAUCAUUGGUCGGGUUGAGUUUAGAACUUUCUAAGGUCUCUGUUCUCCCUAAUUCCAUUGGAAGCUUAAUGAAUUUGAUGAAUUUGUCUUUUUUUGGAUGCGAUAAUCUACUUGAGCUUCCAGACUCUAUCGGUGAACUAAAAUCAUUGUUCGACUUGAAUUUAAGUCACUCGGGGAUCUCCCUUGUCCCUAAUUCUAUUGGAAGGUUAAAGAAUCUAAAGUAUUUGUUUUUAGUUGAAUGCAAGAAUCUAUACGAGCUUCCAGACUCUAUAGGAGAACUAGAAUCAUUGGAGGAGUUGGAUUUAAAACUUUCAGGGAUCUCCGUUAUCCCUAAUUCCAUUGGAAGGUUAAAGAAUUUGACGAAUUUGUCUUUUUCUGGAUACGAUAAUCUACUUGGGCUUUCAGACUCUAUCGAAGAACUAGAAUCAUUGGUCGUGUUGGAUUUAAAUCACUCGGGGAUCUUCGUUGUUCCGUAAUUCUAUUGGAAUGUUAAAGAAUCUAAAGUAUUUGUUUUAGUUGAAUGCAAGAAUCUAUACGAGCUUCCAGACUCUAUAGGGGAACUAGAAUCUUUGAUAAAGUUGGAUUUAAAACUUUCAGGGAUCUCUAUUAUCCCUAAUUCCAUUGGAAAGUUAAAGAAUUUGACGAAUUUGUCUUUUUCUGGAUGCAAUAAUCUACUUGGGCUUCCAGACUCUAUCGGAGAACUAGAAUCAUUGGUCAUGUUGGAUUUAAAUCACUCGAGGAUCUUCGUUGUUCCUAAUUCUAUUGGAAGGUUAAAGAAUCUGGACCAAUUGGUUUUAGCUGAAUGCAAGAAUCUAUAUGAGCUUCCGGACUCUAUGGGGGAACUAGAAUCAUUGGUCGGGUUGAGUUUAGAACUUUCUAAGGUCUCUGUUCUCCCUAAUUCUAUUGGAAGGUUAAAGAAUCUAAAGUAUUUGUUUUUAGUUGAAUGUAAGAAUCUAUACGAGCUUCCGGACUCUAUAGGGGAACUAGAAUCUUUGAUAGAGUUGGAUUUAAAACUUUCAGGGAUCUCUAUUAUCCCUAAUUCCAUUGGAAAGUUAAAGAAUUUGACGAAUUUGUCUUUUUCUGGAUGCAAUAAUCUACUUGGGCUUCCAAACUCUAUCGGAGAACUAGAAUCAUUGGUCGUGUUGGAUUUAAAUCACUCGGGGAUCUUCGUUGUUCCUAAUUCUAUUGGAAGGUUAAAGAAUCUGGACCAAUUGGUUUUAGCCGAAUGCAAGAAUCUAUGUGAGCUUCCGGAUUCUAUGGGGGAACUAGAAUCAUUGGUCGGGUUGAGUUUAGAACUUUCUAAGGUCUCUGUUCUCCCUAAUUCCAUUGGAAGCUUAAUGAAUUUGAUGAAUUUGUCUUUUUCUGGAUGCGAUAAUCUACUUGAGCUUCCAGACUCUAUCGGUGAACUAAAAUCAUUGUUCCACUUGAAUUUAAGUCACUCGGGGAUCUCCGUUGUCCCUAAUUCUAUUGGAAGGUUAAAGAAUCUAAAGUAUUUGUUUUUAGUUGAAUGCAAGAAUCUAUACGAGCUUCCAGACUCUAUAGGAGAACUAGAAUCAUUGGAGGAGUUGGAUUUAAAACUUUCAGGGAUCUCCGUUAUCCCUAAUUCCAUUGGAAGGUUAAAGAAUUUGACGAAUUUGUCUUUUUCUGGAUACGAUAAUCUACUUGGGCUUUCAGACUCUAUCGAAGAACUAGAAUCAUUGGUCGUGUUGGAUUUAAAUCACUCGGGGAUCUUCGUUGUUCCUAAUUCUAUUGGAAUGUUAAAGAAUCUAAAGUAUUUGUUUUUAGUUGAAUGCAAGAAUCUAUACGAGCUUCCGGACUCUAUAGGGGAACUAGAAUCUUUGAUAAAGUUGGAUUUAAAACUUUCAGGGAUCUCUAUUAUCCCUAAUUCCAUUGGAAAGUUAAAGAAUUUGACAAAUUUGUCUUUUUCUGGAUGCAAUAAUCUACUUGGCCUUCCAGACUCUAUCGGAGAACUAGAAUCAUUGGUCGUGUUGGAUUUAAAUCACUCGGGGAUCUUCGUUGUUCCUAAUUCUAUUGGAAGGUUAAAGAAUUUGCAGCAAUUACUUUUAUUUGAAUGCAAUAAUCUACAUGAACUUCCGGACACUAUUGGGAAAUUAAAAUCAUUAAUGGAGUUGGAUUUAAAACUCUCGGGGAUCUCUAUUCUCCCUAAUUUCAUUGGAAGGUUAACAAAUUUCACCCAUUUGUCUUUUUUUGGAUGCAAGAAUCUACAAGAGCUUCCUGAUUCUAUUGGACAAAUGGAAUUAUUGGUUGAGUUGGAUUUAAGAUCCUCGGGAAUCUCCCUUCUCCCUAAUUCCAUUGGAAAUCUGAAGAGGUUAAAAGUCUUAAAUGUGUCAUGCACAAAGAUCCAUACAAUGCCUAGUGCUCUUGGAGGGUUGGAGAUGCUCGAAAAGCUCGAUGCCUCAUAUUGUCCACAUCUCAUAGAUGAAAUCCCGUGGGAAAUGUGGAGCUUGACCUGUCUAAGGAUCUUGGACUUAAGUGGGAGCCCAAUCUCUACGGUGCCAAGAAAGAUUAGCGGUUUCUCUAGUCUCCAAACGCUUAAAAUUGCAAGUCACCGGCUUUCCUUGUUACCAGAGCUUCCCUCAAAUUUGAAAUUCCUAGUGGUUGUAGCUGCUGAAUUCCCUGUUCUUCCCGAGCUCUCAAGCCUAGUUCAUUUACAUCAUCUUGAAGUGCGUAAACAAGGCGUGACAUCUUGGACCUCGAAUGAGGUUACCUCACCUUGGAAGGACAAGCAGUCCAUCAAUCGGCUUCCACUUAGCUUAUCAAUCUUGAUACUCCACUCCAUCCCGCAAUUGCCAGAUAUUUUUUACUUCCAAAGCUUGUCAGUUCUGUCUAUUAGCGAAUGUUUGACGCCAUUCUUGCCUGAUCUAUCGUGCUUGAAGAGGCUACACGGGUUACGGCUUAGUAACUUCCCUGAACUAGCGGAGAUUCUCGGUCUCGGAGAACUGGAAUCACUGAAGUUUCUAUAUAUUACUACGUGUGAUGUGAUCAGACAGUUGCCUAACCUGUCGAAGUUGAAAAAUUUACUGCAUCUCGAGCUAAAACAUUGUGCAAAGUUGAGAGCUGUCGAAGGCUUAAAAGAAAUGAAAAUUUUGAAGAAUGUGAAAAUCAAAUGGUGCAUGUCCUUGGAAAGGUUGCCGGAUGUACCCCUGUCCACCAAGUUGGAGACAAAUUGGACACCGCCAAAACCUGAAGAGGACAUCAUUCAGCCGGCGAAGCGGUUGCGACUUUCGUUGGAAUAGUAUGACAGGCAGGCAAUUACAGCCUUGUUGAAAUUCUCAGGUUCCUUUUGAUUACGAUGAAGGAAAACAUAUGUUUUCAUAUCGGUUAUUUUUGCUAACCUGAUUUGGAUAAAGGCUAAGAAAGAAAUGGCCGCGAG
rnacentral:lncRNA from 1 species